GAUAAGAUAAUAUUUAAUCGGCGAAGGUGUCCCUUGGAAGUACAUCCUUCUUUUUCUUUUAUUAUAUAAAUUCUUGCAAUGAGCUUAGUGAAGCUGUUGUGCUAAUCAUGCCACUGCAUAAUUUGGCCCCUAAUGUGGGUACUCUGUUACAUUGUUCUGCAAAUUCUCCAGAAGUUAAAAUCAAUAAAUUUUCUAUUAGCUCUAGUGCUUUGACCUAAAUGCUAUUCUAUAUUCUGAUUACAAUGUUUUAACCUUUAAAUUAACUACCCCUAGAUGUUGGAUUUUCUAGAACUUCAAAUUAUAUAUAACCUUUAAAUUAUAUAUUUCUGUGUCUCUAUUUAUAGAUGACAUUUAAGCAUCCAUAAACCGUCAGACAGAGGAAGGGGGUUCAGUGCAAAGAUUCUGUUGACCUAGGGUUGACUGCAUAUGUCACUUGUUCGCAAUCUAAUAUUUAUUUUAUAUUUUGAAAAAUUUAAUGGGUAAUCCUAAUUGUUUGUUUUGGCAGGUAUGUGUUGUUAUCUCCUUCUAUCUUACAGUCGUACCUAAAUAGCAUAGUUUCAUCUGUGUUACCAUGUGAUGUACAUAAUUUCACAUUUGCCUCAGAUUAAGCUUAAUUUCCCACAGAAUAGAGCUGUCGCGACUGGACUUAGUUUGAUGUCCAAAGAGGUAAAUUAUUGGCAUGCCUAGAUAAUUUGGCCAUUUCCUAAUUCAUAAGUCUACAUUAAUUUUGAUUUUGAGUUGACUGAUUUCUUUUCAAGGUCUGCUUCCUUAACGGAGUGACCAAUGUUUUUCAACUAAAUUUAUCAUAUGAUGCAGGAAGCAGGGCAGGAUAUGAAAUGAGAAGCUCAUUGGUGGAAGUAUUGCCAGUAGCAGAACCCAAUGAAAAUGAAACUAUUUCAAGGCAGCAGUUGGCAGUUGCAAGUGAAUGGAGGCCCUUGACAAAAUUCUCAAGCAGUUGCAAUGCAAUUACGAUCAUCCUCAGCCUCAGGUAAUUUCUUCUCCUGCUUUGUUUUUAUUUGUUAUCUAAUUAGGAAGCAUAAAGUAUCUUGAAUCAUUUUCUGUAUCUGGAAUAUAUGCAAGAGUUUCUAAAAUUUUGAUAUGAGUGUAAUGAUGGUAAUUUCUGUUUUCUGUCUGUCAUCAAAUGUUAGAAAACUUUCAUUGAGACCCUUGAACCGAGUCAUUUUUGACAAGUGAAGUGCCGAAGAGUGAAGAGUAAGAAUGGUGCUAGAUUGGGGAAUAAAGCAAAAGGAGGUAAAUUAUUGGCAGCUUCUUCAGCCUUAUUUUCUUUGGACCAGUGCCUAAUUCACAAGUCUCCAUAAUUCGGCUUUUGACCAGUUGAUAGAUAAAAUUUUAAUUUCAUUGGUGCUAAUGUACCCGUGAAGCAGGCAGAGAAGGACUGUGGAAAAGAGAAGGUUUUUAGUGAAAGCUUAAACGCAGGUAAUUCUAUAAAUUAUAUGUUUUUGCUGAUUUAUCUAAAUCAGGAAAUUUUAUUUCCAUCUGUUACAAUAAAACAGAAACAGAACACAAAGAAAAAUAGUCUACCUCUUGUGGCAAUCUUGCCUUCAUUCAGACUAUGAAACCAUUUCCUUUCACCAAUUUCUUCCAAAAGUUUGAACACGUUUCAUGGUUGGACAUAGUUAGCUUCUUUUUCUUUUGGUGCAUUUAGGUGCUAUCAAGUGACAGCCAUAAGUAUGAUUGCAUUAUUGGGAAAUUUUAGGUUUUGAUGGCUCCCCAUGUUAUUGCCAAGAAAUUUUAAGUCCUCAUGUCAGAAGCUGCGUUUCUUUUCAUCAGCCUGAACCCGAACUGAGGUUUUUGUCAUCAACUAUAUCAUCUUUUUCACUGUUUUGAAACUCUUAAGAUUAAACUUCAGUAAAGUUGUUUCAGUUAUCCAUGUAAUCAGGCUAAGGAUAUUUAGCAGCUUAUUUAGGCAACUGCCAGAAUUCAGUUUGUUUGCUCGAAACUUGUAUGGUGACAAGGAUACUGGCAAGGAUAGUGAGAUAGAUUUUUGUGUGAGUGAAUUUUGAAAGCUUGGGUGUUCUGGGAUUUGCAAUUGCAAUCAUCCUCUGCUUUAGGUGAUUUCUUCUCCUGUUCUGUCUUUAUUUUCUCUCUAAUUGAAAGCAUAAAGUAUUUCAAUCAAAUUCUGUACCAGGAAUACGAAAAACUUACUAAUAUUUUAUUUCCAUCUGUUUGCAUUGAUAACUUGGCCGCAUAUGUACUAGUUAAAGAACAAACAGAAGCAGAGUUCAGGAAAAAGUUUCUUCGGCCACCAUAUUUGAAAAUGAAACCAUUUCCAGGAAGCAGUUGGCAGCAAAUUCAUACAAAGUACAGACAAUGAUGAGCAAAAAGGUGAUUCGCAAUUUCAUUUUUUAAAAAUGAAAUUAUUUGUUAAGUUGGAGCUGAUAUUGUUAGAAGGCCAUUGAGCUAACCUAUGACACUACUUGCCUAGAUUGCAGGAGGUCAAGACUCAAAAGAUGCACUGAAUUUUAAAAGGCAUGCAAUAAUUCUUAUGGCCAUUUGUCAAUGGUGGAAUGCUUUUAGCUUCUUUUCCUUUCGUGCAUUUUGGGGUUCUAUCAAGCGACAGCCGUAUGCAUGGAUGGAUAUAGCCGCUGCGUUGAUUUCUAAUGCGUUGUAUGAUGUUAUAGCAACUAUCCAUCUGGUCAAUGUUUCAAAAGAAUAAAACACAGGGAAAAAGAGAAAGCAAGUGGCCAAUCAAGUAUUCAUGUCCCAAAGAAAAGAAUGAUUCGACAAUAGCAUUAAGGGUUAAUUGGACACAAGAGAAGUGUUUUAACCACUUCAAGGAAUGUAAAUGUAAUUUUCUAUUCUGAAGAAAAAGUAAAUAUAUGCACUGUCAAUUAAUCUUUGGUCAACCAGCAACAUUCAUAAUUUCGUGUAAGUUUCAUUUCUGUUUGUUGGAAAUAGCAGUGUAUUUCUUAGAGUUUGUAAAAAAUGGAAAGAUUUUAAAAUAUAAAUUUCACAUCUGUUUAUUACUGUUGUUUGAUCUAUUUUCUUAUGUAGAAUUUUCGGAAUCUGUAGGACAUUAAUUUAUAAUUUUGAGAUUUUGUAGCCAUAAAUGUUUUUGUUCUUUUUUUCUUUUUUUUGUUGGCAUUUUAUUUUGCUCCUUUAUCUAUAUGCAUGUUGACUAAAGCUAAUCUAGAAUCAAUAGAGAGGGAUAUUUAUCUAUUUUGUUUAACAUAAGAGUGCUGUAUAAUUUUUCACUAAAUACACCUACAACAAACUAUUAAUAAUAAAGUGAUAGAAGAAUGCCUAAUUUUUCGUACUUUUUAAUUUCUUUCAGCCCUAAAAUAUAGGUAUUAAUGUCAUAAUAAGCCCAUGUGGAUCUCAGUGCCGCAAGUUCGAUAAAUGGCUAUCAAGGAUUACUUAUUAAGUCAAAAGUAUUCAAAGGACAAAAUGGUAAAACUAUAAGGGUGGAGUAAGAUGGCUACCUUGGGUUACAUAGUAAGUCGACUACAUUCAAAGGAUAAAAUAUUAGAACCUGAACGGCGGAGUAGUCGUCGUUAGAACCUGAACGGCGGAGUAAUCGUCGUUAGAAUCUGAAUGAUAUGUCUAAGACGUUGCAUGCAUCAAGAAAAUUGCAGAUGAUUAAACCUUGCCAUCCAUGCGUUGUAUGAGGUUAUAGCAACUAUCUAUCUGGUCACCGUUUUAAAAGAAUAAGACAAAGGGAAAAAGAGAAAGAAAAGAAUGAUUCGACAAUGGCAUUAAAGUUCAACGUACCCCAAGAUCUUGUAAUAAUGCCAUUAAUCAUUCUCUAGCUAGGCUAGCCUUAGAGAAAAGUGAAACUGUUGCACAGGUAGAAUCACACCCCUCAGAGAUAAUGUAUUUAUUCAGCUCUUCGAAUGAAUGAAGUUUAUUUUCUCGUCAAAAAAAAAAACUGCUCGCUCCGCUGGUUUCAUACAAUGUCAACUAGAAACAUCAUACUUUCGUGUAAGUUCAUUUCAGAAUAUUUCUUAGAGUUUGUAUAAAAUGAAAAGAUUUUAAAAUAUAAAUUUAAUAUUUGUUUAUUACCGUUGUUUGGUCUAAUUUCCUCGGGAGAAUUUUCAGAAUUUAUAGGACAUUAGUUUAUAAUUUUGAAAUUUUGUAACCUAAAUGAUUUUUUUUUCGGUUACCAUUUUGUUUUCCUGCUUUAUCUACGUGUAUGUUGACUAAAACUAAUCUAUUUUGUUAAACCUUUACCACUCUAGACAUUGCACUAAAUAUGAGUUCGUGAUGCUUGCAUUUUAUUGAUGCUGAUGAUUCGUUGAAUGUUUUAUGUUUUUGAUUUUUAAGUAUUCCGGAUCGAAGUUUGUGUCUACGCGGAAAUUGUAAAGGCAGCAUAUAAAGUACUCGUCGUUCUUUAGAUUUUAUUGAGUACACUUUUGUCACAUUUAGCGUAUGCUAUACACUACUGAUUUGCGCAUUGACAUAUAUCUUUUUUUUUUAUGAGAGGGGGCUCGUCAAAACGAGCUAAACAGGAACAAACCGGGGGUUAGAAAUCCCAAACAAGUCUUGCGAAAUGAUAGAAUAAACACCCAUAGGAGGGUUAGAGAACACAUGGAGGCCAAGAGGAGCUGAAUGAGCCAUAUUAGCCAUGAAAUCCGCAGCUGAGUUUGCUUCGCGAUAAAUAUGGGUGAUAGCAGUCUGCCAAUUUCUACUUAGUAAUUCCCGGACAGCUGAUAAUAAAGCAGUGAACGCAUUAGGAACAACCACCUGCUUAGAAAUCAUUUGUGUAAUACAAAUACUAUCCACUUCCACCAACAACCGUUUUAUGCCUACAUCCCAAGCAAGAAUUAGGCCCUGAUACAGCCCCCAAAGCUCAGCCAUAAGCACUGACCUGUCCCCAAUUUUCAUACAAAAGCCGGAUACCCAAUGACCAACUGAGUCUCGAAUAACACCUCCCGCUCCUGCUUCCCAAGUAUUUUUACAGGAGCCAUCUGUAUUUAAUUUACACCAUGGCCAAGGCGACGGCAGCCAAUGAAUAUAAAUCUCCUGUCUCCUCGGCUGCUGGCUUAGGCAAGAAUUAUUUACUCUGCAAAUUUCUUUAGCUCUCGCCAUAACAUCCAUAUAGAUUGUUAGACUAUCCACCAGCUUUCCCUCAAAGAAAAAAUGGUUCCUCCAGAACCAUAGCCUCCAAACUACCACACCAAAGAUACAAUCCCAGGGGAGGGGAGACCCAAUCUUCCAUUUAUUUUGCAGGUUCCCAGCAAUCCAUUCUCGUAAGUUCGAAUUGAAGAAAGUGUUAUGACUGGCCAUCGGAACAAGCUUCCGCCAAACCUGCUUGAUACAGCUGCAGUCUCUCAAUGCAUGGAGGAUAUCUUCAACCGCACCCCCACACCUAUCACAAUCCUCAGGAACAUUAAUAUGGCGCCUAACAAGUUCAUCACGAGUCUUGAGUUUCCCAUGCAUAAGCUGCCAAAGAAAAAGGCGGAUGGAUUGAGGCCCCUUCCAACUCCAUGGAAGCUUCCAAUUUCUGUCAUGAACAGCAGCUUGAUGAUAGCAAAGUGAUUCAUAAGCUGACCGAACCGAAAACAUGCCGCUUGGAUCAAAGCCCCAGUAAAUAAUAUCAGCCCCAAGAUGAGGAGCCGGAGGCAAGACUGAAGCAAUCUGCAUGAGAAUACCAUGCGGCAGAAGAUGCUCAAAGCUCGACCAAUUCCAUCCCCCAUGCCCAUUCGUAAAGUCACUCACAGUGGCAUUGAUAAGCUCGUGAGGAAUCGGCAAGAUGGCAAGGCUGAUCAGAGGAUAUUUCGUAGCCCAACAAUCAACCCAGAAUCGAGUUCUAACACCAUCACGAACUGACCAGCGAGCUCCCUGCACUGUUGCCAACCACGUGCUACGAAUAGCCCUCCAAAUCUGAGAACCCGGUUUGUCUGAAAGAGACAUUGGUAGGUUGCGAGACUCCAAACCAUAUUUGGAGCAGAAGACUUGCACCCACAGUUUAUCCGAAUUGGAAACAACCUCCCAGCUCAAUUUCAUCAACAUCGCCUGAUUCAUUUCGUCCAUUUUUUUGAAUCCCAGGCCUCCAUGUUUUUUCGGCUUGCAAAUUUUGUCCCACCCCACCAUACUCAUCUUGUGACUCUUUGAAUUCCCAUCCCAAAUAAAUCUUCGACAAGCUUUGUCUAUUUUAUGUCUCACUGGAGAAGGAAGUAAGGUCGUUUGCAUGGCAUAAACAGGCAUUGCUUGCAGGACUGAUUGAGCCAGAGUGACGCGUCCAGCAAAAGAUAGAUGAGCCGCGUUCCAACCAGUUAACCGCUUAUCCACUUUAUCAAGGAUGGAUUGAUACGUGUAUUUAUUAACCCGCGAAUGGAUUAAGGGCAUUCCAAGAUAAUCACCCAAAUUAUUUGUGGCCGAAACUCCCAAAGUCGAGCCUAUGAUAUUGGCAUCCCGAGAAGCGACAUUUUUUGAGAAGAAAACUUUAGUUUUCAUUUUGUUGACUUUUGCUUCCGAACUCCUACAAUAAUUAUCCAGAACAGCAUCUACGACAUAAGCUUGAUCAAUUGAAGCUUCCGCAAAUAAAAGCAAAUCAUCUGCAAAAAAGAGAUGCGUUAAAGGAGUUCCAUAUUUGGCCAACCGGAUAAGCCUCCAUCUCCUCUCCAUCACCGCUUGGGUUAUACCAUGGCUUAACCGUUCAAUGCACAGAACAAAAAGAUAAGGCGAGAGGGGAUCGCCCUGACGGAUACCCCUUCCCGGAGUGAAAGCUUAUGUCGCCUCGCCAUUCCACAAAAUACGCAUACUAGCUGAAGUUACGCAUUCCAUGAUUAGUCUAGAUAAGUGAAUUGGAAUACCAGUCUGGUUAAGCGUAUCAAAAAUGAAAUCCCAACUGAGCCGGUCAUAAGCCUUCUCAAGGUCGACCUUAAUGGCCAUAAAUCCUUUCCUGCCAGUUUUUCUGCGCAUAGAGUGAACUACUUCCUGAGCCACUACAAUAUUAUCUACUAUAUGCCUCCCAGGAACAAAGCUCGUCUGAUUGGGGCUUAUUAGAUUGGGCAGCAGUGUUUGCAAUCGAGUGGCUAUAAUUUUAGUCACCGUCUUGUAGGCCACUGUGUAUAGGCUUAUGGGCCUAAACAUCUUUAAGCUAGUGGGGUGCUCCUCUUUAGGAAUCAAAACCAAGAGGGUAGUAUUUAUCUCUUGCGGCACCUUCCCCGUUGUAAAAAUAUCAUGAAUAAACCUGCAAAACGACGGACCAACCACAUGCCAUUGGGAUUGAUAAAAUAUAGCGUGCAAACCAUCCGUACCUGGGGCUUUCAGCGGCUUCAUGCUAAACACAACGUUCCGAAUUUCCUCCCUCAAAAUUGGGGCUGCAGCCCCAUCUACGUCAUGAGAAUCCAAGGCUGGGAAAAAGUUUGGAGCAUGGUAAUUCCGAUAAGUUGCAUUAUCACUUGUAAAUAGGUCAGAAAAAUACCCCACUACAUGCCUCCUUAUAUCCUCCUCAUCAUAUAGCCAAUUCCCCGAACAGUCUCGGAUGGCCUCAAUUCUAUUCCGCCGCCUUCGAGCAAUGGUUUUUUGGUGGAAAAAAUUCGUAUUUCUGUCCCCAUGCAGAAGCCAAUCCUUUCGAGAUUUCUGAAGCCAAAGAAUUUCCUCCGAUUCAUCACCAUUUCGAGCUCAUUUUGCAUGCGGGCUUAUAAGCGCAACAAACUGUUAGAGCUAUAAUUCUCUAGAGUAGCUUGAAUUCCAUUAAUCCGAGCCAUAAGCCGGCGUUUUCUCUGAAAGAUAUUCCCAAACACAUCUCGAUUCCAAGCUUGAACCUCCUGGACAAAAUGAGAGGCUGCUGCACUAUAAUGGAUUUGCGGAUUCCACACCCGCUUAAUAAAGUUAUGAAAAUGCUCGUGAGUUAACCAAGCAGCCAAAAAGCGGAAAGGCCUGUUCCUCCUGUGACCGGCCACAGCUCUCUCAAACCGAACCAGCACCGGCCUGUGAUCCGAGGCAACCUUCGGGAGGUGGAGGACAGAAUUAUUCGGAUACUUAUGUAGCCAAUCACUAUUGCACAGAGCUCUAUCAAGCCGUUUAAAGAGCAAUCCACGUGACCAAGUAAACCUUGGACCUUUAAACUUUAAAUCAAAAAUUUGGUGCCCAUCAAACCAUUUCCGAAACAGAUUACACACUCCUGGGUUCCUGGCCUCACCCCCCUGCUUUUCAGAGGCAUAUAAGAUAGAAUUGAAAUCCCCACCUAUCAGCCAAGGGCCUCGAAUUGAAGGCGCAAGGUUCUCCAUAUGGCUCCACAACUGUCUCCUUAGCAUUGGAUUUGGGCUGGCAUACACAGCCGUUACCCAAGACACAAAGGUCUUAUUCAUACAAAAUUUAAAGUGAAUGAACUGCCUAUGAUUAAUUAAGACUUCCACCUCUAUGGAAUUUCGCCAAAGAAGCCAAAUUCCUCCAGAAAAACCCACAGCUUCCACCCGGUGCGAAUACUCAAAUCCACUUUUCUUUAUAAAGUCAUCGGCUUUAGCACCACUAGUGCGAGGUUCCAUUAACACCACCAUCGAUGGAUUGUAGUUUUUAAUAAUUGUUUUAAACGAGCGCCUAAAUACCCCCGAGGCUGCCCCUUGUACAUUCCAGAACAUGAUACUAGCUGACAUAAUAAAAAUAACAGGAGAGAAACAAACGUCUACUGCUGCUGUCCAAGGACUUCCUCCAUCCACGCCAAUGGCGUUUCUUGAACCAUCUCAACUUCAUUCUCAACCAUCCCAUCGCCAUCAACACCAUUUAUAGGUACAACUGGAUGGUUAUGAGCACUGUCACCUUCAUUCACCCGAUGGAUGGUUUGAUCAUCUGGAGGGUCUGCUACUUGUUGUGGAUCCGGACCUUGCCUCUCUAUGUGUUCCGCGGUCACGUCCCUUUCAUCACCAUUAGGAAGGGUUUGGGAGGAGCAAACAAACACUGUGUGUUUAGAGGGGUCCAGGGUGGUUGCGAAUGGUGCCACGAGUUGAUUGCUAGAAGCUUUCUGAGGGAAAAUAUGGGGUUCAAAGCUUCGGUUUGCAUGAGGUAGGAUGGAUAUUUCCUUCUCUCUGGUGCUGAAGACACUAGGCUGGAGAGGGUUACAGGUAGGAGUUACUGGGACGUUUGGUUUCCUGCUCUGAUUCCUUGCUGCCACGGCCUUAUUUUGCGGCUUACGACGAGCCAUAGUCUUUGCUGAGGUAUCUGCUCUGGCUGUGAAAGUAUGGUUUGAUGCGGGCAUGAAAGGUUGCCGUGAGGUGGAAGGGAAGUCUGGGCAAGCCUCAUGCACAUGGUUUCCACCUUCAUCCGAGACUUUGGAUAAUAUGUGAAACCGUGAGGUACCAGCUCCAGUAAACUCCCUAUUACGGUUUGAGUCUCCAGUGUUCUCCUUACCAAUAUUCGGCUUCCUUCCUCUCCUAGUGGCAAUCAUCCAGGGUCCGAAUAGUUCCACAUUAUUAUCACCAUUACUACCUACAGCCUGCUGGCCAGGAGCCUCAUUUUCCGGCACUGCCUGUUGGGGUUGACCAGCAUCUUCAGGGCUUGUCGAACUCUUAGCAUCCUUACAGUUGCUGCUACUAUGCCCGUAAGAUUCCACACUUAUAACAAAUUACUGGCAAUCCCUCGUAUUCCACCUUCUGGAUCUUCCCAUCCAAUUCAAACUGAGAUACCAGCGGCCUUGUUAACGAGAUACUUACUGCAAGACGUGCAAAUCUUCCACGAGAUGAGGAGGCUGUAUUCGAAUCGAUUUUAAUCACGUUACCCACUAACUGACCCAGCUUCUGUAGAACUUUUCGAUUAUAAAGAUGAACCGCAAGGCCUGGUAAACAGAUCCAUACCGUGACUUGAUCAAGAUCCGCAUUUGUGAAAUCAAAAGAGGGUGUCCAUGGCUGCACAGUUAAAUAUUGACCCAUUAUAAGCCACGGUCCCUUAGUUAAAACAUCCAUAGCAUCCCCUACCGAUCUGAAACGAACCAGAUAAUAAUUGUUUUCCAAGUCAAUCACGGAAAAACCCAUGGCUGAUUUCCACAUGACAUUUAAUCUUGCACACAUAGCUCUAUAGCCAAUUGUGCGGCCAAGCAACUUCACAACCACCGAGUUCUUCCAAGGCUCACUUAACUUAGCAUGAACCCUAGCCGAAAAAGUGAUGGAUGGCAUGGGUCCCUCGUUAGUUUCAAUAAUGUCUCCUUCCUCAAAAUCCCAGUCCUCUAGUCCACCUCCAAUUCCUUGCUCCAUCGCUUGUGUUGCAUUCACUAGGGUUUCUUUGUACGAAAACUGUACAGUGGUAUCCCCAGCAUGUUCUUCAUCACGAAAUCUUGCUUUUUUAAUCGUUCUAGCCUCCCUAAACGGCGGGGGAAAAAUCCCUCCGGAGUUAGGGUUUCCUUCACGUCCGAGGUUUUCGGAGCCUUCCAUAUGGUGUUGAUCUUUUUAAGUCACUCGUUUCAAUAUUUCAUUUAUUUCCUUUUCAAGCUAACAAUUAAUGUAUAUGAAUGUGCGGAUGCAUUGACAUAUAUCUUAUUUUAUCAUUUUGAAUGAAUUGCACGGCGAGGCUUAUCAACUUUGGAUGAAUCCUCCAAUUGUCGCAGUCCAAGACUGGCUGCAGUGAGUGAAAAUUUACCCAUAUAUAUGCUGGCUAUUUUUAUUGGCGACGAAUUCGUUGUAGUUGGUCCAUCUUGCUAUUCUCGGACAAUAUUAGAGAAAAUAAUCAUAUUAUUUCGCGUGAUGUGACCUUCCAUAACGUAUCAAUUGAAUUACUGUAAAAUUAUUGUGUAAGUUUAGGCCCAAUGGCACUUUAGUUCAUCACAUGAUAGCCUGGAUUUAAAAGGAAAACUAUAUUGCAUUGCUUCAAAAAAAAAAUUUAAUGUUUUUAAUAUGAAUAUUUUUAACUAUAUUCAGUUAAAAUAAUAUAUUCUUAAUAUUAAUAUUCAUAGAUGAAAUUCUUUUGCGGAUUUAAGAAUAAAAUAUCAAAUAGUUUUAUUUUUCUUUUGUUGUGUAACUUGGACCGAAAAAGAAAAUGAGCUUAACAUGACCCUCCUUCCGGCACUAUGCAUGUUUUUCUUUUAUUUUUCUUGUAUUGAUGACAGUGCUCUUGGUGCUUCUCAUCUGCUUCUUGCUUUGGUUUCAAACAAGUCUUUCUCCGUCGAGACAUUUAUUGUAAUUUGAUUUGGAGACAUCUGUCGUUCAAAUAUAUUUCAUAUGCAAGCUGUUGAUAAUUCUGCUUGAGAAAGCCUUCAAAGCAGCUGUGUGAUGUAAUAGAAGACUAUAUAUGCAAGCGGGUACCGAGCUCGAAUUCUUUCUUGAGUUUCUUUGAAUUAUUUGUGAAUGAGUUCUUAAUCGGCUGCUGCUCUUCAGGAAAAGGAAAGUGUUGCAAACUGGUGAAGCUGAUCGAUAAAAGCAAUGUACCAUCUUUGCUGCCAUGGAUCGAUGCCAGUGAGUUUUUUAAUUUGUCAACCUUUUUAAUAAUGCAUAUGUGUUUCUUCAACUUGAAGCGGCAUUUAAGACGAAAGAAGUGAUCUUUAAAGCAUUCUAUAGCAUUAUCCUUUCCUAUUAUAUAUAUCCAAUUGCUCCAAAUUAUUUGUAAAUUACUGAACACGAAUGCUGAUGAAUAAACUGAUGGCUCUAUGUAUGUAUGCACAUGCAUGGAGAAAUUUUAAGUCAGACAUUCCCAUAUAUAACUCGUGCUACCAAAUCAUUAAAUAAUCUUGAAAUCAAAGUAAUAAUUAAAUACAAAUAAAUUGCUCGAAUUGUACAUAUAUCUGAAUCAUGUAGUGAAGAAAAUACAACAACAACAACCAAUGGCUCAAAUUCCCCAUCAACUUCUAAUCUCAACACUUUUGAGUGUCAGAAGCAUUACUCUGCUACCAGUUAACAAACAUAUAAUUAGUAAUUUGCCAUUCACUUCCCUUUUAGGCCUAACACAUUUUCUAUAAAGGAGCCACAGAGUGAACUCAGCAGGAAACACUCAAUUUCAACCUACGUAGGACCAGGAAUUUCAACCAAAAAAAAAGUGUGCAAUUGCUUAUCCUAUCCUAUUGCUACUAGAAAGAAAGUGAACAAUUAAUUUCAGUGAAUAAAUUAAAAAAAAUUACUUCUGCAGAUACUCAAGCUAAGAACACAUUAACCCAUUAAAGACUCCAAAUUGCAUCAAACAAAUUGUUGUUAAACAAGUAAAACAAAGAAAGAGAGUUAAGGAAGCUGACCUAGUAGUAGGGGAGCUGAAGAAAGACUGCCAGUGAAUGUAAGAGAAAAUAAAAUGCAAUAAAUGGUGAAGUGCAGCUUUUCAUGUCAACUUGAAAUUGUUUCUUCUGUUUUUUUUUUUUUUAAUCUUUUGGAUUUUUAAAACAAAGAAAAUGAGGAGCAACCAGGGAGAUAAAAAGGGCGCCAAGGCAACUGUGUGUUGGGUUUAGAGCCCAAAAAAAAAGGAGGAUAAGACAUCGUGUUCUUGUGGAGACCAGACCUAUUACGUAACGUCCCCUUCAAUACCACUUGUUCCGUAUCUGGUUUUUUCUUCGUCUUUUACAUAUUUAUCCUGUGAUUUUACAAUAACUAAAUAAUCCCCGCAUAGUUUGCAAUUUUAUUCAUUUGAGCCCUACAGAUUUCAGUAAUAGGUAGAGUUGGCAAAACGGGUCAUCGGGUCGUGUUCGUGUCAUGUCAAAUUUAAGUCGACCCAAACCCGACCCAUUUAAUAAUCGUGUCAAAAUAUUGAGACCUAAAUCCGACACGGAAAAAUAAUCGGGUUACCCAAUAACUCGUUUAAUAUCAAUAUAUUGAACAAAAGUUACAUCAAAUAUUUACACACUAUCAUACAUACAUACAUAAUUUAUCGAUAUUAUAAAAUAUAUAUAUCUACUAAUAUAUUACACAUUUACACUAUUGAGGUUUUAAUUAUAUAUAUAUAUAUAUAUAUACCUACGAUGAUUGUUUAAGCCGCGGUAAACGCUUCUAGAACGCCCUCUGGCAGGAAGGAAGGUACUCAAAGAAAGUGGAGAUGAGGGAAACUCCGCUGGAGUGAGGGGAUUUAUCGGAAUCUCGUUCAGAGUGAGGAGUCAAUGAGGGUUUGCUUGUACUUGUGGUUCUAUUGAUAGGUGUUUGCAAUGGGCUUUCGUCUCAGGUAGUUCAGUCUCCGGGGUUACGCUUAGUUUCAUAUAAAAUAAAUGAAGAAGACAGCUGGACUUCAGAGUGGGAUCCUCCUAUGUUGUCGGCUGUUUGUUUGUCCGCAGCUAUUACAGCUUGUGCUCGAAUAUAUAUGUAUCCAUAUAUUUCCAGAUAUUAUAUAUCAAUAUAUAUAUAUAUUAUUUAUCAAUAUUAUAAAAUCUACAUAUCUAUCAAUUUUUUCACAUUUACACUAUUGAAGCUCUAAAUGUAUUUAAAAUUUUAUAAAUAAAAUAUUAUGUUUAUAUUCACCCUUUUAAAGAAUAAAAAAGAAAAUCAUUACUAAUAUUUGAGUUUUAAUGAUAAGAAUAUGUAAAUUAUUUUAAAAUAGAAAAUAUAAUCGGGUCAUUGAUCGGGUAAAUGGGUCAAGAAUUUUAACUCUAACCCGACACGGAAAAAAAUCGUGUUGACCCGGACCCGACCCAUUUAAUAAUCGUGUUAAAUUUGACGACCCAUAUUCAUUUAUUUAUGUCGUGUUCGUGUCGAGUAAUCGGGUCGUGUCAAAUUUUGCCAGCUCUAGUAAUAGGAAUUAUUAAGGGACAAGAGCGCAAAACAAAAACUCUGUCCACUACUGAUGAUAUAACAACGAACCUUUGUUUUUUUCUUCUUUUUUUUUUACAAAAUAUCAUUAGAGAAAUGAAAAUAUUAACUAACAUCACCCUACUGAUGAUAUAACAACGAACCUUUGUAGUUUCUGCCUGUUAAUAUGAAUUGAUCAGGAGUGUUUCCUCACUUAAAAAUUACGAAUUUACAAAUAUGUAUGUAAGUAUGUAUGUAUGUACGUACGUACGUGAGUAUGUAUGUACAUAUAUGCAUACACCUAUGUAACAUUUACUUAUCCAUCCUUUUGAGUUUAAAACUUAAUACACAUUUUCAUGAAAUUUUUAUUUUAUUAAGUAUACAACUACAGUAAUGUAUAUAUUUUUUAUAUAAGACAUGCCGUCAUAUUAUUCAUAAGUAAAACAAUGUGUUGUAAAUAGUUUAAUUAUUAAAUAUCAUACAAUAUCUUUCAACAACCGGCAAUAGACCUUUACCCAUUUUUCUUUUUCGACCAUUAGAUUCAUUCAGUUUACAUCCAACGGCAGUUUAGGAUGGAGACAAAAAGUGUGGUACGUUACCACAGUGGUAACAUUGGAUUGGGAUUGUAUGUCGUGUUUAAUUUGAAUUGGUUGAUUCCUCUAAUGAAUUAUUUUGAUAAAUUUAGUAGCAGUAUUUGGCGGCAAAAGUAUCAUUAAUUUUUGGAAAUAUGAUUAUGUUAUUAAUUAUUUUAGCAUUCUAAAAAGUCAAUGGUUAUGUUGGAAAUACUCUAAGGUAGAAUAGAGUACAAAUCACAGUCACACAUACAAAAUGAUAAAUAAUAAAAAAUAUAUUAUAUUUUUGAUCAUAUGAUUAUGAAGACGUAUUUUACCUUAAAGAAGUUCUAAUAAGCGAAUUCUUCUAAAACAAUAUAAAAUUUCUUUUUUAUCAUACUCAACCGCUUCAAACUUCUAAGAAGUAGAUAUACAAUGAGUGGAAUACUGAAUUGAGUGCGAGCUGCGGAUAAUAUAUAAAAUUGGGAUACAAGCUUCAAGGAAAGUGUAUUGCUAUUCAAAUGUAGAUUUCAAAUUAAGAAGAUAUGCCAGCAAAUUGUAUAAAAAUGUAUAAAUUGAUCAGUAACAUUAAUUCCAAAUGAUGAAAUGAGUUAUCUUGAUCAAAAGGUCAAGAACCUACCUUACUUCUCUUAGAGAUAACUUGCAUCAACCGUUGUGGUAUUGAUACUUGUCUUCAGCUAGUAAAAGACUAAAAGUGAAAGUUUCACAAUUGAAAUAAAGCUAAGGGAAGAUGCUAUGCUCCAUUUAUUAUUAUUAUUAUUGAUGUGGUCGAGAAGUAAAGCCAUGCAUAUGAUGAAGUAUAAAUAAGAAUGCAAUAGCCCGGAAUUCAUUUACACAAACACUUCAAUAUCCUUUUGAUCACUUUUGCAAACAUCAGUUUGUCUCUUGUAUUCACCAUGGUUGAUGCCAUCGUUUCCUCUCUUGUGGAGCAGCUGACUUCCUUCGCUGCUAAAGAGAUAAUACAACAGGUGAUCGAAGUUACACCCCCCAUAUUAUAAAUACUUCUAAUGAUUUUAAUUGGUUUUGUUUUUAUCGGAAACAUUAACUUUGCUUUAUUUUAUUUAUUUAGGCAUUUUAAAUUUUAAAAUUUGAAUUGAAUUCAAUUAAAAUGUGAUGUAGCUAGUAACCACUUUUUUUAUUUCAUUUAUAUUCUCAAUAACUACCCAUAUUUUGGUAACUUACUGUAACCCCCGUAUCUAAGAAAUGAUUAAAACCCACAAUUUUAACUCCACAUAAAUAUUCCAUGUUGAGCUAAGUUUUUGCAUAACAUUCAAGUUUGUUAAAUAGUCAUUAAUUUAAUGUUUAGUAAAAACUUAUCUCUGAAAAUUUUCAUAAUUUUCUUACAUUCUUUGAGUUUGGUGAGUGACUUCAUAUAAUUUCUUUUCAAUUUAAAUUUUAAUUUGGUUUCUGAUAUAGUCUCUUUACUGAAUUUAUAUCUUUUAUGAUUCUUGGAUUUUGGGCUCCAACUUUUUAGGAUUUGAUAGUCACAUUUUAUGGCAUGCUUAGAUUGAUUUUCAUGAUUUGAGUACUCGUUAAGUGACUGAGAAUUUGACAAAAGUUUGAAAGGAAAUCCGUUUCACGAUUCUUAUGUGGAAGGUUCGUAAAAUCAUGAAAUUUGGAUAGGAUUCGCUAGCAAUAUGUACAAGACUCUUCAUGAAGUUUCAUAAUUUUUCGUUCGGUCUGGGGUGGUACAGGUGAAACUUGUGGUUGGUGUUAAAGAAGAAGUGAAAAGCCUUAUCAGCCACCUUCAAGCCAUUCAAGCUGUGCUCGAUGAUGCAGAGGAAAAGCAAGUGAAGGACAAAGCUGUUAGACAUUGGCUGGGCAGGCUCAAGUAUGCAUCCUACGACAUUGAAGAUGUGUUGGAUGAGUGGAUCACAGCUAGACACAAAUUGCAAAUUGAGGGUGGCGUUGAUGACAAUGCUCUUGCUGCUCCUCAAAAGAAAAAGAAGGUAUGUUUCUGCUUUCCUGCCUCUUGUUUUGGAUUCAAACAAGAAGAAUUUGGUUUCAGACAAGUCUUUCUACGUUAUGACAUUGCCAACAAGAUCAAAGAAAUGAAUAAAGAGCUACAUGAUAUUGCCACUCAAAAAGACAUGUUUAAUCUUGUUAAGAGUGGCAAUAAAAGUGGUGAAAGACCAAGGCGUGUACAGAGUACCUCCUUGAUUGAUGAGGAAGAGAUUUGUGGUAGAGUUGGUGAGAAGAAUGAACUCAUAAGCAAGCUGUUGCGUGAGAGUAGCGAGCAACAAAAAGGCCUCCAUAUGAUCUCAAUUGUUGGUAUGGGAGGCAUAGGGAAAACUACUCUUGCACAACUAGCUUGUAAUGAUGACGUGGUGAAGAGAAAGUUCGACAAAAUUCUGUGGGUGUGUGUAUCAGAAACUUUUGAGGAGUUUAGGGUUGCCAAAGCAAUCGUUGAAGCUUUGGAUGGUCGUGAAUCUCAUUUAGGUGAAUUCCAAUCUCUUCUUAAACAUAUUGAUGAAUCCAUUGCAGGGAAGAGCUUUCUUCUUGUCUUAGAUGACGUGUGGGAUGGAAAUUACUUGAAAUGGGAACCAUUCUAUCGUUGUCUAAAGAAUGGUCUCCAUGGAAGUAAAAUUUUAGUUACCACACGUAGUGGGUCCGUUGCAUCCACGAUGGGAUCCAUAGAUAUUAUUCCCAUUGAGAAAUUAGCUGAAGAGGAAUGUUGGUUGUUGUUUAACAAGAUAGCAUUUUUUGGUAGGCCUAUCGAGGAACGUGAAAAAUUCGAACGAAUUGGGCGAAGAAUUGCUGGCAAGUGCAAAGGUUUACCUCUUGCAACAAAGACAAUAGGUAGUCUCAUGCGUUCUAAACAAACUGAAGAAGAGUGGAAAAGAAUUUUAAAUAGUGAUUUAUGGAAAGUAGAAGAGAUUGAGAAAGAUGUUUUGUCCUCUUUAUUGUUGAGUUACAAUGAUUUGCCAUCUAGAGUAAAAAGAUGUUUUUCAUAUUGUGCUCUCUUUCCAAAAGACUACGAUAUAGAAAAAGACAAACUAAUCACAUUGUGGAUGGCUCAAGGUUAUCUUAGUGCAGAAGAAGAUGAGGAGAUGGAGACUAUAGGUGAAGAGUAUUUUAGCAUCUUAGCUUCUCGCUCUUUCUUUCAAGAGUUUAAGAAAAGUUAUGAUAAUCGGAUUAUAGAGUGUAAGAUGCAUGAUAUGGUACAUGAUUUUGCCCGAUUUGUAAGUCAAAAUGAAUGUUUUUCGAUGGCAAUUAAUGGUAGUGAAGAACCAAACGCCACAAACUCUGUUGAUGAGAAGGUCCGUCAUUUAAUGUUAAUCUUUAGUAUAGAGGCUUCAUUACCUGUUUCCACUCCUAGAGUUAAAAGAAUGCGUACCCUCUUAAUUAACGAUAGUAGAUCUGAUCAAUCAUUAUUAAAUGGUGAGAUCCUAGAAGAAUUGUUUAGGGAAUUGACAAGUUUAAGGGCAUUAGAUUUUGACAAAUUGUACCACUCAAUUUGGUCUUCGACUCUGGAGAUUCCGAGAAACAUAGAAAAGCUGGUACAUUUAAGAUACCUUAAUUUGUCUUCUCAGAAAAUAGUGGAGCUACCGGAGACAUUGUGCGAGUUAUAUAAUCUAGAAAAGUUAGAUAUUAGUUUUUGUUUUGAUCUUAGAGAAUUACCUGAAGGGAUUGGGAAGUUAAUAAACAUGAAGCAUUUACUAAAUUAUGAUACUGAUUCUUUAAGGUACAUGCCAGUAGGGAUUGGGAGAUUAACGGGUCUUAGGACCUUGGAUGAGUUCCACGUGAGUGCAGGAGGAGCUGUUGAUGGUAGGAAAGCAUGUAGGCUUGAAUCUCUUAAAAACUUGGAACACCUUCAAGUAUGUGGUAUACGUAGACUGGGUGAUGUAUCAGAUGUGGGCGAGGCUAAGCGAUUAGAACUUGACAAAAAGAAAUACCUCUUCAGUUUGACCCUUGAGUUUGAUAAGAAGGAGGAAGAAGAAGGAGAAAGAAGGAAGAACGAGGACGAUCAACUUCUUCUUGAAGCCCUGCGACCACCUCUGGAUUUAAAGGAAUUAGAGAUACGGUUCUACCGAGGCAACACUGUUUUCCCCAGCUGGAUGACGUCAUUAACCAACUUAAAGAGUUUAAAACUCUCUUUCUGCGAAAAUUGCGAGCAGCUGCCUCCUUUGGGAAAAUUGCCGUCCCUUGAACAGCUCUUCAUAUCGUACAUGUCGAGUGUGAAAAGAGUGGGUGAUGAAUUUUUGGGGAUAGAAAGUGAUCAUCAUGGCUCAUCUUCAUCUUCAUCGGUUAUUAUUGCCUUCCCCAAAUUGAAAUCACUUUCAAUUGAGUUUCUGUGCGAAUUGGAGGAGUGGGAUUAUGGGAUUACAAGAACGGGAAACACCGUCAUCAACAUCAUGCCACGUCUUUCUUCCUUGACAAUUGCUCUUUGCCCCAAAUUAAAGGCACUGCCCGACCACAUUCAUCAAACGACAACAUUGAAGGAAUUGCACAUUUGGGAUUGCAGGCUUCUGGAAGAACGUUAUUGCAAGGGGGAAGGAGAAGACUGGCCUAAGAUAUCACACAUUCCCAACCUCCAUAUUGGGCAUUGACAAGUAAUUUCUUCUCUUACUCUGAUUUGCUUUGUUGUUGUUUUUAAUCUAAUUAAGAAGCGUAAAUAGCAUUUUGAAUCAAACUCUAUAUCAGAAAUCUGCAAUACUUACUUUCUAAUAUUCUGAUUUUCAUAUCCUAUGAAUAUACGAUUUUUAAUUUGUGAGAUGGGUAACGUUACUGUAAAAGAUUAUUAAUGCAAUAUGAGUAAUUCUUUUGCAGGACAAGUGACCUACAUUUAGUUUGGCUUUGGAGUUGAAUAAUAACCUUUCGGGAACUGGUGUGGACUGGCAAAGGAUGAUGAGAUAGUUUUUUGAGUGAGUAAAUUUUGGGAGCUUGAGUGUAUUGGGAUUUGCAAUUACAAUCAUCGUCUGCCUCAGGUGAUUUCUUCUCCUGCUCUGUCAUUGUUUGUUCUCUAAUUCAAAAGCAUAAAAUAUUUCAAUCAAUUUUUAUGCCAGGAAUAUGCAAAAGUUUCUAAUAUUUUAUUUCCAUCUGUCACAAGAUCAAACUGAAGCAGAACUCAAACAAAAGUAUGCUACUUCUUGCGGAAAUCUUGCCUUCGUUCAAAUUAUGAAACCAUUUCCAUGCAGCAAAUUCAUCCAAAAGUUUGAAUAAGUUUCAUGGUUGGACACUGUUGGCUUCUUUUUCUUCUGGGGUGCAUUUAGGUGCUAUCAAGUGACAGCUGUAAGUAUGAUUGCACUAAGCUGCUGCUGGGAAAUUUGAGGUUUUGAUGGCUGCCCAUGUUAUUUUCAAGAAACUAUUGAUGUAAGAAGCCGUGGUUCUUUUCAUCAGCUUGAACCUGAAACUGUCGCUAUGGAUAACUCAGGUUUUUGUUAUCAACUAUAUCAUCUUUUUCACUAUUUUGAAACUCUUAAGAUUAAACGUUAGUAAAGUUGUUUCAGCUAUUCAAAUGAAAAACUCAUUGAUUUGAGACUUCCUUCAUUAUUGUUUCUAAUUACAAUGCUAACGAUCCAGAUAAAAUAAUAUUUAAUCGGCGAAGGUGUCCCUUGGAAGUACAUCCUUCUUUUUCUUUUAUUAUAUAAAUUCUUGCAAUGAGCUUAGUCAAGAUGUUGUGCUAAUCAUGCCACUGCAUAUAAAUUCUCCAGAAGUUAAAAUCAAUAAAUUUUCUAUUAGCUCUAGUGCUUUGACCUAAAUGCUAUUCUAUAUUCUGAUUACAAUGUUUUAACCUUUAAAUUAACUACCCCUAGGUGUUGGAUUUUCUAGAACUUCAAAAUGAUUAAUGGAGAAAGAUCCCAUUAUCGUUAUUGCUAUAAGAAAUUGAUUUAUGCAUCCAAAGAUACAUUAUAUAUUUCUGUGUCUCUAUUUAUAGAUGACAUUUAAGCAUCCAUAAACCGUCAGACAGAGGAAGGGGGUUCAGUGCAAAGAUUCUGUUGACCUAGGGUUGACUGCAUAAUGUCACUUGUUCGCAAUCUAUUAUUUAUUUUAUAUUUUGAAGAAUUUAAUGGGUAAUCCUAAUUGUUUGUUUUGGCAGGUAUGUGUUGUUUUCUCCUUCUAUCUAACAGUCGUACCUAAAUAGCAUAGUUUCAUCUGUGUUACCAUGUGAUGUACAUAAUUUCACAUUUGCCUCAGAUUAAGCUUAAUUUCCCACAGAAUAGAGCUGUCGCGACUGGACUUAGGUUGAUGUCCAAAGAGGUAAAUUAUUGGCAUGCCUAGAUAAUUUGGCCAUUUCCUAAUUCAUAAGUCUACAUUAAUUUUGAUUUUGAGUUGACUGAUUUCUUUUCAAGGUCUGCUUCCUUAACGGAGUGACCAAUGUUUUUCAACUAAAUUUAUCAUAUGAUGCAGGAAGCAGGGCAGGAUAUGAAAUGAGAAGCUCAUUGGUGGAAGUAUUGCCAGUAACAGAACCCAAAGAAAAUGAAACUAUUUCAAGGCAGCAGUUGGCAGUUGCAAGUGAAUGGAGGCCCUGACAAAAUUCUCAAGCGGUUGCAAUGCAAUUACGAUCAUCCUCAGCCUCAGGUAAUUUCUUCUCCUGCUCUGUUUUUAUUUGUUAUCUAAUUAAAAAGCAUAAAGUAUCUUGAAUCACUUUCUCUAUCUGGAAUAUAUGCAGCAGUUUCUAAAAUCUUCAUAUGAGUGUAAUGAUGGUAAUUUCUGUUUUUUGUCUGUCAUUGAAUGUUAGACAACUUUCAGUGAGACUCUUGAACCGAGACAUUUUUGACAACUGAAGGACAAUUGCUGAAGAGUCGGAAUGGUGCUAGAUUGGGGAAUAAAGACAAAGGAGGUAAAUUAUUUGCAGUUUAUUCAGCAUUAUUUGCUUUGGACCAGCGCCUGAUUCACAAGUCUCCAUAAUUUGGCUUUUGACCAGUUAAUAAAUUUUUAAUUCCAUUGGUGCUAAAUGUACACGUGAAGCAGGCAGAGCAGGACUGUGGAAAUGAGAAGGUUUUUAGUGAAAGCUUAAACUCAGGUAAUUCUAAAAAGUACAUGUUUUUGCUGAUUUAUCUAAAUCAGGAAAUUUUAUUUCCAUCUGUUACAAGAUAAAACAGAAACAGAACACAAAGAAAAAUAUUCUACUUCUUGUGGCAAUCUUGCCUUCAUUCAGACAAUGAAACCAUUUCCUUUCACCAAUUUCUUCCAAAAGUUUGAAUAAGUUUCAUGGGUGGACCUAGUUAGCUUCUUUUUCUUUUGGUGCAUUUAGGUCCUAUCAAGUGACAGCCAUAAGUAUGAUUGCAUUAUUGGGAAAUUUUAGGUUUGGAUGGCUCCCCAUGUUAUUGCCAAGAAAGUCCUCAUGUCAGAAGCUGCGGUUCUUUUCAUCAGCCUGAACCCGAACCUGUCGUUAUGGAUAACUCAGGUUUUUGUCAUCAACUAUAUCAUCUUUUUUACUGUUUUGAAACUCUUAAGAUUAAACUUCAGUAAAGUUGUUUCAGUUAUCCAUGUAAUCAGGCUAAGGAUAUUUAGCAGCUUAUUUAGGCAACUGCCAGAAUUCAGUUUGUUAGCUCGAAACUUGUAUGGUGACAAGGAUACUGGCAAGGAUAGUGAGAUAGUUUUUUGUGUGAGUGAAAUUUGAAAGCUUGGGUGUUCUGGGAUUUGCAAUUGCAAUCAUCCUCUGAGUCAGGUGAUUUCUUCACCUGCUCUGUCUUGAUUUUCUCUCUAAUUGAAAGCAUAAAGUAUUUCAAUCAAAUUCUGUACCAGGAAUACGUAAAAGUUACUAAUAUUUUAUUUCCAUCUGUUUGCAUUGAUAACUCGGCGGCAUAUGUUCUAGUUAAAGAACAAACAGAAACAGAGUUCAGGAAAAAGUUUCUUCGGCCACCAUAUUUGAAAAUGAAACCAUUUCCAGGAAGCAGUUGGCAGCAAAUUCAUAUGGAGUGUAGACAAUGAUGAGCAAAAAGGUGAUUCGCAAUUUCUUUUUUUUUUUAAGUGAAAUUAUUUGUUAGAUUGAAGCUGAUAUUGUAAGAAGGCCAUUGAGCUAACCUAUGUCGCCACUUGCCUAGAUUGCAGGGGGUCAAGACUCAAAAGAAGCACUGAAAUUUAAAAAGCAUGCAAUAGUUCUUUUGCCAUGUGUCAAUUAAUGCAAGUUUGAAUAAGUUUAUUGGCUGAACGAUGUUAGCUUCUUUUCCUUUCGUGCACUUUGGUAUGCUAUCAAGUGACAGCCGUAUGUAUGGCUUGCAUAUAGCUGCUGCUGGGAAAAUUGACGAUUUCAUGGCUGGCCGUGUUAUUGUCUUAAAUUAGUUGUGAUAAGCUGUUGCUUGGAGAUUCUGUUGCCAAGAAUUUGCUCACAUCAGAAGCUGUGGAAUCUGAACCCUUCGAUUCUGUUGCCAAGAAUUUGCUCACAUCAGAAGCUGUGGAAUCUGAACCCUUCGUUAUGUAUCAUCUUUUUCAUUGUUUUAAAACAGUAAACUCUCAGGACACUGAGCAGGCAAAUGUUAUAACUCGGUUUGUUAGCCAAAAACUUGUUGAAGAUUCUUGACAAAGCUGCGUCGAGUGAAUUGUCGGAGCUCUGAGGGUGAGAGAAAUUAGAGGGUGUAUAGGGAUUUGGAUUUGUUAGGAAGUUAUCAUUUUUAUUUGUCCGAUUCAAAACUUGAUAUUCCAAUUAUAUUCAUAAGCUUCUACAGUUAUCUUCAAAAAGACAUUCCAAUUAUAUUCAUAAGCUUCUACAGUUAUCUUCAAAAAGACAAAUGGAAGGCUUUGAACGGCUUGGGUCUGAGUAUUGUAGUUUGAUUUAUUUUGAUGAAAGAACCUUUUGACAUUAAGAUUCUUUCAUGAGUUAAACAUUCUUUUUAAAACCAACUUAUUAAAAAAAAAGUAACGAACAUAUAUUAUUUUGUUAGUGCUUUUUAAAUCAAAUAUAAAAAAGAGAACUGUAAUUCUUAGCAACCAAUUUUUCAUUGAGUACACCUACAACAAAUUAUUAAAAAAUAAAGCGAUAGAAAAUGCCUGAUUUUUCGUACUUUCUAAUUACUUUUGGUCCUAAAAUAUGGCGAUUUGUGUAAUAAUAAGCCCAUGUAUAUCUUUAUGCCAUUAGUUUGAUAAAUAACUAUCAAGGAUAACUUAUUAAGCUAAAAAUAUUUGAAGGAUAAAAUGGGAAAACUAAAAGGGUGGAGUAAUAAAGUUAUUUAAGAUUACAUAGUAAGUUAACUAUAUUCGAGGGAUAAAAUAUUAAAACUUGAAUAGUUAUAUUAAAAAUAUCUCGGCUAUUAUACUAUUAAACCAUAUGCCGUAAUAAUGUUUUUUUUCAAACUUUAAAAAAUUCAGGAUUUUAAAUUAAAACAUGGAUUUCUUUAAGAUGCUAUAUGUGUUUUUACAGUAUUGAUAGUGGGAUUAGUGUGUACCCUUAUAUGAAAGAGUUUUAAUCUGAAUCAUUCAUUUAAUAUAAUAGAUAAUUAAAUAAUUAAUUAAAAUAUAGCAGGUAACUUAUAGGUUGCAGGUAAAAAAUUAAUUUUUUAAUUUUAAAUUAAAAUUAAUUUGGAACAAAACCAUCCACACCCCUAAGGUUUACUUAAAUGAUCAUAUAAAUCCCUUUAGUUUCUACAUAGUUAUACAGACCCUCUUAAUUUCAUAAAUUAUUAUUAUACUUUUAAUUAAAACAACCUAAAUGAAUAUAAAUAUAGUAAUAGGAUAGAAAUAAUAAAUAAAUAUCAGAUGAAACAAAUAAAAUAUUACAAUAAAUACAAUUAAUUAAAUAACAUGUAUGAUGAAAAUUUUAUUCAUAUUAAGUUAUUAUUAGUCUAUCCCGAUGGAUUUACUCAAAUCAAUUAAUCCAAAAUUUAAUUUUAAGAUUGAUAUUAAUAUGGACAUAAUUAAAUAAGAUGUUGUAAUAUAUACUACUUUGAAUGUUAAGUAUAAUUAUCUAAUAUUAUUAGUAUGUGAAAUAGAUUUUAAUAUUAUUAAAGAAUAUGACAAUAUAUAAUUUUGAAUUAAAUUUUUUAGUAUUCAUGAUAUUUUAUAAAUUUUAUGUGAUUUUAUAUAUUAUAUUUUUUAAUUUUAAUGUAUUAUAUAUGAUCAUUUAAGCAAAUUUUGGAGGUGCGGUGGUCUUUUCCCUAUUAAUUUUGUAGCAUAUUUAAAGUGUUAUAUCAUACAUGAUACAUCACACUUUUGUUAAAGUGUUAUGUUAUUAAAAAUUAAACUUUGCAUUUAUAAUAUACUACCAUUUUAAUGUAAAGGUAAUAGAAAAUAUGAAGAUAUUUUUAAGUAGUCAAUUGUAGCUUUCUUUUACAAAAUAGCAGUAUAGAAAUACAAUUGGUAAAAUGUAAUAAAAAUGGUAUGGAAAAAAGUUAGUAGAGGCAAUUAUUCUUGUAGUUGCUAAAACAUAUGAAGUGACACACACACACACACACAUAUCAAGUACUUGUAUGUUCCCCUAACUUUUAUUAAUGGGAAGGAAAUUAAAUUCGUAAUUUUCCCGGUGAAUUAUGAAUUGAUAAAUGAAAUAUAAAUAUUAGUAAAAAUUAAUUUGUCGACUAAAGAAGUAAACCAUAUUUUAUGGGCAUUUAAUACAUUAAUUUAAGGUCAAAUGAGAUAAUAUCACAUGAUAUUUGAUACAAGAGUCCAAUUUUCAACAUUUGCAUAUAGUUUCUAAGCUAGUAAUCUAAUAAAAUAUACCAAAUGAGAAAUUGAAGGCUAUUAUUUAUAUUUCACCAUUGGACAAACACCAUACAUUAGAAUAAAAAAAUCUCACAGUAGAGACGGCAUCUGUUUGCAUGUUUUGAAAAUAGAUUUUGAAAUUAGUUUAAUUACAUGAUAAUUAAAUUAUAUUAUAAAAUUAAGAAUAUGAUUUAAGUACUAUUUUAGCAAUUUUGAGUCUCACAUUGAGUAUUCAAGUUAAUUAAAUGUUGAAACUCUUUUCUAUUUGGCUUGAAAUCACUACUAAAUAAAAUUACAAAAAGUCAAUAAUGAAUGAUGUAGGACACAUAUGUAAAAUAAAUUUUAAAGUGUAAUUAAACAUUCCUAUCAAUAUUAGUUUUGCAUACAUAUUCAUAUAUUUUACCGAAACCAUAUAUAAUUAAAUUUUGUGUAAUUAAGUAAAAUAUAUUAUUCAAGUGAAUUUAUGAGAAUAUUUAAAAUUGUAGGGGUCGUCACUGAAAUUUGCCAAACUUGAGCCAACCGUGCAUGAUCCAAACAGUUUAUUUUAAUAAUUCUCAAUAUGUUAGUCUGUUUGACUGUUGGCAAAAUAAAUUCCUAUCAGCAAUGCAACACAAUUCAAAAUCAUAUCUGCAUACAACGAACAAUAUCUCAUGAAAGAUCAAAUUAUACAUUUUUUACACCAAACCAUAAAUAUCUAAAUUGUCCCUCUUCAACUCACCAAGCUCAUACCUAACAACAGCAAGAUUAAAUGUCAUUUGAUCCAUCUUUUUUAUUAAGCUUUAUCAAUUCUUCUCAUGGUUGCAAUUUUGAAAGCUCGCUUCGCUAUUUCCAUUUGCUUUUAUGCUUUGUUUGAGCUCCAUCUUUUCUCUCCAUCUACAUUUUACACUGUAAAAAAAAUUUUAAAAAAAUUACAAAGCUUCUUAUGCUAGAAUAUGAGCAACAAUAUAAAUAAUAAACAAUAAAGUUAUGAUAGCACAGCAUGCUCAUUAAAGUGCUUCUUUUUUUUUUUUUUCAACAAGAAAUUACUACUGAAUUAAAGAUUUGGCUUUGCAUUAAGGUUUGCCUUCAAUAACUCAACUCCCCACUUGGGUUUUGUCGUUUUCUUAAAAUCUCUGCUCAAUCAAUUUAAAGAUCCUUUUUUUUUUCUUUCCAAAGAUCUAAAAGCAAUGUCUUUUAUUGGUACCCAACAAAAAUGCAAGGUCUGUGAGAAGACAGUUUGUCCAGUUGAGCAGUUAUCUACUGAUGGGGUUGUUUAUCACAAGUCUUGCUUCAAGUGCUCUCACUGCACUGCAAAGGCACACUCAAGCUAAGCAAUUACUCAUCCCUGGAAGGUGUUCUUUACUGUAAGCCUCACUUUGAGCAGCUUUUGAAGGAGUCGAGUAACUUCAACAAGAAUUUCCAAUUACCUGCAAAGUCAGCUGAGAAGUUAACUCCUGAGCUGAAAAGGUCGCCUAGCAAAGUUGACAGCAUGUUCUCUGGGCCCAAUAAAAAUGUGCUUCUUGCAGUAAAACAGUGUGUCCGUGGGAGAAGGUAGCAGCGGAAAACCAAGCCUCUCACAAGACAUGUUUCAAGUGCUCACAUGGUGGUAAUUCCAUUAGCCCGUCAAAUUACGCAGCCCUAGAAGGCAUCUUGUAUUGCAAACAUAAUUUCUCCCAAUUGUUCAAGGAAAAAGGCAGCUACAACCACCUUCUAUCAAAUCUGCUUCCAUGAAGCGUGCUGCAGUCUCUGUUCAAGAAGCUUGAACAUGUUAUGUUAUCUUCCAUAAAUCUUAUUUGGCGUGGGUUUUCUCUGGCUUGAGGGUGUGCUUUCUAUUUUGAUCCCUCUUGUUGUUUUUGCGGGGAACUACCAAACCUUCGGUUCCCUCUGCUUCUUUGGAUCAUCUUUGUUGGGACAAAUUUCAUGUAAUUAGAGAUACUGAUUUAUGGGAGGCAUAAUCCCAUGGUUGUAAAUUGACCAUUUUCUGGCAAUGUUCUUUUUAAAAAGAGAUGAGCAGUUGUUUAACAAAAAAAAUAGCUGGCCUUCAUCAUGGUAUGUUACCAAACUGCUAUGUAUAGCUGCUAACUAUGAGCAUCCGAAAAUAUGGUGCAUCGUGAUUCAUGUCGUGCAAUAUGGCUACCAACGCAUCCUAAAUGGAGUAUUACUCAGUUAGUCAGCAAAAUAAGACAACAGUAAGAUAUUAAAAAAAUAAAAACUACAUUAAUAAGUGGGCAAGAUCAUGCCAGUUUAACUUUUCGCGCGUCGCUGCUGGAGAUAAUCAAAUCGGGGCAGAGAAAAGGAGAAUGGAAUCAGAGGCUAAGAUUAAUAAGUGGGCUUCUGCUUGCUUUGCCCCUCUUUCUUAAACGAUUGGUAGACUGCUGCUUCCACCGAUUAACCGGGUCUUCAACCACUGCUUUUAUUGCCUGCCAUCUUGUUGUUUGUCGAAGGGAUGAAUUCGAGUCGAAAAGAGAAAGCGCGCUGAAAAAGACAAAUCACUAGUGGUUAACUACUGACUCAGCCAAGUGUUGGCUUCACUUGAUUCACCGAUUGAGGUUAUUUUGUCUUCUAUCUAAUGCAGCGAAGAAGCUUUACUGCUUAACAUGCUGCAAUGCAACUUUAUCUUUUGAAGUUCACACUUCAGGGCUGCGCACUUUAUGUAAUCCUAUGAGUAAAAAGAAUUUAUUUUCAAAUGUGAAAAAAGAAAAUGUAAGGUAGUAACUAAAUAUAUUAUAGCAUCAAAGUAAGAUUUGAUAUGAAUUUAGUACAACAAAGAACAUUAAAUCUGUGAUUCCUUGUCUAAUGUCACCAUCGAGCAACAAAUUUAAAAGCCUACCUAUCAAAUACACGAGGCAAUAAACGGAGAAAAAGUUGAAUUACAAGAACAAGUUUACAAUUCUUGUCAAUGGUUAAUGAUUCGUGAAUUGAGAUAGCAUUCAAGAAUCCAAUUUCAAUACAACAACGUAAAAGAUAAACAGAUGAUGAAUUUUAUGAGAUAAAGAAGGAGAUUGUGUUUUAUCGUAUCUCUAUUUUCUUUCCAUUUAAAUUUAAAAUAAGCUUUUCAACCGGUUAUAAUAUUUUUUGAAAUAAUUAAAUAUUUUUAUUAUUAAAAAUAAUGUGUACCGUUGAUUACAUCUAACGCUACAUAUUUCUUACACUAUUAAUACCGUAAAAAAAAUCAUAGAGGGACCCUUAAAACAUUUUCAUUUGAAAUUAUUUGGUGAAGUGAAAAAGUUAAGAAAGAAAUAGUUGUCCCUUUGGUCAUUUCACAAAAAUGAAAGCCCCAUAUAACAUGGACUUGAAUGGAAGCCCAAUUGUUGUGUUUGAUUUCAAGCUUUAUCGGACCUUUGGACCUGGAUACUUUACUGCGGCCUCUAAGCGCUACAAAUUUUUUUUUUGGGAUAAAAGGCGCUUCAAUGAAAAAGCACUUUAAAACUUUGGAUUUUGCCAAAACUUCAAAGCGGUUGGUCCAGUUACGGUGUUAUGCUAACGGGUUUAAAGGUUCCGAUCCAAUGAGUUAGGGUGGAAUAUGAAUAUAUAAAUCCUAGUCAUGUAAGGACUAGGAUUUGUUUGUUCAUAUCAAGAAAAAAAAUCUGAAAAUUUGAUGAUCAGAAGAUAAAAACACUUAAACACGUUUAUUACAGAGAAACAAACGACAACAUGAUGCUAGUAGUAAUUUUAUUUUUCUUUUAUUGUGUAACGUGGACCAAAAAAAAGGAAAUGAAUUUAAUAAAACCGUCAUUCCGCAAUAAUAAUGUACCAGCCUGGUUUUUAUAAUCCAUACCAUCCUGAUAUAAUUAAACACCAUUAAUAAUGUACCAGCCUUUAAAUAGUAAUUAAUUUAUUUAUCUAAUUCACCAAAUGUCAUUUCCGGUACAUAUCUCCUGGUAUCAAGAAGAGGCAGAACCCAAAGAAACGUUUCUUGUAUCUUCAUAUUUGUGCGAAUUCAUCCUUUCAUUGAGAAUAACCAUUUCCAGGCGGCAGUUGGCAAUCAAUUCAUGCGCAAGUCGAUGCUAUUCAUAGAUAUUAAAGACAAUGAUGAACCAAAGGUGAUAAAUCAUAAAUGCAUAAUUACCAAACCUCCAUCCUUCUCUCAUUAUGAUUUGAUUUUAAAUGAAUUAUUGCUUGGUAACAUUAUUUCCAACCAUUGCAAGAUUAUUAUUAUUUUUUUUUGGGGAGAAAUUUCAAUUGAAAGUGAAACCUUUAGACAUUUACCUAAUGAAGUUAGUUAAUGGGGAGGGUUGGAAAAAUUCCCAAGCCGUUGCACAGCAAUUACGAUCAUCCUCGGCCUCAGGUAAUUUCUUCUCCUGCAUUUUUGUUAUUUGCUAUCAAGUGACAUUCGUAAGUAUGAUUGUAUUAAGCUGCUGCUGGGAAAUAUAAGGUUUUGAUGGCUGCCCAUGCUAUUGUCAGAAGCUGCGGUUCUUUUCAUCAGCCUGAACCUGGACCUGUCGCCAUGGAUAACUGAGGUUUUUUUUUUUUUAAAUCAACUACGUCAUCUUUUCCACUGUUUUGAAACUCUUAAGAUUAAACUUUAGUAAAGUUGUUUUAGUUAUCCAUGUAAUCAGGCUGAGGAUACUUAGCUGCCUAUUUAGGCAAAUGUCAGACUUUAGUUUGUUCGCUGGGAACUGGUGUGGUGACAGCGUCCUGGCAAAGGAUGAUGAGAUAGUUUUUUGAUUGAGUAAAUUUUGGGGGCUUGAGUAUAUUGGGAUUUGCAAUUACAAUUAUCCUCUGCCUCAGGUGAUUUCUUCUCCUGCCCUGUCGUUGUUUGUUCUCUAAUUCAAAAUUAUAAAAUAUUUCAUCAAAUUUUAUGCCGGGAAUAUGCAAAAGUUUCUAAUAUUUUAUUUCCAUCUGUUUGUCUUGAUAACUUUGCAGCAUAUGUACUAGUUAAAGAACAAAUCGAAACAGAGUUCAGUUAAAAGUUUCUUCUGCCGUCAUAUUUGAAAAAUGAACCCAUUUCCAGGAAGCAAUGGGCAGCAAAUUCAUAUAAAGCGUAGACAAUGAUGAGCAAACAGGUGAUUCACAUUAAUGAAAUUAAUUGUUUGGUUGGAGCGGACAUUGUUAGAAGGCUAUUGAGCUAACCUAUGUCACUACUUGCCUAGAUUACAGGGGGUCAAAACUCAAAAGCGGCAUUGAAUUUUAAAAGGCAUCCAAUAAUUCUUGUGGCCAUAUAUCAAUUCAUGUAUGUUUGAAUGUAAUUAUUGGUGAAGGGGUUUCACUUCCCGUCUCUAAAUAAAAAUACUGAUUCUUUAAGGUACCUGCCACUAGGGAUUGCGAGAUUAAUGAGUCUUUGGACAUUGGAAGAGCUCCUUGUGAGUGGAGGAGGAGGUGUUGAUGGUAGCAAAGCAUGUGGGCAGUGGGCUUGAAUCUCUAAAAAACUUGGAACUCCUCCAAGCGUAAGUAUACGUAUACUGGGAAAUUUGUUAGAUGUGGAUGAGGCUAAGAGAUUAGAGCUUGACAAAAUGAAAUACCUCUUUCAUUGAGACUUAAAUUUGAUGGGGAAGAAGAAAAAGAAGAGGGAAGGAGGAAGAAUGAGGAUAAUCAACUUGUUCUUGAAGCCUUGCAACCACCUCUGAAUUUGAAGGAAUUAGAGAUUUGGUCAUACAGAGGCAACAUUGUUUCCCCCCGGAUGAUGCAAAAAUUGAAGGAAUUUACCAAUCUAAGGAGUUUGACACUCUUUAAAACUGCAAAAAUUGAGAGCAGUUGCCUCCUUUGGGAAAAUUGUGAUCCUUUGAAAAUCUCAGCAUAUUGUACAUGGAGAGUGUGAAAACAGUGGGUAAUGAAUUUCUGGGAAUAGAAAGUCAUCUUCAUGACUCAUCUCCAUCUUUAUCAGUUAUUAUUGCCUUCCCCAAAUUGAAAUCACUUUCAGUUGAGGGAUUGAUGGAAUUGGAGGAGUGGGAUUAUGGGAUUAAAAGAACAGGAAACACCUUCACCAACAUUAUGCCACGUCUUUCUUCCUUGGAAAUUAGUGUGGGGUUAUGGGAUCGCACAACCACGUUGAAGGUAUUGCAGAUUGUGGCAUGUGGUACUCUAAGAAGACGUUGCAGACAGGGGAGAGCAGAAGACUGGCCUAAGUUCUCUCACAUUCUAGACAUCAUGAUUGUGUGAAAAGAGGCCCUUGACAAAAUUCUCUAGGCGGCUACAUGGAGUACAAUCAUAAAAUGCUAAUGUGGCCACCCUGGUUCUUAAUUAAGGUUGUGAAAUAUUAUUGUAAAAGAUGAUUAAUUCAAUUUGAGUCAUUCGUUUGCUUUGAUAAUGAUAGUAAUUUUAUAUUUUGACAAUUUGCAAGGUGAGAAUGGUGCUGAUUGGUGAUACAGGAUACGGUUCAAACACCAUUGAAUAAAGCUACGGACAUGGUGGCUCAACUUAGCUAUUGCUGUCAAAAUUGGUAAGUUGGCUUGUCAAUGUAUUGAUGCUUUUGUUUUCUCUCAACCCUAAUUACCUUACCUUCAUUUAGUUUGGCUUUGGAGUUGAGUAAUAACUUUCAAGGUUCUCAAACAGAGCAGGACAACCGAAAAAAAAAGCUUAAUUUGCUACUGAUCACGUGUUACCAAUUAUUAAGGUAAUUCUCGUUUACUUGCUUCUACACUAUAGAGUACGUGUUCUGGCUGGUUUAUCUAAUUCAUCAAAUGUUAUUUCCUUAUUGUUCCAUUGAUAUAUUUGUUAGAAAGUGAAACCAUUUCCAGGCAGCAGUUGGCAGUGAAUUCAUGCAAAUGUUGAUGCCAUUCAUAGAUAUUGAAGACAAUGAUGAGCCAAAGGUGAUAAAUCAUUAAUGCAUAGUUACCAAAACCUCCAUCCUUCUCUCAUUGUAAUUUGAUUUGAAAUGAAUAAUUUCUAGGUAAUUGAAGCCAAUAUUGUUAGAAACGGUGUUGAGCUACCCAAGCUAAGAAGUUGGCUGCCAAAAAAUGCAGGGGAUCAAAAGAAGCAUUGCAUUUGAAAAGGAAUGAGAUUCUGGUUGCUACAUGUCAAUUCGUAGAAGUUUCAAUAAAUUUAAUGGUUCAAGAUUUUAGUUUCUGUUUAAAUUUGUGCUACUGCAGUGCUGCAGUGCUGCUACUGGGAAAUUUAAAUCCCAUAUUAGACUUUCCUCACAUAAGAAGCUGUGGAUCUUCGGACAUCAGGUUUUUUCACAGUUCUGAAACUCUCAGGAUUAAACUCUAUUAAAGUUGUUGUAGUUGUCUACGUUCUCAGGUCAAGGAUUCUAAGCUGCCGAUUAAGGCAAAAUGUCAGAAUUCCCCUAUUAUUUUUUUUUUCAUGUAAAAUUAUGUUGUUGUCUUCGCCCAUGAAUCUUAGCUAAAUUCUGAACCAAUUGUUUGCUAUUAUAAAUUUCAUUGUUAAAUAUUAAUUGUGAUGUUGGUGUUGAGUUUCUUUUAAAGUCAGAGAAGCCUGACGAUUGAGUUCCAUGGGAUUCUGAGAAGCAGUAAUAUUUUGAACAAGUGAAGGUUCUUCGUUUUUACAGUAUGUGCAGAUGUCUAAGAGGCAGGAUUUUUAUUUCUGUAAUGCUAAAUUUCGCAAAACAAUAAAAAUAAAUAAAUGCAUGACAGUGACUUCAAGAAUUUAGAUUAUUGAAUUUGGUCAUUUUAAAAUUGUUGGAAUGUUGAACUUAAGUAAUUUUUAUAAACCAGAGCUCAGAAAUGUAGAAUAUAAAUAUUGGAGAUUUGGACUUCAAUCAUUAGACUUGAAGCUAAAGAGGUAAGCCAUUAAUUAUAUCAAAGGAUUUGGAAAAUGGAGGGAUUGGAAAAAGGAAACAUUUUCAUAAACUUCAAGAGGAACGUCACAGAAAGGGGUAAAGAGAAGAGUAGCCUAAGAUAUUAAAGACAAUGUUGAGCCAAAGGAAACAUAAAUCCCAACCAUUGCAUGUGAACAUGAUCACAAUAAGGUCAAAAACCAUUUUUUUGAGAAUUUUCAAUUGAAAGUGAAACCUUUUGACAUUUACCUAGUAAAGUUAGUUAAACGAGAGAAAUAAAGGGGAAAAGAAAAGUUGACUCAAGUCAAUACAGAAUAAUUAGUUCAAUCUGGAGUAACUAAAACAGAGCCACUAUAUUUUCAAAAAUAUCUGCAUUCAUCACCUUCUCCUCCAGCUAGUGAGCUACACACGAAUCCUUUCCUUUUAGCAUUUUUGCAGCAUCAAUUUCUCCCCUCGUUUGUCAUCAAUUUCUCCCUUCGUUUCACCAAUACCAUGGCUGAUGCAAUCGUUUCCCCUCUCUUGGAGCAGCUGAUUAUCUUUGCUGCUGAAGAGUUGAAACAACAGGGGAAGCUGGUGAGUGUUGGAUGAGUGGAUCACAGCAUGCGCCAAAUCGCAAAAUAGAUCAAUGCUCUUGGUGCUCCUUAUCUGAAGAAGAAGGUGCAAAUUGGGAGCUGCAUUUCACUGUCAUAACAUUUAUUGUAAUUUCAUUUGGAGAUAUGUAAUAUCUGUUGUCCAGAUACAUAUCAUACACCAGUUGCUAUGUAAUUUCGUUUAGGUUCAUUUUUGUUUCUUAAGAGUUUGUAAAAAGAAUGGAAAGAUUUUAAAAUAUAAAUUUCAUAUCUGUUUAUUACUGUUGUUUGGUCUAAUUUCUUAUGUAGAAUUUUCAGAAUCUGUAGGACAUUAGUUUAUAAUUUUGAGAUUUUGCAGCCAUAAAAAAAAUUUUUUUUUUUUGCCAUUUUAUUUUGCUCCUUUAUCUAUGUGCAUGUUGACUGGCUGCAGUGAGUGAAAAUUUACCUAUAUAUGCUGGCUAUUCUUGGACAAUAUUAGAGAAAAUAAUCAUAUUAUUUCGCGUGAUGUGAACUUCCAUAACUUAUCAAUUGAAUUGCUGUAAAAUAUUAAAUAGUUUUAUUUUUCUUUUAUCGUGUAACUUGGACCAAAAAAGGAAAUGAGUUUAACACGACCCUCAAUAUAACCUCCAUUUCAGCACAAUACAUGUUAAUUGUUCCCCAAGGACUUCUCCUGUUUCCCAUUCCCACCUCCAUGCUCUCGAGAGGAAUUUAGCACCCAUCAAUUUUUAUUUUUGAAAACUCGUAAUGGUCUGAUAAAAUUAAACAACAUCAAUAAUGUUACCAGUCUUUAAAUAGUAAUUAAUUUAUUUAAUUUGCCACCUAAAAGAAUCCUGCUGGAAAUAGAGGUUAAAAAUUUUAUUAGAUCUGCUUACCUUUGUUCAUUCAGCAAAAACACUUACAAUUCACAGCUAGAGAAUCUAUCCAUUGACAAUUGUGGAUUAAAAUUAUAACACCUGAAUUCAAACAUAUCCUUAUGAAGUUAUGAAUUUGUUCAUACUUCAAAUGAUUUUUUUUUCCAAGCUAAUAAAGCAACCACUUUGAUCAAACGACGACGUUGAAGGAAUUACGUAUUUUCAAUGUCCUUUUCCAGACAGAUGUUGGAGAGAGGGAAAGGAGAAGACUGGCCUAAUUAAGAUAUCUCACAAAGAUUAUUGAGUUAAAAUGUUAUUGUAAAAGAUGUUUAAUACAAUAAUAGUAAUUCUUUUGCAUUGUUAUAAUGAGGCUGGUGGGUUUCCUCAGAGGAUGGAUAUGGCUCGCUAGCAUGCAUUUGGGAAGAUGCUAAUUAUCGGCCAUAAAAAGUCAGGGGGUUGUGGCUCUUCCGUCGCCCAGAAAUUCCUAAACUCAUAUAUCAAACUUCAGAUGAACUUGGGCAUUAUGUAAAUAUGUAUUUUUGAGAAUUAAACUAGUGCGUUCGAAAAAUUUUGAGCCAUUGUAAUCAUUUUAUUUUGCUAAGAGAAAAUUUUACUUUGUUUCGCUUUGCCUUUUGUUUUUUCUGUGAUAAUAUGAUUCAUACGAAUGUGAUUACACACUAUCAUGCAUCUAUUUUCAUUUGCUUGUCAUGAAUGGUCAACAUGCUCGAAAUAUUUACUUAGGUUGGAAAUAUUUGAAUCCACUAAAAUACUAUACAAACCCAUUUUAAAAUUAAAAAAAUGAUUAUCAUAAUACUCGUGAAGAUAACACGAUAUCAUACAUAAAAUAAAAUAUUUCGCAAAAAAGAUAAGAUACAAAUCUUGAGUAAAUAGGUACAAAAAAUAUUUUAGUGGGUUAAGUAGCACUAAUGCCCCCUUAUCAAAAAAUAAAUAAAAAUAACUAGUCUGAUUGGGUAUACCGUUUAUAUAUAUGUACAUAUUCUUGAUAAUGUGUAAUGUACAUUAUAGACAAAGAUUUUGAAAGCAAUAUUUUUUAAAAAGUCGAGAGAAUAGGAAAAGUCUAAAUCAAUUUUCUAAUCUCUACCUCCUUUAUGAUUUAAACUUUAGUGUUUAGUGUCGCGAGCCACUCAAAUUUUCUAAUCAAAGAGACUAAAUUGCACGAAAUUGUGCUAGCUUAUUUGAUUCUAGAAAUUUCUACUACACUGUAACACACUCUCACGUAGGGAUGGCAAUGGGGAGGGGAGGGGAGGGGACCAAUCUCCCCAUAUCCAUCCCCGAUAUUUUACAUAUGUCCCCGUCCCCGUCAGAAUUGCUUGAGAGAAUCCCCAUCCCCUCCUCGAAUAAUAACAGGGGAUCCCCGAGGGUCCCCGGUCCCCGAAUAACUAAUAAUCUAAUACAUUUUUUUAUUUUCGAUUUUAAAUUAAUCAUAUUAAAAUAAACUCAUACCGCUAUUGUAAGCUCGUAACCAAUUUUGACAGCACAUUAAGGCCUCCAAUGUGCUUGGAUGAAGUCUGUUAUGGUAUGGGCUCACAACUCUACCACUAGUGUUAAAAGCUGAUUCAGAAGCAACUGUUGUAAUUGGAAUUGCCAAAAUAUCUCUAGCAAUUCGAGCUAAUGUAGGAUACCUAUUAGCAUUUGUCUUCCACCAACUCAAAAUAUUAAAAUCUUCCAUCCGAGGUAUAACUUUCUCAUCCAAAUAUGAAUCUAAUUCAUCUGCAACAACUGCACAAUCUCCAUUGUUUACAUAAUCAUCAAAACCUAUCAUCCAUUUGGUUGCUUUCUUAUAAGAAUCCCCUGUAGAUCUAGUAGAAGAACUACUACCAGUAUAAUCAAAGCAAUAAACAGUUGGUGAAAACUUCAAUUAAUACUCUUCAACUAAUUCCCGGCAAAGGAUGACCACUUUCCCAACAUACAACUAUUUUGAUAUUUAUUAUUUUUAACAAUAUUUAUAAUUUUGUUAUUUAUUUAUUAGUAAUUUUAAAAAUAAAAAUAAAAUUAAAAAUUAAAAUGGGGAAAUGGGUAGGGGAUGGGGAUUCCACCUCAUCCCCGUCCCCUCCCCGAAUAAAAAAUUGGGUAAAAAAUUUUCCCCGUCCCCUCCCCGAAAAAAAAAUUGGGUAUAAAAUUAUCCCCGUACCCUCCCCGAAUGGGGAAAAUCCCCGAGGGUAUCCGUCCCCGUGGGGAUUUUUGCCAUCCCUACUCUCACGCUUGUACAUACCUCGAAAUUCUCUAGAAUUUACUAGAGUAGUGUUGCAUGUAGCUUGUACAUAGGUUUUUCUGGAACACUCCAGGCAUUACUAAGCAUGAGAGCCUUGAGAACUCUCUAGCCAUAAAACAUUCUAGGGUAAGCCUACCCUAAAAAUAGGGCAUGAUGCUUGCCACUUGAGCAUACAACAAGUAAGAACAAAUCAAGCAUACUUGUGAGCUCUCAAACUCUCUUAUACACACUUUUAUGAAUAAUAUAUUCUCUCUUUGGCUAUAUUGCUCUCUCUUCUCUCUAGUUUUUUUCGCAAGCAUCAAACCUUAGUUAGUCGAAAAAUUCAAGGCUUACUUUAUAGCUAUCUCGUAAAAGUUGUUUAAGUACCAUAGAGAUUUGCUGUGCAAAAUACUCAUCACAUGACAUUAGCUAAAUAAAAUUGUUUGAAAGCCACUUACCCAAACUAUUAAACGAAUAUUGACUUUUGUCUUAAUUUUCUAUCUCCUACGAUAAAUUUUAUAGUUAAAAAUUGAAAAAAAUUAAUAACUAUUAGAUAGAGCAUUCUUUAUUGUUAAAAGAAAUCUAUAUAGAUAGAUAGAUGGUAAUAUAAAAACUUACUUAUUGUAGUAUAAUGUUUUUAGUUUUUUGAAACACAGAUUCUCACUUUUUAAAGAUAAAAUUCAAAGAAAACAAGUUAAAUGUUGUAGAAAAUCUUCCAGCCAUACAAGAAAUUGUGAUGGCUAAAUGCAAACCUAACUAAAGUAUUAGUUGUUUUAUUACAAUCUCCAAAAAGAUGAGCAAUUCCAAAAUCUUUUUUUGUGACAAUAAACACUACACGUCAGUAAUUAUCCAGGUCAAAAGCAAGCUACUCUAUUAAAAAAAAAAAAAACUUGCAGUGAAUUCGAAGAUAAACCAAUUUUACUAGCAAGUUGGAUACAAAAGAGUAGGGCUUCGGCCUCAAUUACUCAGUGUACCAACAACUCAAUCUCGGUGAGUUAAAAUCAACUUCCAUCAGUCUUUUAUUUGUUGAUAGAUCGAUUAAGGUACCAAAAAGAAUAAUUAAAGAUGUAUUAGUUCAAGUUAAUAAAUUCAUAUAUCUUGUGGAUUUUAUUAUUUUGGAAACUGAACCAAUUGCUAAUGAAUGCAAACAAAUUCCUGUUACAUUGGGUCGUCCAUUUUUAACUACUGCUAAUACAUUGAUUAAUUGCUGGAAUGGAGUAAUGAAUUUAUCUUUCGGCAACAUGACAUUGGAACUUGAUGUGUUCAACAUAUGUAAACAACCUCACCACCAGGAAGAUGAUGAUAAUGAGAAUUAGGAGAUUGAUUUCAUCGAGCCAAUCAUUGAGGAACACAUUCAGAAUAAGAAUUUUACAAAUUCUGUGGAAAUUUAUUCUUCUUGUUCUUUUGAAUCGAGUAAAGAAUUAAAUUAUGAUACUGCUAACAUAUAACCUACAAUUGAUUCUAUGCAGGUACAUGCUGACAAUGGCCAAUCAAACUUUAAAGAUACAGAACAACCUGAAGAACCAAACGAAGAGCAAGUACCAGAGCUCAAAUUAAAGCCCUUACUGGAAGAAUUGAAGUAUGUCUAUCUUGGAGAACAACAGAUUUAUCCUGUGGUAAUUUUUUUCCCAACUCACGCUUGAUCAAGAAGGUAAGUUGUUGUCUGUACUAAAAAGGCAUAAAACUGCAUUUGGCUGGACUUUAAAAGACAUAAAAAACAAUAAUUCUUUAAUCUGCACACACCGAAUACACUUAGAGGAAAAUACCAAAACAACCCAUCAACAUCGACAUUAUAUGUGUAAACAUUAAAUACCAAAAUCAACCCCAAAAACUAUAAAUAAAAUAUCAUGAUUAAAAUGAAGUUUUUUUUUAGAUAUUCGUUGUAGUAUCUCUUUAGAUCGCAAACAAGAGAUAAAAUAAAUAAAUAUUUGCUAUGUAAAUAAAAAUAAAUAAUUUUUUUUAACUGAAAAAUAUUCUCAAAAACUAAAUAGUUCAAACUUUUUUUAACAUCAUGUGUUUCUAGGGUUGGGCAUUCAGUUCGGUUUUUACCGAACCGAACAACUAAAUUAAAUCGAAAUUACCUGUUCGGUUCAAUUGAAUAGACAAAAACCGAAGAGUUUAUAUUUUCAUGAACUGAAUGAUUUGUGUUUCAGUUGAGUUCGGUUCGAUUCUGGACCUGAACCGAACCGAACCGAUCCGUGAAUCGUAAACUGCCCACCCUUACGUAGUAGUUUCCGUUAACCGACGUUGUAUUGCUCGUAUAAAAUUGUUCAAAUGUUCAAAUCACAGUCUCCCGCUCUCAGCUCAGUCAGAGUUUCCAGGUCCAGAGACUUCCCGCUGACUGAGAACUUUUUCGUAGCAGGUCUACAAAUAAUGGAGUAGAGCUGAUUUUAUGAUUAAUUUAUUUCCUUUUUCAAUUUCUCUUGAUUGCGAUUUAAUCUGGAAAGUUAAACGUGAAUUGUUUAGUGCGGAUUAAAUGUUCGACGAAUUUCCCACAAGAGUAUUAAGUUCAAGAGAAAAAAAGAAAACAAUUGAGCGUGAGCGUGAGCGAGAAUGGUGUUUGGGCAAGUGGUGAUUGGUCCGCCCGGCUCGGGAAAGACCACUUACUGCAAUGGCAUGUCUCAGUUUCUCAGCCUUGUUGGCAGGUAACUUCGUUUCUUGAUUUCAAGCAGCUUUAUCUUCGAUGACCAAAAAUAUUGAUUUGGGCUUUGCCAUUAAAUGAAUGUAAGAGCAGUAGGGAAUAACUGAGUUAUAGGAUUAGCUUUAAGUGAACAUUGAUGGUAAUGUGAAGGUUGUAUGUGUUCAGUGGCAAGCUGUAUGCCAAUUUGGUCUAUAUGGUUGCUUAGGUAGUAACUUAUUAAUUUUUAGGCAGGAAGGUUGCAGUCAUCAAUUUAGUUCCUGCUAAUGAUAGUUUGCCGCAUCCUUUGUCAUUGAACUUUCUUACAAAUGCUGUGGUUUGUUGUAGUAUAAUUAGUUCAAUUGGAAAUUUCCUUGAUGUUAAUAUAGAAAUGAGUGUGCUGUGAAUAUUGAGGACCUCAUUAGACUAAGUGAUGUGAUGAUGGAGUAUUCACUUGGUCCCAAUGGAGGUUAGUCAGCCUAUUGUUGUUUACUCUUUCUUGCUUUAUCACGCAAUGAUAUUCCUUUGCUUUACAACAAAUUUCAUGAAAUUAACUUCAAUCAAGUGGCAAUGUUCAUACGCUGUUGAGAUUUUAUGGACAAUGAUUUGGUAGAAUUUAUAUGCCGUCUUCUUUCUUUUUGCAGUGAUAUGCUUGUAUUCAAUGAGCUUGUACUUAUUCUAUGGUUUCUAAAGUAGGUGUUUUUAUGAUAAACUAGGUCUUGUGUAUUGUAUGGACUAUCUAGAGAAGAAUAUUGACUGGCUGCAGUCGAAAUUGGAACUACUUUUGAAAGGUAAGUAGAGGCCAUUUUCCUUCAUUCUAAUGCCAAUAAUGCUGUCAUGAGACUCAUAAAAAUUGUUAAAACGUUAAUGUUUUUGGUAUUUUGCAGAUCGUUAUCUUCUGUUUGAUUUUCCUGGCCAAGUUGAAUUAUUUUUUCUUCAUUCCAAUGCCAAGACUGUUAUAAUGAGACUCAUAAAUAAGUUAAAUCUCAGGGUAUUGUUACAUCUUACAUCUAUGAAGGGACUCAAAGAGUUGAGAUGAAUUCAUCUUUGUUAUUUUGAUGCCAGAAUUGUGCAAUUCUCAGUUUGUUCCUUUCACAUGCAGUUGACUGCAGUGCAUCUAGUUGAUGUGCAUCUUUGCAGUGACCCCAGGAAGUAUGUUAGUGCUUUGCUUCUCUCAUUGUCUACGAUGCUACAUCUGGAACUUCCCCAUGUCAAUGUCUUGUCUAAUCGAUCUGAUUGAGAAUCAUGGAAAGCUAGGUGUGGUUUUAAGUGUAGCUCUCCUGCUUGUUUGUUUAGUUUGAAAUAUCAGAUAUUGUCACAAGAUCCUAUUUGCUACAUUUCCUCACCAAUCAAUUAUUUUGGGUCUGUUGCAGCUUUUAAUCUCGAGUACUAUACAGAUGUGCAAGAUUUGUCAUAUUUACAGCAUGCUCUCGGUCAGGACCCUCGUUCUGCUAAGUACAGGUUUGAAUUCUAGCUGAAUCAAUGAUGCAAAUUAUGUCCAUUGUUAUUUCUGCUGUUGUUUCUAUCAUUUUCAAUUGUUACUUCCCCUUUCCAUCUACUACCACACUACAAUACCCACACAAAUGUUGUGAAAUUUGUCAAUGGAAAAAAAACAGUUCCUCUUUUAUUUUGAUCAGACUCAAUGAAUAAGUGGUUAAAAUGUGCCUGUCCUAGAAAUAUAGAUGUGUGGUUUCGUAAAAUUUUCUUGAUCUUAAGAAAGAGUUAUCUCGAAAAGAAGAUAACAUGGAGAAUUCAACAACUAUACAGUCAUAUUGAUGUCUGUCAACUUGGGUCAUAUGGUGUCGUUUGGAUGGAGAUGUUAGGUCCCAGAUGGUAAACUUGUUAUCGAAUUCCAGUCUACUUCAUUCAUGCUUUGAUGACAUAUACGGUGCAGCUUCUUAUCUAAGACCUGCAUAUGUUCAAUCAUCAUUCUGUUCUGUAUUUGGCUGCCAUUCUUUUCAAUGAAUUCAAACCACUUCUGAAUACUUGCAAAUUCAUCCAGUGUUGUCAUUGAGAUGCCAAUAUGAAAGGAAGCCAUAAUUGCCCUUGAUAGUAUGCUUAUUGAUUGCCUCUUGCCUCACUCAGCCUCAUGAAUCUGCUUGUAUGGUGUUCUUGUAAUUUCAUUUGGAGAUUAGUAAUAUCUGUUGUUCAAAUGUAUUUUAUAUACCAGCAGUUAAUAAUUCUGCUUGCAGAAAGCUUACAAAGGAGCUGUGUGAUGUAAUUUUUCAACCUUAGAUAUCCAGGUCAUCAGUUUCUCUUGAAUUCUUUCUUGAAUUUCUUUGAAUUAUUUGUGAAUAAGAUCUUAGUUGGCUGCUUCUCUUCAGGAUAAGGAAAGUGUGGCAAAACUCGUGAAGCUGAUAUAUAAAAGCAAUGGGUACAUCUUUGCUGGCAUGGAUGCCAGUGCAGUUGAAUUCAGCAAGAUUGCCGUUCGCGAUGUUGAUUGGGAUUAUUUCGGAUAUCCUUCUUUUCACCUAUUUUCAAUGUUGUUAUUCUCAUAUUCAUAAAAUUUUUUGGUUAUUUAAUUAUGGUUCAUCAUAUGCAUCUGCAUCUUCUAACUUGUUCGUUUGAGAAACUAAUUUUGCCGUUAGGUAGGCUUCGAGCUUGAUGAGUUGAUUCAUGCUUUUUUCAUAAAUGUACCAAAAUCAUGGAAACUUCUUUUUCCCAGAUAUUGUAUCCACACUUUUUCCAUGUAAUUGGGUCAGACAAGUUUUGCUUAACAAAGAUAUCUACAGUAGCCGAAGUGCAGGAGAAGUACAUUAAGGAUGAUGAUGAUGUUAACUAAAAUGAGACGUGAAGAUAUGUGGUGUGCGAACCGUAAGCCUGCCUCUUAAUUUUGUGCAUGUUUACUUGCUUGUGAUUCACGUUUGUUAAUCUAUUUUGCUCUCUUGCAGGAGUUAUAAAGUUUUCAAUCAAUCAAACAUUUAACUUAAGUCCUUACCUCUUGCUGCAAAGACAAUGGGAAGUCUCAUGAGCUCUAAAAAAACUGAAGAAGAGUGGAAAAUAAUUUUAAAUAGUGAUUUAUGGAAGGUAAAAGAGAUCGAGAAAGGUGUUCUAACCCCUUUGUGGUUGAGUUAUAAUGAUUUGCCGUCCAGAGGAAAAAGAUGUUUCUCGUAUUGUGCUGUCUUUCCAAAAGACUACAAUAUAAAAAAAGACAAAUUAAUUACUUUGUGGAUGGCUCAAGGUUAUCUUAGUGCAGAAGCAGCAGAACAAGAUGAGGAGUUGGAGACUAUAGGUGAAGAGUAUUUUGGCAUCUUAGCUUCUCGCUCUUUCUUUCAAGAGUUUCAGAAACGUUAUGAUAAUCGUAUUAUAGCGUGCAAGAUGCAUGAUAUGGUACAUGAUUUUGCCCAAUUUGUUAGUCAAAAUGAAUGUUUUUCGUUGGAAGUUAAUGGUAGUGAGGAACUAACCGUCACAAACUCUACAAACUCUCUUGAUGAGAAGGUCCGUCAUUUAAUGUUAAUCUUUAGUAAAGGGACUUCAUUACCUGUUUCCACUCGUAGAGUUAAAAGAAUGCGUACCCUCUUAAUUAACGAUAGUAGAUCUGAUCAUUCAUUAUUAAAUGGUGAGAUCCUAGAAGAAUUAUUUAGGGAAUUGACAAGUUUAAGGGCAUUAGAUUUUGGCAAAUCGUAUAACUCAAGUUGGUCUUCGACUGUGGAGAUUCCGAGAACCAUAGAAAAGCUGGUACAUUUAAGAUACCUUAAUUUGUUUUAUCAGGGAAUAAAGAAACUACCGGAGACAUUAUGCGAGUUGUAUAAUCUAGAAAAGUUAGAUAUUAGUUUAUGUUUUAAUCUUAAAGAAUUACCUGAAGGGAUUGGGAAGUUAAUAAACAUGAAGCAUUUACGAAAUAGAGGUACUAGUUCUUUAAGGUACAUGCCAGUAGGGAUUGGGAGAUUAACGGGUCUCAGGACCUUGGAUGAGUUCCACGUGAGUGGAGGAAAGCGUGUAGGCUUGAAUCUCUUAAAAAAUUGGAACACCUUCAAGUAUGUGGUAUACGUAGACUGGGUGAUGUAUCAGAUGUGGGCGAGGCUAAGCGAUUAGAACUUGACAAAAAGAAAUACCUCUUCAGUUUGACCCUUGAGUUUGAUAAGAAGGAGGAAGAAGAAGGAGAAAGGAGGAAGAACGAGGACGAUCAAGUUCUUCUUGAAGCCCUACAACCACCUCUCAAUUUAAAGGAAUUAGAGAUAGAGUACUACCGAGGCAACACUGUUUUCCCCAGCUGGAUGACGUCAUUAACCAACUUAAAGAGUUUAGAUCUCUCUUCCUGCGAAAAUUGGGAGCAGCUGCCUCCUUUGGGAAAAUUGCCAUCCCUUGAAGCACUCAGCCUAUGGGACAUGAAGUGUGUGGAAAGAGUGGGUGAUGAAUUUUUGGGGAUAGAAAGUGAUCAUCAUGGCUCAUCUUCAUCGGUUAUUAUUGCCUUCCCCAAAUUGAAAUCACUUUCAAUUGAGGUUCUGCGCGAAUUGGAGGAGUGGGAUUAUGGGAUUACAAGAACGGGAAACACCGUCAUCAACAUCAUGCCACGUCUUUCUUCCUUGACAAUUGCACUUUGCCCCAAAUUAAAGGCACUGCCCGACCACUUUCAUCAAACGACAACAUUGAAGGAAUUGCACAUUUGGGAUUGCAGGCUUCUGGAAGAACGUUAUUGCAAGGGGGAAGGAGAAGACUGGCCUAAGAUAUCACACAUUCCCAACCUCCAUAUUGGGCUUUGACAAGUAAUUUCUUCUCUUACUCUGAUUUGCUUUGUUGUUGUUUUUAAUCUAAUUAAGAAGCGUAAAUAGCAUUUUGAAUCAAACUCUAUAUCAGAAAUCUGCAAUACUUACUUUCUAAUAUUCUGAUUUUCAUAUCCUAUGAAUAUACGAUUUUUAAUUUGUGAGAUGGGUAACGUUACUGUAAAAGAUUAUUAAUGCAAUAUGAGUAAUUCUUUUGCAGGACAAGUGACCUACAUUUAGUUUGGCUUUGGAGUUGAAUAAUAACCUUUCGAGGUCCCGACAACCAAAAAACGAAGCUUAAUUUGCCACAGAUUGCACGUAUUGCCAUUAUUGACAAUUUUCUGCACAAGCUUAGGUUGAUGUCAAAAGAGGUAAAUUAUUGGCAUGCCUGACUAUUUUGACCAUUACACGAUUCAUAAGUUUACAUUAAUUUUGAUUUUGAGUUGAGUGAUUAGUUUUCUAGGUUUGCUUACUUUAACUGGGUGACCAAUUUCUUGUAACUAAAUGUAUGAUGUGAAGCAGAACUCAAACAAAAGUAUGCUACUUCUUGCGGAAAUCUUGCCUUUGUUCAGAUUAUGAAACCAUUUCCAUGCAGCAAAUUCAUCCAAAAGUUUGAAUAAGUUUCACGGUUGGACACUGUUGGUUUCUUUUUCUUCUGGGGUGCAUUUAGGUGCUAUCAAGUGACAGCUGUAAGUAUGAUUGCACUAAGCUGCCGCUGGGAAAUUUGAGGUUUUGAUGGCUGCCCAUGUUAUUUUCAAGAAACUAUUGAUGUAAGAAGCUGUGGUUCUUUUCAUCAGCUUGAACCUGAAACUGUCGCUAUGGAUAACUCAGGUUUUUGUUAUCAACUAUAUCAUCUUUUUCACUAUUUUGAAACUCUUAAGAUUAAACUUUAGUAAAGUUGUUUCAGCUUUUCAAAUGAAAAACUCAUUGAUUUGAGACUUCCUUCAUUAUUGUUUCUAAUUACAAUGCUAACGAUCCAGAUAAGAUAAUAUUUAAUCGGCGAAGGUGUCCCUUGGAAGUACAUCCUUCUUUUUCUUUUAUUAUACAAAUUCUUGCAAUGAGCUUAGUGAAGCUGUUGUGCUAAUCAUGCCACUGCAUAAUUUGGCCCCUAAUGUGGGUACUCUGUUACAUUGUUCUGCAAAUUCUCCAGAAGUUAAAAUCAAUAAAUUUUCUAUUAGCUCUAGUGCUUUGACCUAAAUGCUAUUCUAUAUUCUGAUUACAAUGUUUUACCUUUAAAUUAACUACCCCUAGAUGUUGGAUUUUCUAGAACUUCAAAAUGAUUAAUGGAGAAAGAUCCCAUUAUCGUUAUUGCUAUAAAAAAUUGAUUUAUGCAUCCAAAGAUACAUUAUAUAUUUCUGUGUCUCUAUUUAUAGAUGACAUUUAAGCAUCCAUAAACCGUCAGACAGAGGAAGGGGGUUCAGUGCAAAGAUUCUGUUGACCUAGGGUUGACUGCAUAAUGUCACUUGUUCGCAAUCUAUUAUUCUUUUCAAGGUCUGCUUCCUUAACGGAGCGACCAAUGUUUUUCAACUAAAUUUAUCAUAUGAUGCAGGAAGCAGGGCAGGAUAUGAAAUGUGAAGCUCAUUGGUGGAAGUAUUGCCAGUAACAGAACCCAAAGAAAAUGAAACUAUUUCAAGGCAGCAGUUGGCAGUUGCAAGUGAAUGGAGGCCCUUGACAAAAUUCUCAAGCGGUUGCAAUGCAAUUACGAUCAUCCUCAGCCUCAGGUAAUUUCUUCUCCUGCUUUGUAUUUAUUUGUUAUCUAAUUAGGAACCGUAAAGUAUCUUGAAUCAUUUUCUGUAUCUGGAAUAUAUGCAAGAGUUUCUAAAAUUUUGAUAUGAGUGUAAUGAUGGUAAUUUCUGUUUUCUGUCUGUCAUCAAAUGUUAGAAAACUUUCAUUGAGACCCUUGAACCGAGUCAUUUUUGACAAGUGAAGUGCUGAAGAGUGAAGAGUAAGAAUGGUGCUAGAUUGGGGAAUAAAGCAAAAGGAGGUAAAUUAUUGGCAGCUUCUUCAACCUUAUUUUCUUUGGACCAGUGCCUAAUUCACAAGUCUCCAUAAUUCGGCUUUUGACCAGUUGAUAGAUAAAAUUUUAAUUUCAUUGGUGCUAAUGUACCCGUGAGGCAGGCAGAGAAGGACUGUGGAAAAGAGAAGGUUUUUAGUGAAAGCUUAAACUCAGGUAAUUCUAAAAAUUAUAUGUUUUGGCUGAUUUAUCUAAAUCAGGAAAUUUUAUUUCCAUCUGUUACAAUAAAACAGAAACAGAACACAAAGAAAAAUAUUCUACUUCUUGUGGCAAUCUUGCCUUCAUUCAGACUAUGAAACCAUUUCCUUUCACCAAUUUCUUCCAAAAGUUUGAACACAUUUCAUGGUUGGACAUAGUUAGCUUCUUUUUCUUUUGGUGCAUUUAGGUGCUAUCAAGUGACAGCCGUAAGUAUGAUUGCAUUAUUGGGAAAUUUUAGGUUUUGAUGGCUCCCCAUGUUAUUGCCAAGAAAUUUUAAGUCCUCGUGUCAGAAGCUGCGUUUCUUUUCAUCAGCCUGAACCCGAACCUGUCACUAUGGAUAACUGAGGUUUUUGUCAUCAACUAUAUCAUCUUUUUCACUGUUUUGAAACUCUUAAGAUUAAACUUCAGUAAAGUUGUUUCAGUUAUCCAUGUAAUCAGGCUAAGGAUAUUUAGCAGCUUAUUUAGGCAACUGCCAGAAUUCAGUUUGUUCGCUCGAAACUUGUAUGGUGACAAGGAUACUGGCAAGGAUAGUGAGAUAGUUUUUUGUGUGAGUGAAUUUUGAAAGCUUGGGUGUUCUGGGAUUUGCAAUUGCAAUCAUCCUCUGCUUUAGGUGAUUUCUUCUCCUGUUCUGUCUUUAUUUUCUCUCUAAUUGAAAGCAUUUCAAUCAAAUUCUGUACCAGGAAUACGAAAAAUUUACCAAUAUUUUAUUUCCAUCUGUUUGCAUUGAUAACUUGGCCGCAUAUGUACUAGUUAAAGAACAAACAGAAGCAGAGUUCAGGAAAAAGUUUCUUCGGCCACCAUAUUUGAAAAUGAAACCAUUUCCAGGAAGCAGUUGGCAGCAAAUUCAUACAAAGUAUAGACAAUGAUGAACAAAAAGGUGAUUCGCAAUUUCAUUUUUUUAAAAUGAAAUUAUUUGUUAAGUUGGAGCUGAUAUUGUUAGAAGGCCAUUGAGCUAACCUCUGACACUGCUUGCCUAGAUUGCAGGAGGUCAAGACUCAAAAGAUGCACUGAAUUUUAAAAGGCAUGCAAUAAUUCUUAUGGCCAUUUGUCAAUGGUGGAAUGCUUUUAGCUUCUUUUCCUUUUGUGCAUUUUGGGGUUCUAUCAAGCGACAGCCGUAUGUAUGGAUGGAUAUAGCUGCUGCGUUGAUUUCUAAUGCAUUGUAUGAUGUUAUAGCAACUAUCCAUCUGGUCAAUGUUUCAAAAGAAUAAGACAGGGAAAAAGAGAAAGCAAGUGGCCAAUCAAGUUGCAUCAACCAAAUUGUUGUUAAACAAGUAAAACAAAGAAAGAGAGUUAAGGAAGCUGACCUUGUAGUAGGGGAGCUGAAGAAAGGCUGCCAGUGAAUGUAAGAGAAAAUAAAAUGCAAGAAAUGGUGAAGUGCAGCUUUUCAUGUCAACUUGAAAUUGAUUUUUCUGUUUGUUUUUUUUUUUUUGUAAUCUUUUGGAUUUUUCAAACAAAGAAAAUGAGGAGCAACCAGGGAGAUAAAAAGGGCGCCAAGGCAACUGUGUGUUGGGUUUAGAGCCAAAAAUAAAUAAAUAAAUAAAUAAGACAUCGUGUUCUUGUGGAGACCAGACCUAUUACGUAACGUCCCCUUCAAUACCACUUGUUCCGUAUCUGGUUUUCUCUUCGUCGUUUACAUAUUUAUCCUGUGAUUUUACAAUAACUAAAUAAUCCCCGCAUAGUUUGCAAUUUUAUUCAUUUGGGCCCUACAGAUUUCAGUAAUAGGAAUUAUUAAGGGACAAGAGCGCAAAACAGAAACUCUGUCCACUACUGAUGAUAUAAUAACGAACCUUUGUUUUUUUUUUUUAAAAAAAAAAAGAGUAACAAAAUAUCAUUAGACAAAUGAAAAUAUUAUCUAACAUCACCUAUUCACCUUACUGAUGAUAUGAAAAUAUGUAUGUAUGUAUGUAUGUAUGUACAUAUAUACAUACACCUAUGUAACAUUUACUUAUACAUUCUUUUGAGUUUAAAUCUUAAUACAACUACAUACAACCACAUCAAUGUAUAUAUUUUUUACAUAAGACAUGCCGUCCUAUUAUUCAUAAGUAAACAAUGUGCCGUAAAUAGUAUUCUGUGUUUUCUCAAAGUUGACUUUUCGUCUUUUAUUUUCAGACGCAGACGCUAUGUCAUUUUGUAAUCGUCCGAACAUAUACAGAGCAGAAUUGGUGUUAUCUGAUUUUGUGAUGCAAUAAGAUUUGCACUUCCUGUGCAUUCAAUGGAAUCAUGCCACGCUAGUAGACAAUAUGCUAGUUUGAACAAACUUGUUUGAAUGGCAAAAACGACAUGACCUGCUGUAGUAUUAAUUCUUUCCCGAACCAACGGGUGAUUUGCUACGUUGGAUCAUGAAAAUUAACCAAAAUAAAAAUUCUUAAGGAAUUAGUUAGUUAAUUGAUUGAUCGAAUUUAAUCUAAAUUUGAAAAUGAUAAGAUAAAUUUAAAUUUAUUAUUAUUAUUAUUAUUAUUAUUUUAAAGUGGGUGGGUUUAUACAAUUUGAGCGGUGGAAAUAUCACUGCUGAAUUAUUAAAUAUACAGUGUAAAAUUUUGACCUUUAAAAUAUUCCCUUUUUUUUUUUAUUUAGCACUAUAAGUUUAAAAAUUUAACAUUUUACCUCAAUAAUUAAAUACUUUUAACUUUAAUCUUCAAAUAUUUACCCUACAACAUUUGGACCUAAAUUUUUAAUCCGACUCGGCCCCUGACCCAAGUGGGAAGAAGAUCAGGCUUAUAAGUUAUAACUAUCACCAACAUAACAUCUUCUGGAAAAUAAUAAGAUUACUCACCUGCAAUUAUGUGAUCAAACUAAUGGUAAGCAAAAUAGAACAGCGUUAUUUCAGUCCCCUUUCAGUUUCUUUAUCAUUUUUCUUUUCCUAUUUAUAAGCUUAAUUCGGUUCAAAAUCGGCUAAUUCACUUUGAUUUCACUUUUCUUUCUUUCGGUUCAAAAAAAUUGAACCCAUUGGCUGUCAAUUCAAUUUUGUUGAAAACCAACUUUGCCUGAAUUUAAGUAAUAAUAGAGGAAAAAAAAAGAGUACUUAGCAGAAGAGAUUUCUCAUUUUUUUCUCAUUCAAACUUCUAAAAUAAAAGAAAAAAAAACAAGAGUAAUUGUUAAUUAUCAAAAUUUUGUUUAUACUAUUCCACCAAGAAAAUUAUACAAAAAAAAAAAUUUUAAAAAUUGGAGAAGAAAUAUGAGGUGAAAUACGUGGAUGGCUUAGACUAAUAAUGUGAACAAAUUCCUCUUGGAAGCAUGUCAUUGUUCAUCCGGACAACACGCGGCGAUGAGAUUCGAGAAUAAAAGGAUAGGAAUCAACUGUAACCUCAUAAACAAAUGGCCUUGGAGUUGUAACCAAAGCUUUUAAUUAUUGAUCAUUAAGAUCGAUAUAAAGUAUCACGAAAUGAUGUGUACGACGACAAUAUCAAUAGCGUAGUGUGAAGACCUGGCUGUAAACACAAGGCUCGGCAGAUUAAUUAAACAAGAGUAUCCGAAUUUUCUAUGAUAAUCUCUAGGAAACGAUCAGCUAUAAUGUACGAAAUUAAAAUAUUGCAUAUAUUUUUGAAUUUUUGAACUCAUGCAUUAAUUUAAAAAAUUAUAUCGUAUUAUAAUUUAUUCACAAAAGAAAGAAAAAUUCACUAAUCAAGUGAAAUCGUAUUCUUAUUGAAAUGAAUUCCAGUAAUUGGAUAAAUAUAAGUAUUUCUUCCGUUGUAAUUUUUGUUUAACAGAAAAUCUAUUUGAGAUUUUGUGAGAAGAAACUCAACAAUAAAGUUUGAUAGACUUUGUGGAUAUUAAGAGUUUGACAAGUAAUUGAAAUCUGAAGUUUACUGAAAUUUACGAGCAAACAAACUGAAAUCCGAAGUUUACUGAAGUUUACUAUCAAGAGUUUCAAAACAGUGAAAAAGAUGAUAUAGUUGAUGACAAAAACCUGAGUUAUCCAUAGCGACAAGUAACAUACUGAAGUAAGCCGUUGGGAGCUGGCCUGUUCAUGGGCUAUUUUUCUCUGAUGAUCUGCAUUUUUCUUCCUUUUAAAGUGAACCUUGACUCGUAUCAAACCUGUCAAAAGAACAGUUCAUCAACUGAGCUGAGAUUUGCUUUCCUUUUUCAAAACCCACCUGAGAUAUUGUAAUUCCCAAAUUUCUCUCUCUCAGCUACACGAGCAAGCAGCCGCUUUUUCACUUCAUCGAAGAAGGUAAGCGAUUUAUCUAUUUCGUCCGAUUGAUUUCUUGUUUCGUUUUCAGUGUUCGGGUAAAUUAUUGGCAUGCCUGACUUUUUGACCAUUACAUGAUUCAUAAAUUUCUAUUAAUUUUGAUUUUGAGUUGACUGGUUACUUUUAUAGGUUUGUUUACUUUGACUAGGUGACCAAUUUCUUGUAACUAAAUUUAUGACGUGAUGCAGGAAGCUCGGCAGGAUAUGAAAUGAGAAUCUUAUUAGUGGAAGGAUUGCCAGUAACAGAACCCAAAGAAAAUGAAACCAUUUCAAGGCAGCAGUUGGCAGUUGGGAGUGGAUGGAGGCCCCUGACAAAACUUCAGUAAACUUCAGAUUUCAGUUUGUUUGCUCGAAACUUGCAUGGUGACAAGGAUACUGGCAAGGAUAAUGAGAUAGUUUUUGUGUGAAUGAAAUUACGAUCAUCCUCAGCCUUAGUUGUUAUUUGUUACCUAAUUAAGAAGCAUAAAGUAUCCUGAAUCAUUUUCGUUGUCUGGAACAUAUGAGUGUAAUGAUUGUAAUUUCUGUUUUCUGUCUGUCAUCGAAUGUAAGACAACUUUAUUAAGAUUCUUGAACCGAGUCAUUUUUGACAAUUGAAGGACAAGUGCUGAAGAGUGGGAAUGCAAAAAGUUUUGUUGUUUCUAGCCUUGUUUUCUUUGAACCAGCGCCUGAUGAUAUAACAGAAACAAGGCUAGAAACAACAAAAACUCUGUCCACUACUGAUGAUAUAACAACGAACCUUUGUUUUUUUCUUUUUUCUUUUUUUUUUUAAAAAAAGUAACAAAAUAUCAUUAGAGAAAUGAAAAUAUUAUCUAACAUCACCCUACUGAUGAUAUGAAAAUAUGUAUGUAUGUAUGUAUGUAUAUACGUAUGUAUGUACAUAUAUACAUACACCUAUGUAACAUUUAAUUAUACAUUCUUUUGAGUUUAAAUCUUAAUACACAUUUUCAUGAAAUUUUUAUUUUAUUAAGUAUACAACUACAUACAACUACAUUAAUGUAUAUAUUUUUUACAUAAGACAUGCCGUCCUAUUAUUCAUAAGUCAACAAUGUGUUGUAAAUAGUGUUCGUGUCUCAAAGUUGACUUUUCGUCUUUUAUUUUCAGACGCAGACGAUAUGUCAUUUUAUACACAGCAGAAUUGGUGUUAUCUGAUUUUGUGAUGCAAUAAGAUUUGCACUUCCUGUGCACUCAAUGGAAUCAUUUCUUUGUAACUAAUUGGGUGCUGGAAUGGUGGUCAAAUCUCGAACGAAGACAGAUCUAUCAAACUCCAGAAUUGGUGUUAUCUGAUUAAUUGAUUGAUCGAAUUUUAUCUAAAUUUGAAAAUGAUAAGAUAAUUUUGAAUUUAUUAUUAUAAUUAUUAUUUUAAAGUGGGGUGGGUUUAUACAAUUUGAGCGGUGGAAAUAUCACUACUGAAUUAUUAAAUAUACAGUGUAAAAUUUUGACCUUUAAAAUAUUCCCUUUUUUUUUUAUUUAGCAUCUAUAAAUUUAAAAAUUUAACAUUGUACCUCAAUAAUUAAAUACAUUUAACUUUAAUCUUCAAAUAGUUACCCUACAACAUUUGGACCUAAAUUUUUAAUCCGAUUCGGCCCCUGAUCCAAGUGGGAAGAAGAUCAGGCUUAUAACUAUCACCAACGUAACAUCUUCUGGAAAAUAAUAAGAUUAUUCACCUGCAAUUAUGUGAUCAAACUAACGGUAACCAAAAUAGAACAGCGUUAUUUGAGUCCCCUUUCAGUUUCUUUAUCAUUUUUCUUUUCCUAUUUAUAAGCUUAAUUCGGUUCAAAAUUGGCUAAUUCACUUUAAUAAGUUUAUUGGUUUGAACGCUGUUAGCUUCUUUUCCUUUCGUGCAUUUUGGUAUGCAACAGUUCUUGCCUAUGACACUGCUUGCCUAGAUUGCAGAAGGUCAAGGCUCAAAAGAAGCACUGAAUUUUAAAAGGCAUGCAACAGUUCUUGUGCCAUAUGUCAAUUCAUGCAAGUUUGAAUAAGUUUUUUGGUAUGCUAUCAAGUGACAGCCGUAUGUAUGGUUUGCAUAUAGCUGCUGCUGGGAAAUGUGAGGAUUUCAUGGCUGGCCGUGUUAUUGUCUUAAAUUAGAUGUGAUAAGCUGUUGCUUGGUGAUUCUGUUGCCAAGAAUUUGCUCACAUCAGAAGCUGUGGAACCUGAACCCUUCUCUAGAUAUCAUCUUUUUCAUUGUUUUAAAACUCUCAGGAUUAAACUUGAGUAAUUUUGUUCGGUUGUCUAUAUAAUCAUGUAUUGAGUAAACUCUCAGGAUACUGAGCAGGCAAAUGCCAUAACUCGGUUUGUUCUUCAAAAACUUGUUUAAGAUUCUUGACAAAGCUGCAUGAAGUGAAUCUUGGGAGCUUUGAGGGUGAGAGAAAUUAGAGGGUGUAUAGGGAUUUGGGCUUAUUAGGAAGUUAUAUAUGUAUUUCGUCACUUAUCAUUAUCAUUUUUUUUUUCACAGAAAACCUUCUGAUGGUGCUAAAUUUUCAAACACCGGUCCGAUUCAAAACUUCAUAUUCCAAUUAUAUUCAUAAGACAAAUGGAACACUUUGAACGGCUUGUGUCCGAGCAUUGUAGUUUGAUUUAUUUUGAUGACAGUACCUUUUGACAUUGAGAUUCUUUCAUGAUUUAAACAUUCUUUUAAAAACUAAAUUAUUAAAAAAAAAGUAACUAACAUAUAUUAUUUUAUUAGUGCUUUUUAAAUCAAAUAUACAUAGGAGAACUGUAAUUCUUAGCAAUCAAUUUUCCACUAAAUACACCUGCAACAAACUAUUAAUAGCAAAGUGAUAGAAAAUACCUGAUUUUUCAUACUUUCUAAUUUCUUUUGGUCCUAAAAUAUGGGCAUUUGUGUAAUAAUUAGCCCAUGUGGAUCUCUAUGCCAUGAGUUUGAUAAGUAGCUAUCAAGGAUCACUUAUUAAGCUAAAAAUAUUUGGAGGACAAAAUUGUAAAACUAAAAGGGUGGAGCAAAUAUGGCUAUCUAGGAUUAAAUAGUAAGUCAACUAUAUUUAAAGGAUAAAAUAUUAAAACUUGAAAUGUGAUAUUAAAAAUAUCUCAACUAUUAUGUUAUUAAACCAUAUGUUGUAAUAGUUUAUUUUUUAAGCUUCAAAAUGUUCAGGAUUUUAGAUUGAAACAUUUUCAUUUGAAAUUAUUUGGUGCAGUCACAAGUUAAGAAAGAAAAAGUUGUCCCAUUGGUCAUUUCACAAAAAUGAAAGCCCUGUAUAACAUGGGCUUGAAUGGAAGCCCAAUUGUUUGUGUUUGAUUAAUUGAUUUCAAGCUUUAUCGAACCUUUGUACCUGGAUACUUUACUGCGGCCUCUAAGCGCUAUAAAUUUUUUUGGGGAUAAACGGCGCUUCAAUGAGGUCAUCUCCGAUGCUUAACACCAUUUUGGUGUAAUACCAACAUUAAAAAUAUACAUUUUUCACACUAAAUUACUAUUUCAUCUCCAACCCAUUUACACCAAAAAAAAUAUUUUUCUUUUUAUUCUUUUAAUUCUCAAGAAUUAAUUCAAUUAACACAAUAAAUACUACUAUUAACAUAGAUAAUUAAGUAAUAAGUAAUUUUAUCGAUUAACAAAAAAAUAUAGAAAAUUAUUAAAUUUGCAUUUAAUUAACUAAAUUAGUACAUUAUGAAAAUUAAACAUUACAUUAAUAUAGAAAAAUACAAUAACAAUAAUAAUAAUUUUAUAUCUAAUAUUUUGAUGAUAUUGGAGGAUCUAAUAAUGAUCUUCCAGAUUAUUAAAUAAUUGUUCUAAUUUAUACUAGUAGUAGUAGCUUUUUUAAUUUGUGUUAAUUUAAUUUUGUAAUAUGUAAUAUAGUAAUUAAUGUUACUAGCAUUUUAUUAUUAUUAUUAAUUUUUGUGUUGAAUAUUUUUUAUUUAAAAUAUUAGUAUAAUAUUCAAAAAUUAAAAAAUGAAAUAAAAAUAAUAACAAAAAUAAUAAUAAUAAUAACUUAAAAUAUUAUAUAAAAUAGGACAUAUAUGUAAAUAAGAAAAAGUAAUAAAGAUAUUUAAGAGCUUUUUUUCCUAGCACCAAAUGAAUAGUGUUACACCAUAUUUGGUGCAAUACUAUUCACAACACCAUUUUGUUGUUGGUUUUGGUGUUACAUUGGAGAAGCAUUUUACACCAAAAAUAGUGUAAAAGGUGGUUUGGUGUUAGUUUUGGUGUCACAUUGGAGAUGGCCUGGAAAAGCACUUGAAAACUUUGGAUUUUUGGUUCGUCCAGUUACGGUGUUAUGCUAACGGGGUUAAAGGUUCCGAUCCAAUGAGUUAGGAUCCGAAGGUUACUGAAGUUUACUAUCAAGAGUUUCAAAACAGUGAAAAAGAUGAUAUAGUUGAUGACAAAAACCUGAGUUAUCCAUAGCGACAAGUAACAUACUGUUUAUUACAGAGAAACAAACGACAACAUGAUACUAGUAGUAGUUAUUCUUUUCAUCCGAUAUAUUACAUGGUAAUAUCACUACUCGUUCCACUAGUUUCAUGUACACUGUCGACCAGCAACAUGAUAAUUUCGUGCCAGUUCAUUUUGGUUUGUUGGAAAAAGCAGUGUAUUUCUUAGAACUUGAAAAUAAUAAAAAUAUUUUAAAAUAUAAAUUGCAUAUUUGUUUAUUACCAUUCUUUGGUCUAUUUCUUCUGUAGACUUUUCAGAAUCUGUAGGACGUUAGUUUAUAACUUUGGGAUUUUGUAGCCCUAAUUUUUUUUUUUGGCAUUUUAUUUUGCUGCUUUAUCUAUGUGCAUGUUAACUAAAUUAAGCUAAUCUAGAAUUAAUAGAGAGGGAUAUUUAUCUAUUUUGUUUAACCUUUACCACUCUAGGCAUUGUACUACAUGUGAGCUUGUGAUGCUUGCAUUUUAUUGAUGUUGAUGAUUCGUUGAAUGUUUUAUUUUUUGAUUUUUUAAGUUUUCCAGAGUCAUGUUUGUGUCUACGAAGAAAUUGUAAAGGCUGUGCACGAAGCACUUGUCAUUCUUUAGACUUUAUUGAUUAUAUUUUUGUCAGAUUUGCGUGUAUAUUCACAUAUGUUUUAUUUUUUCAUUUUGUAGGACAUUUUUACAUGCCAUAUUAUCACGACUCUUCUGUGUCUGAAUAAGAAGAAAGCAUAAUGCGACCCUCCAACAGCUUAAUCUAUGGAAUUAUCGUGUUUUGUAAGUUCUGGUCCAAUGGCGUUUUGGCACAUCAUAUGAUAGACCACUAUAUUGCGUUGCUUUACAAAAGAUUAAUAUUUUUAAAAUUAUUAACUCAUGAUAUGAUAGUCCAGGUUUUCGAGGACCACUAUAUUGUAUGGAUUUAAAAAAAAUUAAUAUUUUUUAAUAUUAAUAUUCUAAAUUAUAUUCAGUUAAAAUAUUAAAUAUUAAAUACAUUCUUAACAUUAAUAUUCUUAGAUGAAAUUCUUUUGCUGACUUAAGAAUAAAGUAUUAAAUAAUUUUAUUUUUCUUUUAUUUUGUAACGUGGACCCAAAAAAAAAAGGAAAUGAAUUUAAUAAAACCUUCAUUCCGCCAACAUGCAUGUUAAUUGUUUCCAAAUUCCAACCUCCGUACUCUCUUGAGGAGUUUCCCAUUCAUCAAUUAUUAUUUUUUAUAAUCCAUACCAUCCUGAUAUAAUUAAACACCAUUAAUAAUGUACCAGCCUUUAAAUAGUAAUUAAUUUAUUUAUCUAAUUCACCAAAUGUUUUUUUCCGGUACAUAUCUCCAUUGGUAUCAAGAAGAAGCAGAACCCAAAGAAAUGUUUCUUGCAUCUUCAUAUUUGUGCGAAUUCAUCCUUUCAUUGAGAAUAACCAUUUCCAGGCAGCAGUUGGCAAUCAAUUCAUGCGCAUGUCGAUGCUACUCAUAGAUAUUAAAGACAAUGAUGAACCAAAGGUAAUAAAUCAUAAAUGCAUAAUUACCAAACCUCCAUCCUUCUCUCAUUAUGACUUGAUUUUAAAUGAAUUAUUGCUUGGUAACAUUAUUUCCAACCAUUGCAAGAUUUUUUUUUGGAGAAAUUUCAAUUGAAAGUAAAACCUUUAGACAUUUACCUAAUGAAGUUAGUUAAUCGGGAGGGUGGAAAAAAAAAAGUUGACGCAAGUCAAUACACAAUAAUUAAUUAAAUCCGGAGUCACUAAAACAGAGCCACGACUUUUUCAAAAAUAUCUGCAUUCAUCACUUUCUCCAGCAACUAGUCAGCUACACACGAAUCAAUUUCUCUCCUCGUUUGUCAUCCAAAAUUAUUCACCAAUACCAUGGCUGAUGCAAUCGUUUCCCCGCUCUUGGAGCAGCUGAUUUCCUUCGCUGCUGAAGAGAUAAAACAACAGGUGAUCGAAGUUACACCCCUCAUAUUACAAAUACUUCCAAUGAUUUUAAUUGGUUUUGUUUUUAUCAAAAACAUUAUAUAUUUUUGCUUUUUUUUAUUUAUCUGAUAAUUUUAUAUUUUGAAAUUUGAAUUGAAUUUAAUUAAAAGGUGAUGUAGUAACCACUUAUUUUUAUUUUAUUUCAUUUAUAUUCUCAAUAACUACUCAUAUUUUGGUAACUUACUAUAACUUCCAUAUCUAAGAAAUGAUCCAAACCCACAAUUUUAACUAUGUAUAAAUAUUCAACGUUGAGCUAAGGUUUUGCAGAACAUUCAAGUUUAUCAAAUAGUCAUUAAUUUAAUGUUUUAGUAAAACCUCAACUCAUCACUGAAUCCCAUAGCUAUUACUUAGACACUAUGAAAAAUUUCAUAGUUUUCUUACAUUCUUUCAGUUUGGUAAGUGAUUUCAUAUAAUUUCUUUUCAAGUUAAAUUUUAAUUUGGUUUCUGAUAUAGUCUCUUUGCCGAAUUGUAUCUUUUAUGAUUCUUGGAUUUUGGGCUCCAACUUUUUAGGAUUUGAUAGUCACAUUUUAUGCCAUGCUCAGAUUGAUUUUCAUGAUUUUUAGUACCCGUUAAGUGACGUACAAUUUGACAAAAGUUUGAAAGGAAAUAUGUUUCAGAAUUCUGUUUUAAUUGACCUUUUAGUGGAAUUAGGAUGCUUAUAACUUAAUGUGGAUGGUUCGUAAAAUCAUGAAAUUUGGAUAGGAUUCACUAGCAAUAUGUACAAGACUCCCCAUAAAGUUUCAUAAUUUUUCAUUCGGUCUGGGGUGGUACAGGUGAAACUUGUGGUUGGUGUUGAAAAAGAAGUGAAAAGCCUUACCAGCCAUCUUCAAGCCAUUCAAGUUGUGCUCGAUGAUGCAGAGGAAAAGCAAGUGAAGGAAAAAGCUGUUAGUCUUUGGCUGGGUAGGCUCAAGUAUGCAUCCUACGACAUUGAAGAUGUGUUGGAUGAGUGGAUAACAACAAGACGCAAAUUGCAAAUUGAGGGUGGCGUUGAUGAAAAUGCUCUUGUUGUUCCUCAUAAGAAAAAGAAGGUAUGUCUCUGCUUUCCCGGCUCUUGUUUUGGAUUCAAACAAGAAGAAUUUGGUUUCAAACAGGUCUUUCUCCGUCAUGACAUUGCCGACAAGAUCAAAGAAAUCAAUGAAGAGCUACAUGAUAUUGCCGCUCAAAAAGACAUGUUUGAUCUUGUUAAGAGUGGCAAUAAAAGUAGUGAAAGACCAAGGCGUGUACAGAGUACCUCCUUGAUUGAUGAGGAAGAGAUUUGUGGCAGAGUUGGUGAGAGGAAUGAACUCUUAAGCAAGCUGUUGUGUGAGAGUAGCGAGCAACAAAAAGGCCUUCAUAUCAUCUCAAUCGUUGGUAUGGGAGGCAUAGGGAAAACAACUCUUGCACAACUAGCUUGUAAUCAUGACGAGGUGAAGAGAAAGUUCGACAAAAUUCUGUGGGUGUGUGUAUCAGAAACUUUUGAGGAGUUUAGGGUUGCCAAAGCGAUCGUUGAAGUUUUGGAUGGUCGUGAAUCUCAUUUAGCUGAAUUCCAUUCUCUUCUUCAACAUAUUUAUGAAUCCAUUGCAGGGAAGAGCUUUCUUCUUGUCUUAGAUGACGUGUGGGAUGGAAAUUACUUGAAAUGGGAACCAUUCUACCAUUGUCUAAAGAAUGGUCUCCAUGGAAGUAAAAUUUUAGUUACCACACGUAAAGGGUCAGUCGCAUCCAUGAUGGGAUCCAUAGAUAUUAUCUCCGUUAAGGAGUUAGCUGAAGAGGAAUGUUGGUUGUUGUUUAACAAGAUAGCAUUUUUUGAUCGGUCCAUCGAGGAACGUGAAAAAUUAGAACAAAUUGGGCAAAGAAUUGCAGGCAAGUGCAAAGGUUUACCUCUUGCAGCAAAGACAAUAGGGAGUCUCAUGCGUUCUAAACAAACUGAAGAAGAGUGGAAAAGAAUUUUAAAUAGUGAUUUAUGGAAAGUAGAAGAGAUUGAGAAAGAUGUUUUGUCCUCUUUAUUGUUGAGUUAUAAUGAUUUGCCAUCUAGAGUAAAAAGAUGUUUUUCAUAUUGUGCUGUCUUUCCAAAAGACUACAAUAUAGAAAAAGACAAACUAAUCACGUUAUGGAUGGCUCAAGGUUAUCUUAGUGCAGAAGAAGAUGAAGAGAUGGAGACAGUAGGUGAAGAGUAUUUUGGCAUCUUAGCUUCUCGCUCAUUUUUUCAAGAGUUUAAGAAAAGUUAUGAUAAUCGGAUUAUAGAGUGUAAGAUGCAUGAUAUGGUACAUGAUUUUGCCCGAUUUGUAAGUCAAAAUGAAUGUUUUUCGAUGGCAAUUAAUGGUAGUGAAGAACCAAACGCCACAAACUCUCUUGAUGAGAAGGUCCGUCAUUUAAUGUUAAUCUUUAGUAUAGAGGCUUCAUUACCUGUUUCCACUUGUAGAGUUAAAAGAAUUCGUAGCCUCUUAAUUAACGAUAGUAGAUCUGAUCAUUCAUUAUUAAAUGGUGAGAUCCUAGAAGAAUUAUUUAGGGAAUUGACAAGUUUAAGGGCAUUAGAUUUUUGCAAAUCGUAUAACGCAAGCUGGUCUUCGACUCUGGAGAUUCCGAGAAACAUAGAAAAGCUGGUACAUUUAAGAUACCUUAAUUUGUCUUAUCAGGGAAUAAAGAAACUACCGGAGACAUUAUGCGAGUUGUAUAAUCUAGAAAAGUUAGAUAUUAGUUAUUGUUAUAAGCUAGAAGAAGUACCUGAAGGGAUUGGGAAGUUAAUAAACAUGAAGCAUUUACGAAAUAGAGGUACUAGUUCUUUAAGGUACAUGCCGGUAGGGAUUGGGAGAUUAACGGGUCUUAGGACCUUGGGUGAGUUCCACGUGAGUGCAGGAGGAGGUGUUGAUGGUAGGAAAGCAUGUAGGCUUGAAUCUCUUUAAAACUUGGAACACCUUCAAGUAUGUGGUAUAUGUAGACUGGGUGAUGUAUCAGAUGUGGGCGAGGCUAAGCGAUUAGAACUUGACAAAAAGAAAUACCUCUUCAGUUUGACCCUUGAGUUUGAUAAGACGGAAAGAGGAGGAGAAAGGAGGAAGAACGAGGACGAUCAACUUCUUCUUGAAGCCUUGCGACCACCCCUGGAUUUAAAGGAAUUAGAGAUACGGUACUACCGAGGCAACACUGUUUUCCCCAGCUGGAUGGCGUCAUUAACCAACUUAAAGAGUUUACAUCUCCAUAGGUGCGAAAAUUGCGAGCAGCUGCCUCCUUUGGGAAAAUUGCCGUCCCUUGAAAAUCUCUACAUAUGGCGCAUGGAGAGUGUGAAGAGAGUGGGUGAUGAAUUUUUGGGGAUAGAAAGUGAUCAUCAUGACUCAUCGUCAUCUUCAUCAGUUACUAUUGCCUUCCCCAAAUUGAAAUCACUCACAAUUUAUUCGAUGCUGGAAUUGGAGGAGUGGGAUUAUGAGAUUACAAGAACAGGAAACACCGUCAUCAACAUCAUGCCACGUCUUUCUUCCUUGACAAUUGUUGAUUGCACCAAAUUAAAGGCACUGCCCGACCACAUUCAUCAAACGACAACGUUGAAGGAAUUGAGCAUUUUUAUGUGUUGGCUUCUGAACAAACGUUACCGCAAGGGGAAAGGAGAAGACUGGCCUAAAAUAUCACACAUUCCCAACCUCCAUAUUGGGCUUUGACAAGUAAUUUCUUCUCUCACUCUGAUUUGCUUUGUUGUUGUUUUUGUUGAAAAGUUAAAAAGUUUGGUUGGAAAAGAAAAGUGAGCCACAUGCAUUGCUUUUGUUUUUCAAAGUCGGCACCAAAUUGCAAACUGUAUUUGGCAUUUGACAAUCCUGCACCAAAUGAAGAAAAAUGCAAAAGUUAGCAAAAUUUGUCAAAUUGACAGAGAUGGAGAUUGAUAAAUUGCAGAGGGAUUAGGUGGAAUAGUGCAUGCUUGAAGCCUAUAAAUUGAAGCCAUUUCUUCAUUCUAAAUAAUCCCAAAAUUGUUAAACUUAUAAGUUUCUAAGCUUUUGAGAGAAGUGAGAGAAGUGUGUCUGUGGAAUUUAUUUUUCCUGCAGAGUGUGAGAGUACUUGGUAUAUUUGGGUUUCUGGGAAGUGAGAUUCGUUACUCAAAUAUUGUAUUCUAUUAAUUGUUAAAUAAACAAUUAUUCUUUCUUACCUCCGUGGAUGUAGGUUUAAUUACCGAACCACGUAAAAUCUUGUGUCCUUUAUUUUUCAGUAAUUAUUUGGUGCGCUUGAUUCCGCAUUCCGCGCACAACAGUUUUUAAUCUAAUUAAGAAGCGAAAAUAGCAUUUUGAAUCAAACUCUAUAUCAGAAAUCUGCAAUACUUACUUUCUAAUAUUCUGAUUUUCAUAUCCUAUGAAUAUACGAUUUUUAAUUUGUGAGAUGGGUAACGUUACUGUAAAAGAUUAUUAAUGCAAUAUGAGUAAUUCUUUUGCAGGACAAGUGACCUACAUUUAGUUUGGCUUUGGAGUUGAAUAAUAACCUUUCGAGGUCCCGACAACCAAAAAACAAAGCUUAAUUUGCCACAGAUUGAACGUAUUGCCAUUAUUGACAAUUUUCUGCACAAGUGUGACUGAACUUAGGUUGAUGUCAAAAGAGGUAAAUUAUUGGCAUGCCUCACUAUUUUGACCAUUACAUGAUUCAUAAGUUUACAUUAAUUUUGAUUUUGAGUUGAGUGAUUAGUUUUCUAGGUUUGCUUACUUUAACUGGGUGACCAAUUUCUUGUAACUAAAUGUAUGAUGUGAUGCAGGAAGCAGGGCAGGAUAUGAAAAGAGAAGCUUAUUAGAGGAAGGAUUGCCAGUAACAGAAUCCAAAGAAAAAGAAACCAUUUCGAGGCAGCUGUUGGCAGUUGGCAGUGAAUGGAGCCCCUUGAAAAAAUUCCCAAGCCGUUGCACUGCAAUUACGAUCAUCCUCGGCCUCAGGUAAUUUCUUCUCCUGCAUUUUUGUUAUUUGCUAUCAAGUGACUAUUUUAAGUAUGAUUGCAUUAAGCUGCUGCUGGGAAAUUUGAGGUUUUGAUGACUGCCCAUGCUAUUGUCAGAAGCUGCGGUUCUUUUCAUCAGCCUGAACCUGGACCUGCCGCUAUGGAUAACUCAGGUUUUUUUUUUUUUUUAAUCAACUGCCAUCUUUUCCACUGUUUAGAAACUCUUAAGAUUAAACUUUAGUAAAGUUGUUUUAGUUAUCCAUGUAAUCAGGCUGAGGAUACUUAGCUGCCUAUUUAAGCAAAUGUCAGAAUUUAGUUUGUUCGCUGGGAACUGGUGUGGACUGGCAAAGGAUGAUGAGAUAGUUUUUUGAGUGAGUAAAUUUUGGGAGCUUGAGUGUAUUGGGAUUUGCAAUUACAAUCAUCGUCUGCCUCAGGUGAUUUCUUCUCCUGCUCUAUCAUUGUUUGUUCUCUAAUUCAAAAGCAUAAAAUAUUUCAAUCAAUUUUUAUGCCAGGAAUAUGCAAAAGUUUCUAAUAUUUUAUUUCCAUCUGUUACAAGAUCAAACUGAAGUAGAACUCAAACAAAAGUAUGCUACUUCUUGCGGAAAUCUUGCCUUUGUUCAGAUUAUGAAACCAUUUCCAUGCAGCAAAUUCAUCCAAAAGUUUGAAUAAGUUUCAUGGUUGGACACUGUUGGCUUCUUUUUCUUCUGGGGUGCAUUUAGGUGCUAUCAAGUGACAGCUGUAAGUAUGAUUGCACUAAGCUGCCGCUGGGAAAUUUGAGGUUUUGAUGGCUGCCCAUGUUAUUUUCAAGAAACUAUUGAUGUAAGAAGCUGUGGUUCUUUUCAUCAGCUUGAACCUGAAACUGUCGCUAUGGAUAACUCAGGUUUUUGUUAUCAACUAUAUCAUCUUUUUCACUAUUUUGAAACUCUUAAGAUUAAACUUUAGUAAAGUUGUUUCAGCUAUUCAAAUGAAAAACUCAUUGAUUUGAGACUUCCUUCAUUAUUGUUUCUAAUUACAAUGCUAACGAUCUAGAUAAAAUAAUAUUUAAUCGGCGCAGGUGUCCCUUGGAAGUACAUCCAACUUUUUCUUUUAUUAUAUAAAUUCUUGCAAUGAGCUUAGUGAAGCUGUUGUGCUAAUCAUGCCACUGCAUAAUUUGGCCCCUAAUGUGGGUACUCUGUUACAUUGUUCUGCAAAUUCUCCAGAAGUUAAAAUCAAUAAAUUUUCUAUUAGCUCUAGUGCUUUGACCUAAAUGCUAUUCUAUAUUUUGAUUACAAUGUUUUAACCUUUAAAUUAACUACCCCUAGAUGUUGGAUUUUCUAGAACUUCAAAAUGAUUAAUGGAGAAAGAUCCCAUUAUCGUUAUUGCUAUAAGAAAUUGAUUUAUGCAUCCAAAGAUACAUUAUAUAUUUCUGUGUCUCUAUUUGUAGAUGACAUUUAAGCAUCCAUAAACCGUCAGACAGAGGAAGGGUGAUGGGUGUCGAAGCCAACAAAAAUAAAUUCCUACUCUAAAUAAAUUGUGUAUAGUGAUUGAGCAGGGUCGUGUCCACAGAGAUCGGUAAUUAAUUAAAUCCUUUUGAAACGUAAAACAUAAAAUGGGGGAAUUGUUGACAAUAAUAAAAAUCAAAUUAAAAUAACAAGAAUGCAAAUUAAAGUUGUAAUUCAAAUUAGAGAAAGCUCUGGUUGAAGGAAUUAACUCAGCUUGAUUCGACUACUGAUCAUUGAUUCAAAUAUAGAUUAUUAUUACUCAUGAAUAGACCGGUUAUAGCUACUGAGACCCUCUAAUAGCCAAUCUCUCCUUAACUAGUCGAUAACCAAGGUACGACCAUUGGUUAUUUCCCUAAUCAAUAGACAACCCUAGAUACGAUCAUAGAAUUUAAUCAAUUGACAGCCUGAAAAACCAGAGAGACCCAAAUCCUAAUCAACACAUAUGAUGAUUCAUUUAAAUUAGAUUGUUUAUUCUCACAACACAACUCUCUGCUAUGUUAUUUGUCACAAACAUUAAAUUCUUCAUACGAUGAAUCCUUUAAUUGACAAUAGAUUAAGUUGAUAAUUAAAUAGUGGCCAAUUACCUAAUUAACAAACAUAAUCAUGAAAAUAAUUCAGAGAAUAAACAAAUACCCAAAAAGUAAUAAAACAAUUAAAGCACAAGAAAGAUCUCACAGUAGUGAUGAAUCAAAGCUUCAUUAACCUUCAACCAGAAAAAUAGGUUUAGCUCUUCAUAGAGAGAAGAGAAAAAUUAGAUCUAGGGUUUCUUUCUUUUUCUCCAAUCCAAAAAUCCCCCUUUUUCACAAUAGAUUCCUCCCUUAAAUACUUUCUCUCUCUUCUCUUUUAGAAUUCUAUUUAAAAUAAAAUCCUAAUAUCUGAAAUAUUAAAUUCGUAAUUACAAAAAUAACCAAAAAUACAAAACACGUUAAACUAAAAACUGCAGGUCCGCAGUUGACAGCACGCGCCCACGCCUUAUCAACAAAGUUCUUCUGACGCUCAUAAUUUCUCCAAGAGAACAAUCAUCCUUAAACAUCAUCUUAUAGCUCAAUUUUAUCAUCAAUCAAUAGAAUUGCACCUACAAAAGUAAAACACAAGUAAAUCACUAUUAUUAAGUGCAAAACAUUGAUAUUAAGGGAAGUAAAUAAUGCAAAACUAGUGCAUAAAUUGCACUCUAACAAAGGGGGUUCAGUGCAAAGAUUCUGUUGACCUAGGGUUGACUGCAUAAUGUCACUUGUUCGCAAUCUAUUAUUUAUUUUAUAUUUUGAAGAAUUUAAUGGGUAAUCCUAAUUGUUUGUUUUGGCAGGUAUGUGUUGUUAUCUCCUUCUAUCUAACAGUCGUACCUAAAUAGCAUAGUUUCAUCUGUGUUACCAUGUGAUGUACAUAAUUUCACAUUUGCCUCAGAUUAAGCUUAAUUUCCCACAAAAUAGAGCUGUCGCGACUGGACUUAGGUUGAUGUCCAAAGAGGUAAAUUAUUGGCAUGCCUAGAUAAUUUGGCCAUUUCCUAAUUCAUAAGUCUACAUUAUUUUUGAUUUUGAGUUGACUGAUUUCUUUUCAAGGUCUGCUUCCUUAACGGAGUGACCAAUGUUUUUCAACUAAAUUUAUCAUAUGAUGCAGGAAGCAGGGCAGGAUAUGAAAUGAGAUCUCAUUGGUGGAAGUAUUGCCAGUAGCAGAACCCAAUGAAAAUGAAACUAUUUCAAGGCAGCAGUUGGCAGUUGCAAGUAAAUGGAGGCCCUUGACAAAAUUCUCAAGCGGUUGCAAUGCAAUUACGAUCAUCCUCAGCCUCAGGUAAUUUCUUCUCCUGCUUUGUAUUUAUUUGUUAUCUAAUUAGGAAGCGUAAAGUAUCUUGAAUCAUUUUCUGUAUCUGGAAUAUAUGCAAGAGUUUCUAAAAUUUUGAUAUGAGUGUAAUGAUGGUAAUUUCUGUUUUCUGUCUGUCAUCAAAUGUUAGAAAACUUUCAUUGAGACCCUUGAACCGAGUCAUUUUUGACAAGUGAAGGACAAUUGCUGAAGAGUGGGAAUGGUGCUAGAUUGGGGAAUAAAGACAAAGGAGGUAAAUUAUUUGCAGUUUAUUCAGCAUUAUUUGCUUUGGACCACCGCCUGAUUCACAAGUCUCCAUAAUUUGGCUUUUGAGCAGUUGUUAAUAAAUUUUUAAUUCCAUUGGUGCUAAAUGUGCACGUGAAGCAGGCAGAGCAGGACUGUGGAAAUGAGAAGGUUUUUAGUGAAAGCUUAAACUCAGGUAAUUCUAAAAAGUACAUGUUUUUGCUGAUUUAUCUAAAUCAGGAAGUUUUAUUUCCAUCUGUUACAAGAUAAAACAGAAACAGAACACAAAGAAAAAUAUUCUACUUCUUCUGGCAAUCUUGCCUUCAUUCAGACAAUGAAACCAUUUCCUUUCACCAAUUUCUUCCAAAAGUUUGAAUAAGUUUCAUGGUUGGACAUAGUUAGCUUCUUUUUCUUUUGGUGCAUUUAGGUCCUAUCAAGUGACAGCCAUAAGUAUGAUUGCAUUAUUGGGAAAUUUUAGGUUUGGAUGGCUCCCCAUGUUAUUGCCAAGAAAGUCCUCAUGUCAGAAGCUGCGGUUCUUUUCAUCAGCCUGAACCCGAACCUGUCGUUAUGGAUAACUCAGGUUUUUGUCAUCAACUAUAUCAUCUUUUUUACUGUUUUGAAACUCUUAAGAUUAAACUUCAGUAAAGUUGUUUCAGUUAUCCAUGUAAGCAGGCUAAGGAUAUUUAGCAGCUUAUUUAGGCAACUGCCAGAAUUGAGUUUGUUUGCUCGAAACUUGUAUGGUGACAAGGAUACUGGCAAGGAUAGUGAGAUAGUUUUUUGUGUGAGUGAAAUUUGAAAGCUUGGGUGUUCUGGGAUUUGCAAUUGCAAUCAUCCUCUGAGUCAGGUGAUUUCUUCUCCUGCUCUGUCUUGAUUUUCUCUCUAAUUGAAAGCAUAAAGUAUUUCAAUCAAAUUCUGUACCAGGAAUACGUAAAAGUUACUAAUAUUUUAUUUCCAUCUGUUCGCAUUGAUAACUCGGCGGCAUAUGUGUUGUGCGCGGAAUGCGGAAUCAAGCGCGCCAAAUAAUUAUAGAAAAAUAAAGGACACAAGAAUUACGUGGUUCGGUAAUUAAACCUACAUCCACGGAGGCAAGAAAGAAUAAUUGUUUAUUUAACAACUAAUAGAGUACAAUAUUUGAGUAACGAAUCUCACUUCCCAGAAACCCAAAUAUACCAAGUACUCUCACACUCUGCAGGAAAUAUAAAUUCCCCAGACACACUUCUCUCACUUCUCUCAAAAGCUUAGAAACUUAUAAGCUUAACAAUUUUGGGAUUAUUUCAAAUGAACAAUUUCCCUUCUAUAUAUAGGAACCGUAGCUCACCUACCACUUCCAAUUUGGCUACAACUUGCCGAAUUGAUAAAUUGAAUUUAGAAUGGAAAAUCAAUUUGGUGAGCAACAAAAUCAACAAGUUUGAAAAAUCAAUUGGCUUCUAGAAAAACAUCACAUUUUUCCUCCAUACAAUUUCAACAAAAUCGUCCCACCAACCAUGUCUUUUGAAAUUUGCAUGCCAUUCUUUGACUUGUUGUGCGCGGAAUGCGGAAUCAAGCUCACCAAAAAUUACUGCAAAAAUAAAGGACACAAGAAUUUACGUGGUUCGGUAAUUAAACCUACAUCCACGGAGGCAAGAAAGAAUAAUUGUUUAUUUAACAAUUAAUAGAAUACAAUAUUUGAGUAACGAAUCUCACUUCCCAGAAACCCAAAUAUACCCAGUACUCUCACACUCUGCAGGAAAGAUAAAUUCCCCAGACACACUUCUCUCACUUCUCUCAAAAGCUUAGAAACUUAUAAGCUUAACAAUUUUGCGAUUAUUUCAAAUGAACAAUUUCCCUUCUAUAUAUAGGAACCGUAGCUCACCUACCACUUCCAAUUUGGCUACAACUUGCCGAAUUGAUAAAUUGAAUUUAGAAUGGAAAAUCAAUUUGGUGAGCAACAAAAUCAACAAGUUUGAAAAAUCAAUUGGCUUCUAGAAAAACAUCACAUUUUUCCUCCAUACAAUUUCAACAAAAUCGUCCCACCAACCAUGUCUUUUGAAAUUUGCAUGCCAUUCUUUGACUUUUCAACAAUUCUCCACCUCGGCGAAAAUUUUCCAAAUCUGAGCCGACUACCAACUAACCAUCCCCAAAGUGAUCCUUCAAUAAGGAUCCAGAAUGGCUGUGUCGAUUCGACUGCCUACGUACCCAAACUGUCUUGAUUUUCUCUCUAAUUGAAAGCAUAAAGUAUUUCAAUCAAAUUCUGUACCAGGAAUACGUAAAAGUUACUAAUAUUUUAUUUCCAUCUGUUCGCAUUGAUAACUCGGCGGCAUAUGUGUUGUGCGCGGAAUGCGGAAUCAAGCGCGCCAAAUAAUUAUAGAAAAAUAAAGGACACAAGAAUUACGUGGUUCGGGAAGCAGUUGGCAGCAAAUUCAUAUGGAGUGUAGACAAUGAUGAGCAAAAAGGUGAUUCUCAAUUUCUUUUUUUUUUAAAGUGAAAUUAUUUGUUAGAUUGAAGCUGAUAUUGUAAGAAGGCCAUUGAGCUAACCUAUGUCGCCACUUGCCUAGAUUGCAGGGGGUCAAGACUCAAAAGAAGCACUGAAAUUUAAAAAGCAUGCAAUAGUUCUUUUGCCAUGUAUCAAUUAAUGCAAGUUUGAAUAAAAUUAACAUAUAUCAAGACACAACUAGAAACAUCAUACUUUCGUGUAAGUUCAUUUCAGAAUAUUUCUUAGAGUUUGUAUAAAAUGAAAAGAUUUUAAAAUAUAAAUUUAAUAUUUGUUUAUUACCGUUGUUUGGUCUAAUUUCCUCGGGAGAAUUUUCAGAAUUUAUAGGACAUUAGUUUAUAAUUUUGAAAUUUUGUAACCUAAAUGUUUUUUUUUUUCGGUUACCAUUUUGUUUUCCUGCUUUAUCUACGUGUAUGUUGACUAAAACUAAUCUAUUUUGUUAAACCUUUACCACUUUAGACAUUGCACUAAAUAUGAGUUCGUGAUGCUUGCAUUUUAUUGAUGCUGAUGAUUCGUUGAAUGUUUUAUGUUUUUGAUUUUUAAGUAUUCCGGAUCGAAGUUUGUGUCUACGCGGAAAUUGUAAAGGCAGCAUAUAAAGUACUCGUCGUUCUUUAGAUUUUAUUGAGUACACUUUUUUCACAUUUAGCGUAUGCUAUACACUACUGAUUUGCGCAUUGACAUAUAACUUAUUUUAUCAUUUUGAAUGAAUUGCACGGCGAGGCUUAUCAACUUUGGAUGAAUCCUCCAAUUGUCACAGUCCAAGACUGGCUGCAGUGAGUGAAAAUUUACCCAUAUAUAUGCUGGCUAUUUUUAUUGGCGACGAAUUCGUUGUAGUUGGUCCAUCUUGCUAUUCUCGGACAAUAUUAGAGAAAAUAAUCAUAUUAUUUCGCGUGAUGUGACCUUCCAUAACUUAUCAAUUGAAUUACUGUAAAAUUAUUGUGUAAGUUUAGGCCCAAUGGCACUUUAGUUCAUCACAUGAUAGCCUGGAUUUAAAUGGAAAACUAUAUUGCAUUGCUUCAAAAAAAUAAAUUAAUGUUUUUAAUAUGAAUAUUUUUAACUAUAUUCAGUUAAAAUAAUAUAUUCUUAAUAUUAAUAUUCAUAGAUGAAAUUCUUUUGCGGAUUUAAGAAUAAAAUAUCAAAUAGUUUUAUUUUUCUUUUGUUGUGUAACUUGGACCGAAAAAGAAAAUGAGCUUAACAUGACCCUCCUUCCGGCACUAUGCAUGUUUUUCUUGUAUUGAUGACAGUGCUCUUGGUGCUUCUCAUCUGCUUCUUGCUUUGGUUUCAAACAAGUCUUUCUCCGUCAAGACAUUUAUUGUAAUUUCAUUUGGAGACAUCUGUCGUUCAAAUAUAUUUCAUAUUCAAGCUGUUGAUAAUUCUGCUUGAGAAAGCCUACAAAGCAGCUGUGUGAUGUAAUGGAAGACUAUAUAUGCAAGCGGUCAUCAGUUUCUCUUGAAUUCUUUCUUGAGUUUCUUUGAAUUAUUUGUGAAUGAGUUCUUAAUCGGCUGCUGCUCUUCAGGAAAAGGAAAGUUUUGCAAACUGGUGAAGCUGAUCGAUAAAAGCAAUGUACCAUCUUUGCUGGCAUGGAUCGAUGCCAGUGAGUAGCUCAUUGGUGGAAGUAUUGCCAGUAACAGAACCCAAAGCAAAUGAAACUAUUUCAAGGCAGCAGUUGGCGCUUGCAAGUGAAUGGAGGCCAUUGACAAAAUUCUCAAGUGGUUGCGAUGCAAUUACGAUCAUCCUCAGCCUCAUGUAAAUUCUUCUCCUGCUUUGUUUUUAUUUGUUAUCUAAUUAAGAAGCACAAAGUAUCUUCAAUCAUUUUCUGUAUCUGGAAUAUAUGCAACAGUUUCUAAAAUUUUGAAACGAGUGUAAGGAUGGUAAUUUCUGUUUUCUGCCUGUCAUCCAAUGUUAGACAACUUUCAUUGAGACUCUUGAACAGAGUCAUCUUUGCUGGCAUGGAUCGAUGCCAGUGAGUUUUUUUAUUUGUCAACCUUUUUAAUAAUGCAUAUGUGUUUCUUCAACUUGAAGCGGCAUAUAAGACGAAAGAAGUGAUCUUUAUCCAAUUGCUCCAAAUUAUUUGCAAAUUACUGAACACGAAUGCUGAUGAAUAAACUGAUGGCUCUAUGUAUGUAUGCACAUGCAUGGAGAAAUUUUAAGUCAGACAUUGACUCGUGGUACCAAAUCAUUAAAUAAUCUUGAAAUCAAAGUAAUAAUUAAAUACAAAUAAAUUGCUCGAAUUGUACAUAUAUCUGAAUCAUGUAGUGAAGAAAAUACAACAACAACAGCCAAUGGCUCAAAUUCCCUAUCAACUUCUAGUCUCAACACUUUUGAGUGUCAGAAGCAUUACUCUGCUACUAGUUAACAAACAUAUAAUUAGUAAUUUGCCAUUCACUUCCCUUUUAGGCCUAACACAUUUUCUAUAAAAGAGCCACAGAGUGAACUCAGCAGGAAACACUCAAUUUCAACCUACGUAGGACCAGGAAUUUCAACCAAAAAAAAAGUGUGCAAUUGCUUAUCCUAUCCUAUUGCUACUAGAAAGAAAGUGAACAAUUAAUUUCAGUGAAUAAAUUAAAAAAAAAAUUACUUCUGCAGAUACUCAAGCUAAGAACACAUUAACCCAUUAAAGACUCCAAAUUGCAUCAAACAAAUUGUUGUUAAACAAGUAAAACAAAGAAAGAGAGUUAAGGAAGCUGACCAAGUAGUAGGGGAGCUGAAGAAAGACUGCCAGUGAAUGUAAGAGAAAAUAAAAUGCAAGAAAUGGUGAAGUGCAGCUUUUCAUGUCAACUUGAAAUUGAGUUUUCUGUUUUUUUUUUUUUUUUUAAUCUUUUGGAUUUUUCAAACAAAGAAAAUGAGGAGCAACCAGGGAGAUAAAAAGGGCGCCAAGGCAACUGUGUGUUGGGUUUAGAGCCAAAAAAAAAAAGAAUAAGACAUCGUGUUCUUGUGGAGACCAGACCUAUUACGUAACGUCCCCUUCAAUACCACUAGUUCCGUAUCUGGUUUUUUCUUCGUCUUUUACAUAGUUUGCAAUUUUAUUCAUUUGAGCCCUACAGAUGAUAUAAGGGACAAGAGCGCAAAACAGAAACUCUGUCCACUACUGAUGAUAUAACAACGAACCGGGGUUUUUAAUUAAAUACCCUUUAAUAGUUUCAAAAUUAUUUAAAUACCUCCUCCCUUUUUAGUUUUCAUGGAUACCCUAACAAAAUUAUUUAAAAAUGGUUCAAUUUUAUUCUACUCUCAGGAAUUAAGUGUUGGAUAGACUAGAAAAUUCUGAGUACAAAGCAUCGCUUGUUUUCGUUGGUUUUUUUUUUGCAUUCCAGUAGAAAGGUUGUGUACAAUUGAAUCUGAUAACUAUGGCAGGAGGUAAGUUUUCUAACUUGCGCAUGAUGAAUAUAGUCUUUUAUUUCUUCCAUUGUAAUUUUUGUUUAAUAGAAAAUCUAUUUGAGAUUUUGUGAGAAGAAACUCAACAAUAAAGUUUGAUAGACUUUGUGGAUAUUAAGAGUUUGACAAGUAAUUGAAAUCUGAAGUUUACUGAAGUUUACGAGCAAACAAACUGAAAUCCGAAGUUUACUGAAGUUUACUAUCAAGAGUUUCAAAACAGUGAAAAAGAUGAUAUGGUUGAUGACAAAAACCUGAGUUAUCCAUAGCGACAAGUAACAUACUGAAGUAAGCCGUGGGGAGCUGGCCUGUUCAUGGGCUAUUUUUCUCUGAUGAUCUGCAUUUUUCUUCCUUUUAAGUGAACCUUGACUCGUAUCAAACCUGUCAAAAGAACAGUUCAUCAACUGAGCUGAGAUUUGCUUUCCUUUUUCAAAACCCACCUGAGAUAUUGUAAUUCCCAAAUUUCUCUCUCUCAGCUACACGAGCAAGCAGCCGCUUUUUCACUUCAUCGACGAAGGUAAGCGAUAAUAUCUAUUUCGUCCGAUUGAUUUCUUGUUUCCUUUUCAGUGUUCGGGUAAAUUAUUGGCAUGCCUGACUUUUUGACCAUUACAUGAUUCAUAAAUUUAUAUUAAUUUUGAUUUUGAGUUGACCGGUUACUUUUAUUGGUUUGCUUACUUUGACUAGGUGACCGAUUUCUUGUAACUAAAUUUAUGACGUGAUGCAGGAAGCUGGGCAGGAUAUGAAAUGAGAAUCUUAUUAGUGGAAGGAUUGCCAGUAACAGAACCCAAAGAAAAUGAAACCAUUUCAAGGCAGCAGUUGGCAGUUGGGAGUGAAUGGAGGCCCCUGACAAAACUUCAGUAAACUUCAGAUUUCAGUUUGUUUGCUCGAAACUUGCAUGGUGACAAGGAUACUGGCAAGGAUAAUGAGAUAGUUUUUGUGUGAAUGAAAUUACGAUCAUCCUCAGACUCAGGUAAUUUCUUCUCCUGCUUAGUUGUUAUUUGUUACCUAAUUAAGAAGCAUAAAGUAUCUUGAAUCAUUUUCGUUGUCUGGAAUAUAUGCAACAGUUUUUAAAAUUUUGAUAUCAGUGUAAUGAUUGUAAUUUCUGUUUUCUGUCUGUCAUCGAAUGUAAGACAACUUUAUUAAGAUUCUUGAACCGAGUCAUUUUUGACAAUUGAAGAACAAGUGCUGAAGAGUGGGAAUGCAAAAAGUUUUGUUGUUUUUAGCCUUGUUUUCUUUGAACCAGCGCCUGAUUCACAAGAGUUCAUUAAUUUGGCUUUUGAUCAGCUGAUUGAUAAAUGUUCAAUUUCUUUGGUGAUAAAUGUAUAUGUGAAGCAGGCAGCAGGGCAUGACUGUGGAAAAGAGAAGAUUUUAGUGAAAGCUGAGACUCAGAUAAUUCUACGCGUUUUGGCUGAUUUAUAUAAUUCGUGAAAUUUUAUUUCCAUCUGUUACAAGAUCAAACUGCAAUUAGCAAUUUAACAUUCCCUUAAAACCACUAGCUACAUUUCAUCUUUGCACAAUUACACUUAAAAUUCCACUAAAAGAAACUCUUGAGUUGCUCGCAAGCUAUAUGUCAUUAUCCAUUGAAUUCUUACCACAUACAUCUCACCUUUCAAUCAAUCACAUAAUAAUCAAUAUACAUAUUGUAAGAAUUCAACAAAUGGAGAACAUAAUAUACUAUAAAAGCAUCCAAAAUUUUUCCAUCUCAAAUUAUUACUAAACUUCUUGAACAAGUUGAAGAUUGGGGGGAAAAAGUGCAAGAAGGAAAAGCAUUAUUCUACUAGUUUCUAGGUUUCUCAUUUGAACAGAAAGAUUAAAUAAGAUAUUUGUGUAUGGCUGUAGUACUACACGGUAUCUGCUAGAAAGCAAAAUACCUUCUGCUGAUUGCACAUUGGAAUGGGAAUAAGUUGGUAAAUAUAUAAGUUACAUAAAUUAUUUUGGAUAAUUCUGCUGGUGAAUUAAUUAUCUUAAAAUCACCCUUUUAUUUUUUAAAAAAUCUUAAGUUAUUUUUCAUAUAUCUUAGGAAGACAAACAAACUUUCAUCAACUCUCCUUUUUUAGCUUUUCCCUUCAAUAAUGUUAGAAAUUCUAACAUUUGAGUCCUGCUUGAGCUUAAUACUAUUUAUCACUCAUUUAUUAGAUGAUGAAUUUUUUAAAUUAUAAAGUUAUUUGACUACCAUUCAAUGAAUGAAUGUCACAUCAUUUAAAACUCAAAGAAAAGUAUUCUACUUCUUGCGGCAAUCAUGCCUUCAUUCAGACUAUGAACCAUUUCCUUUCACCAAAUUCUUCAUAAACAUUGAAUAAGUUUCAUGGUUGGACAUAGUUAGCUUCUGUUUCUUUUGGUGCAUUUAGGUGCUAUCAAGUGACGGCCGUAAGUAUGAUUGCAUUAUUGGGAAUUUUACGAUUUGAUGGUUCCCCACGUUAUUGCCAAGAAAGUUCUCAUGUCGGAAGCAGCGGUUCUUUUCAUCAGCCUGAACCCGAACCUGUCGCUAUGGAUAACUCAGGUUUUUGUCAUCAACUAUAUCAUCUUUUUCACUGUUUUGAAACUCUUAAUAUUAAACUUACAGUAAACUUCAGAUUUCAGUUUGUUUGCUCGAAACUUGUAUGGUGACAAGGAUACUGGCAAGGAUAAUAAGGUAGUUUUUUGUGUGAGUGGAUUUUGAGAGCUUGUGUGUAUAGGGAUUUGCAAUUACAAUCAUCCUCUGCCUCAGGUGAUUUCUUCUCCUGCUCUGUCUUUAUUUGCUCUCUAAUUGAAAAGCAUAAAGUAUUUCAAUCAAAUUCUGUACCAGGAAUAUGUAAAAGUUCCUAAUAUUUUAUUUUCAUUUGUUUGCAUUGAUAACUUGACGGCAUAUGUACUAGUUAAAGAACAAACAGAAUCAGAGCUCAAGAAAAAGUUUUUUCUGCCAUCAUAUUUGAAAAUGAAGUCAUUUGCAGGAAGCGGUUGGCAGCAAAUUCAUACAAAGUGUAGACAAUGAUGAGCAAAAAAGGUGAUUCACAGUUUGAUUUUUUUUUAAUAAUGAAAAUAAUUUGGUAGGUUGAAGCUGAUAUUGUAAGAGGGCCAUUGAGCUAACCUAUGUCGCUACUUGCCAAGAUUGCAGGGCGUUAAGACUCAAAAGAAGCACUGAAUUUUAAAAGGCAUGCAAUAGUUCUUGUGCCAUAUGUCAAUUCAUGCAAGUUGGAAUAAGUUUAUUGGUUUGAACGCUGUUAGCUCCUUUUCCUUUCGUGCAUUUUGGUAUGCUAUCAAGUGACAGCCGUAUGUAUGGUUUGCAUAUAGCUGCUGCUGGGAAAUGUGAGGAUUUCAUGGCUGGCCGUGUUAUUGUUUUAAAUUAGAUGUGAUAAGCUGUUGCUUGGAGAUUCUGUUGCCAAGACUUUGCUCACAUCAGAAGCUGUGGAACCUCAACCCUUCUCUAGAUAUCAUCUUUUUCAUUGUUUUAAAACUCUCAGGAUUAAACUUGAGUAAAUUUGUUCGGUUGUCUAUAUAAUCAUGUAUUGAGUAAACUCUCAGGAUACCGAGCAGGCAAAUGCCAUAACUCGGUUUGUUCUUCAAAAACUUGUUUAAGAUUCUUGACAAAGCUGCAUGAAGUGAAUCUUGGGAGCUUUGAGGGUGAGAGAAAUUAGAGGGUGUAUAGGGAUUUGGGUUUAUUAGUAAGUUAUAUAUGUAUUUCGUCACUUAUCAUUAUCAUUUUUAUUUUCACAGAAAACCUUCUGAUGGUGCUAAAUUUUCAAACACCGGUCCGAUUCAAAACUUCAUAUUCCAAUUAUAUUCAUAAGACAAAUGGAACACUUUGAACGGCUAGUGUCCGAGCAUUGUAGUUUGAUUUAUUUUGAUGAAAGUACCUUUUGACAUUGAGAUUCUUUCAUGAUUUAAACAUUCUUUUUUAAACCAAAUUAUUAAAAAAAGUAACUAACAUAUAUUAUUUUAUUAGUGCUUUUUAAAUCAAAUAUACAUAGGAGAACUGUAAUUCUUAGCAAUCAAUUUUUCACUAAAUACACCUGCAAUAAACUAUUAAUAACAAAGUGAUAGAAAAUACCUGAUUUUUCAUACUUUCUAAUUUCUUGUGGUCCUAAAAUAUGGGCAUUUGUGUAAUAAUUAGCCCAUGUGGAUCUCUAUGCCAUGAGUUUGAUAAAUAGCUAUCAAGGAUCACUUAUUAAGCUGAAAAUAUUUGGAGGACAAAAUUGUAAAACUAAAAGGGUAGAGCAAAUAUGGCUAUCUAGGAUUAAAUAGUAAGUCAACUAUAUUUAAAGGAUAAAAUGUUAAAACUUGAACUGUGAUAUUAAAAAUAUCUCAACUAUUACAUUAUUAAACCAUAUGUUCUAAUAGUUUUUUUUUAAGCUUCAAAAUGUUCAGGAUUUUAGAUUGAAACAUUUUCAUUUGAAAUUAUUUGGUGCAGUCACAAGUUAAGAAAGAAAAAGUUGUCCCAUUGGUCAUUUCACAAAAAUGAAAGCCCUGUAUAACAUGGACUUGAAUGGAAGCCCAAUUGUUUGUGUUUGAUUAAUUGAUUUCAAGCUUUAUCGGAUCUUUGGACCUGGAUACUUUACCGCGGCCUCUAAGCGCUAUAAUUUUUUUUUUUUUGGGAUAAACGGCGCUUCAAUGAGGGCAUUUCCAAUACUUAACACUAUUUUGGUGUAACACCAACACUAAAAAUGUACAUUUUUCACACUAAAUUACUAUUUAAUCUCCAACCCAUUUGAUCUACCAUGAUUGUGACUCCCACUGGGGCCACGUUCUGUUGAUCACCCUCUCGUCACCGAUAGCGCCUCCGCUUGUGGCGAACUUGCUUGUCUAUUUUCCCUAUUUUUCCGCUUACUCUCCUCAUUUAAUACGGAGGCUGCAACAUCAUCGAAAACUAGACUGUCCACUGAAUUGUAGUUUGUCAGGUUGACGAUGAGUUGUUCAUACGAAUCUUAUAGACUUUGAAGUAGAAGCUCUGCAUGUACAUUAUCCUCUAUAUUAUGACCCAACGUUGUGAGUUGUGAAAAUAGAGUCUUCAAGGUGUUGAUGUGGUCGGUCACCAUUGUAGAUUCCACCAUUCGAAGAGUAUAAAGUCUCCUCUUCAAAAAGAUUUUGUUGUGUAGUGACUUGGCCUCGUACAAUUUUGUAAGAGUAUCUCAUAUUUCCUUUGCUGUAUUUUUCUCUGCCACACUGGAUAAUACUCCAUCCGCAAGUGCCAAGUGUAGAUCAGAAAUAGCGUUGCCAUCUAUCUCAUUCCACUUGUCAUCAGUUAUCUCCAUGGGCCUUUCUCCAAUUGCUGCCAAACAAUUAUUUUUCCUCAAUACAACUUUCAUCUUCAUUUUCCACAAUGAAAAAUUAUUUCCGUUAAACUUCUCAAUUUCAUAUUUUGCUGCCAUUUUUUUGAUAAAUACCGCACACAAGUUAGUGUAUCACCUUGAAUAGUUGUCGGUAUGUGUGAGAAUGCACACCAGGAAAGUUCCCAGGAAAGACUGGAGGGGUCACACUGGUCCACUUAAAACUCAGACUCCUUAAGCACUUAUCGCGUUUGUAACAGAACUUUCCUAGACAUGUACAAAACCACACAGUUGCUUUUACUUACACCACUAUUUCCUACUUUGCAGUGCAAAAGUUCUUGGAUCGCUCCCAUCGUUUCUCGUGAACAGUACCAUAUACGUGAACAGUGCCACAUACAUGAAUAGUACCGUAUACGUGAACAGUACCGUAUACGUGAAUACUACCCUUUACGUGAACAGUACUUGACUCCAAAAAAUUCAACCAAUAGCUUUGAUACCACUGUUAGGAAAUUGGUAGGUGAAGCAGACACGCAGCUAAAAUAAAAUUGGAAGAAAAUAAAGAACAAGUACAAAGUGGACACCAAGAAAUUACGUGGUUCGGCUUUUAGCCUACGUUCACGGGCGAAGAUAGAAGGAAAAUAUUAUACUAGUGAUAUGAAGAUUACAAGUAUUGUAAUAUUUUGGCUCACUAUCCAAAACCCCAAUACACUCAAUCUCUCACUCAAUAAACUCUCAGGAGCUUUAUUAUUUUAAGCUCUUAAAAUCUCUCAAGCUUUCUCCUUAUUAUUCUCUCACAAAUUGUAUGCUAAAAUUAGGGUGGGAAGCCCUCUUUAUAUAUCCAAGAUUUUGGCUCUUUUUUUUUUAUAUAACAAGUCAACACGGCACCAUUAAGAAUGGCGAGCCAUGUUGAAUGGCAUGGCACCGCCCAUCUAGAUGGCCGGUGCCAACCAUGACUUUAACAUUCUAUCACUUGGAGAUUUGAUUGAGAAUCAAUCAAUCUCCACAUCAUCCUUUCUACUUCGCCAUAAUCAUGUUGCCUACGUUUUUACUAGGCCACAAGAGGAUCUACUCCAGUUAAACUUAUCAAUAUUGAUUGGCUUAGUCAAAACAUCUGCUAGGUUCUCCUUCGUAUGGAUUUUUGCAAAUUGACACUUCCAUCUUCCACUACUUCUCGAACGAAGUGAUACUGAACUCCUAUGUGCUUUGUCUUGGAAUGAAAGGCUGGAUUCCUUGCAAUGUGCAAGGCACUCUGACUGUCACAAAACACAGGAAUUUUCUGUUGUUUGUGCCCGAGCUCCUCCAAUAAUCUUUGUAUCCAAAUAGCUUCCUUGCAAGCUUGUAUAGCUGCCAUGUAUUCUGCUUCUGUUGUAGAUAAAGCCAGAACGGUCUGCAGUUUCCAAACCCAACUUACAACUCCUCAUGCAAAUGUAAACACAUAACUAGUAGUGGAUUUCCUUUUAUCAAGGUCUCCUGCAAAAUCUGAAUCCACAUAGCCCCUGACAGUAAACUCUGAUCCUCAAUAACAUAAUACAACAUCUGAGGUUCCUCUUAUGUAUCUCAGAAUCCUCUUCACAGCUAUCCAAUGCUGUCCACCAGGAUUCACCAUGUAUCGACUGAUUGCUCCCACUGCUUGUGCAAUGUCUGAUCUUGUACAUAUCAUAGCGAACAUCAAACUUCCCACUGCUGAUGCAUACGGUACUUGAGACAUCUCCUUCCUCUCUGCUUCAUUGCUAGGACACAUACUUGAGGAUAAUUUGAAAUUAACAGGAAGUGGGGUAGAAAUUGACUUACAAUCUUGCAUGUUGAAGCGCCACAAGAUUUUCUUCAAGUAGUUAUUCUCAGAAAGCCAAAUCUUUCUGUUAUUUCUGUCUCAGUGAAUUUGCAUCCCUAGAAUCUUGUUUGCUGGUCCCAAGUCCUUCAUUUCAAACUCCCUAGCCAACAGUGCCUUCACUUCUUGGAUUCGAUCUUUGUCGGGGCCUGCUACCAACAUGUCAUCCACAUAUAACAACAAAAUAAUGAAAUCAUUAUCUUCAAACCUUUUGUAAUAUGCACAAUGGUCUGAACUGAGUCUGUUAUAUCCAAGACUCAUGAUGAAGGAAUCAAAUCUCUUAUACCAACACCUCGGCGCCUGUUUGACACCGUAUAGAGAUUUGUUCAACCUACAAACCAAGUUUUCCUUUUCUGUUUCUGCAAAACCUUCUGGUUUGAGCAUAUAAAUUUUCUCUUCAAGUUCUCCAUGAAGAAAUACAGUUUUCACAUCUAACUGCUCUAGAUGUAGGUCAAAUAUAGCACACAUUGCCAAGACUACUCUGACUGUUGUGAGUCGAACCACCGGAGAAAAUAUCUCGUUGAAGUCAAUACCUUCUUUCUGAGCAUAUCCUUUCACCACCAAUCUUGCACGAUACCGCUCCACUUGAUCAUUGCCAUCACGUUUGAUCUUGUAGACCCAUUUGUUUCCAAUGACUUUUCUUCCAUGUGGUAGUGGUACAAGUUCCCAUGUCUUAUUUUUAUGUAGAGCUUCAAUUUCUUCCUGCAUUGCUGUCAUCCACAAAGCAACAUUUGAACUUUCUAAAGCUUCAUGGAAAGUUGAUGGCUCUCCAUCCUCUGUUAGAAGACAGUAUGCAACAUGGAUCUCUGUGACAUACUCCGAGUGCCACGCUGGCGAUCGUCUCUCACCAAUUGACCAAAGAACUUCUGGAGUCUCAGACUCGACUGGUUCUUGUUCCUCGUGCUCUGGUGCUGCUUUAGAAGAAUCUGAAUCUUCUAGAUUAUUUCCACAUAUACCGGCACAGUUUCUGACUUUUCUUUUACAGUGUCAUCAUCUCCAUCUUUCCUUUACAGUUGAUCUUCUACAAAAAUAACAUCUCUGUUGAUGACGAUCUUGUGGGCAGUGGGGUCCCACAAACGAUACCCCUUUACUCCAUUAGCAUAUCCCAAGAAGAUACAUCUUCUAGAUUUUGGAUCCAGCUUUGUUCUUUCUUACGGAUUGUACAUCACAUACACAGGACAUCCAAAUGCAUGUAAGUAGGAAUAAUCAGCUGGCUUUCCAGUCCACAUCUCCACGUUGUCUUCAGCCCAAUAGCUGUAGAUGACGACUGAUUUACUAUAUAACAAGCAGUUUUGGCUGCUUCUUCCCAAAAUGAAUUGGGUAGACCAGCAGUCCUCAACAUAGCUCUUAUUCUUUUGUAAGAGUUUUGUUCAUCUACUCCGCCACUCCAUUUUGUUGAGGAGUGUAUGCUACCGUGAACUGUCUAUGAAUACCUUCUUACUUACAGAAAGCAAGAAACUCACCGUCUGUAUACUCUCCACCAUUAUCUGUCCUCAAGCACUUGACCCUUUUACCAGAUUCAAGUUCCACCCGCGCUUUGUAUUCUUUAAAUACUGGAAAUAUAAUUGACUUUUUCAUAAUUGGAUACACCCAACAUCUCCUGGAAUAAUCAUCAAUGAAAGUCACCAUAUACUUUGCACCUCCCAUGGAUAUAUCCAGUGAUUCCCAAACAUCAGAAUGAAUCAAGUCUAAAAUGCAUUUACUUCUAGCAAUAGAUUUACUGAAUUUUAAUCUAUGCUGCUUACUUGUAACACAAUGCUCGCAAAAUGGUAAACUUACCGAUUUAAGCCCCGGAAGUAAUUUUCACUCAGAGAGAAUCUUCAAACAUUCUGACAUGUGACCAAAUUUGAGAUGCCACAUCAUCGUUGACUCUUCUCCAUUUGAUACGAGACACGCAUUAGCCUCCUAUAGUGUUUCUCCUUUAAGCAUGAAUAGAUUAGCACCGAUCUUUUCUGCCUUCAUCAAUACAAGCGCUCUUUUAACAAUUUUCGUAAUUUCAUUCUCCAUAUGAGUUUUAUACCCAUGACUAUCCAUUUGUCCCAAAGACAAUAGAUUUUUAUUCAGGUCAUUGACAUGUCGUACCUCCCCAAUUGUGCGAAUUGUACCAUCAAAAUUUUUAUUUUGAUAGUGUCAAUACCAGCGAUCUCCAAGGUAUGAUCAUUACCCAUAUAUAUAGAUCCUCCUGAGAUAUGUUCAUAUGUGUGGAACCAUUCUCUCCGAGAGGUCAUGUGCCAGGUAGCUCCUGAGUCUAUAAUCCAGACAUCAGAUAGUCGUUUUCUACCUUCUAAAACAGUUGUUGCCUCGCUUUAGAGAAUUUCACCAUUAUCUGAAGUACUUGCUACACACCCUUGAGCAUUUGAUGACUCAGGUUAUUUGCCCUCUCUUCUCUUCUGGUUACUCCAACACUUUUUCUUGACGUGCCCUUUCUUGCCACAGUUGUAGCAUUUAACAUUCUUCUUACUUCUGGAUUUUGAUCUACCAUGAUUAUGACUUCUACUGGGGUCACGUUCUGUUGAUCUCCCUCUCGUCACCAAUAGCGUCUCCGCUUGCUGCGAACUUGCUUGUCUGCUUUCAUUAUUUUUCCGCUUACUCUCCUCAUUUAAUACGGAGGUUGCAACAUCGUCGAAAACUAGACCGUCCGCUGGAUUGUUGUUUGUUAGGUUGAUGAUGAGUUGAUCAUACGAAUCUGGUAGACUUUGAAGUAGAAGCUCUGCAUGUACAUUAUCCUCUAUAUUAUGAUCCAACGUUGUGAGUUGCGAAAAUAGAGUCUUCAAGGUGUUGAUGUGGUCGGUCACCAUUGUAGAUUCCACCAUUCGAAGAGUAUAAAGUCUCUUCUUCAAGAAGAUUUUGUUGUGUAGUGACUUGGCCUCGUACAAUUUUGUAAGAGUAUCUCAUAUUUCCUUCGCUGUAUUUUUUUCUGCCAUACUGGAUAAUACUCCAUCCGCAAGUGCCAAGUGUAGAUAAAAAAUAGCGUUGCCAUCUAUCUCAUUCCAUUUGUCAUCAGUUAUCUCCAUGGGCUUUUCUCCAAUUGCUGCAAAACAAUUAUUUUUCCUCAAUACAGCUUUCAUCUUCAUUUUCCACAACAAAAAAUUAUUUCCGUUAAACUUUUCAAUUCCAUACUUUGCCGUCAUUUUGUUCAUAAAUACCGCACACAAGUUAGUGUACCACCUUGAAUAGUUGUCAGUAUGUGUGAGAAUGCACACUAGGAAAGUUCUCAGGAAAGACUGGAGGGGUCACACUGGUCCCACUUAAAACCCAAACUCCUUAAGCUCUUAUCGCCUUUGUGACAGAACUUUCCUAGACAUGUACAGAAUCACACAGUUGCUUUACUCACACCACUAUUCCCUGCUUUGCACCGCAAAAUUCUUGGAUCGCUUCCACCGUUUCUCGUGAACAGUAUCGUAUACGUGAACAAUGUCGUACAUGUGAAUAGUAUCAUACAUGUGAAUAGUAUCGUAUACGUGAACAGUACCGUAUACAUGAAUACUACCCUUUACGUUAAGAAAUUGGUGGGUGAAGCAGACACGCAGCUAAAAUAAAAUUGGAAGAAAAUAAAGAACAAGCACAAAGUGGACACCAAGAAAUUACGUGGUUCGACUUUUAACCUACGUCCACGGGCGAAGACGGAAGAAAAAUAUGAUACUAGUGAUAUGAAUAUUACAAGUAUUGUAAUAUUUUAAUUUACUACCCAGAACCCCAAUACACUCAAUCUCUCACUCACUAGACUCUCAGGAGCUUUAUUAUUUUAAGCUCUUAAAAUCUCUCAAGCUCUCCUUAUUAUUCUCUCACAAAUUGGAUGCUAAAAUGAGGUGGGAAGCCCUCUUUAUAUAGCCAAAAUUUUGGCUCCUUUUUUUUUUUUAUAACAAGUCAACACGGCACCACCAAGAAUGGUGGGCCGUGUUGAAUGGCAUGGCACCGCCCAUCUAGAUGGCCGGUGCCAACCAUGACUUUAACAUUAUAGUCCAAGUUUUCGAGGACCACUAUAUUGUAUUGAUUUAAAAAAAACUAAUAUUUUUAAUAUUAAUAUUCUAAAUUAUAUUCAGUUAAAAUAUUAAAUAUUAAAAACAUUCUUAAUAUUAAUAUUCUUAGAUGAAAUUAUUUUGCUGACUUAAGAAUAAAAUAUUAAAUAAUUUUAUUUUUCUUUUAUUGUGUAACGUGGACCAAAAAAAAGGAAAUGAAUUUAAUAAAACCUUCAUUCAAAACCUUCAUUCCGCCACCAUGCAUGCAUGUUAAUUGUUUCCAAAUUCCAACCUCCGUACUCUCUUGAGGAGUUUCCCAUUCAUCAAUUAUUAUUUUUUAUAAUCCAUACCAUCCUGAUAUAAUUAAACACCAUUAAUAAUGUACCAGCCUUUAAAUAGUAAUUAAUUUAUUUAGUUGGCCACCUAAAAGAAUCCUGCAGGAAAUAGAGGUUAAAAAUUUUAUUAAAUUUGCUUACCGCUGUAUCAUUAUAUAUAUAAAGAGUGAAAUCUAAAUGAAAUUUUUUAUCAUCCAUUCAGCAAACACUUAUAAUUCACAAAUAGUGAAUCUAUGCAUUGACAAUGUGGAUUAAGAAUUAUAACACAUGAAUUCAAACAUACCCUUGUGAAGUUAAGAAUAAGUUCAUACUUCAAAUGAUUUUUUAGCUAAUAAAGCAAUCAGUUUCAUUAAACGACAGCGUUGAAGGAAUUGUGCAAUUUUUUACGUUCUUUUCUAGACAGACGUUACAGAAAUGGGGUAAGUAGAGGGCUGGCCUCAGAUAUCUCACAAUUGUUAGUGAGAUAAAAUGUUAUUGUAAAAGGCGUUUAAUAGAAUAAUAUUAAUUCUUUUGCAUUGUUAUAAAAAUAUUUUUUUCUUUUGACAGUUCUGCAGGACAAGUGAUCAGAGCUCAAUGAAUAUAGCCGUGGAGGCACAGCAGAGCAGGAUUAUGAAAAAGAGAAGCUUAUUACAGGUCAUUCAAGUUUACUUGCUUUUAUAUAAUAAGUGUUUUGGCCGAUUUAUCUAAUUCACCAAAUGUUUUUUCCGGUACAUAUCUCCAUUGGUAUCAAGAAGAGGCAGAACCCAAAGAAACGUUUCUUGCAUCUUCAUAUUUGUGCGCAUUCAUCCUUUCAUUGAGAAUAACCAUUUCCAGGCAGCAGUUGCCAAUCAAUUCGCACGUCGAUGCUAUUCAUAGAUAUUAAAGACAAUGAUGAACCAAAGGUGAUAAAUCAUAAAUGCAUAAUUACCAAACCUCCAUCCUUCUCUCAUUAUGAUUUGAUUUUAAAUGAAUUAUUGCUUGGUAACAUUAUUUCCAACCAUUGCAAGACCUUUUUUUUUUUUUGGGAGAAAUUUCAAUUGAAAGUGAAACCUUUAGACAUUUACCUAAUGAAGUUAGUUAAUCGGGAGGGUGGAAAAAAAAAAGUUGACGCAAGUCAAUACACAAUAAUGAUUAAUUAAAUCCGGAGUGACUAAAACAGAGCCACUACUUUUUCAAAAAUAUCUGCAUUCAUCACUUUCUCCAGCAGCUAGUCAGCUACACACGAAUCAAUUUCUCUCCUCGUUUGUCAUCCAAAAUUAUUCACCAAUACCAUGGCUGAUGCAAUCGUUUCCACUAUCUUGGAGCAGCUGAUUUCCUUCGCUGCUGAAGAGAUAAAACAACAGGUGAUCGAAGUUACACCCCUCAUAUUACAAAUACUUCCAAUGAUUUUAAUUGGUUUUGUUUUUAUCAAAAACAUUAUAUAUUUUUGCUUUUUUUUAUUUAUCUGAUAAUUUUAUAUUUUGAAAUUUGAAUUGAAUUUAAUUAAAAGGUGAUGUAGUAACCACUCAUUUUUAUUUUAUUUCAUUUAUAUUCUCGAUAACUAACCAUAUUUUGGUAACUUAAUAUAACUCUCGUACAUAAGAAAUGAUCCAAACCCACAAUUUUAACUCUGUAUAAAUAUUCAACGUUGAGUCAUUAAUUCUCAACUCAGCACUGAAUCCCAUAGCUAUUACUUAGACUCUAUGAAAAAUUUCAUAGUUUUCUUACAUUCUUUGAGUUUGGUAAGUGAUUUCGUAUAAUUUCUUUUCAAGUUAAAUUUUAAUUUGGUUUAUGAUAUAGUCUCUGUGCCGAAUUGUAUCUUUUAUGAUUCUUGGAUUUUGGGCUCCAACUUUUUAGGAUUUGAUAGUCACAUUUUAUGCCAUGCUCAGAUUGAUUUUCAUGAUUUUAACUACCCGUUAAGUGGCUUACAAUUUGACAAAAGUUUGAAAGGAAAUAUGUUUCAGGAUUCUGUUUUAAUUGACCUUUAAGUAGAAAUAGGAUGCUUAUAACUUAAUGUGGAUGGUUUGUAAAAUCAUGAAAUUCGGAUAGGAUUCACUAGAAAUAUGUACAAGACUCUCCAUAAAGUUUCAUAAUUUUUCAUUCGGUAUGGGGUGGUACAGGUGAAACUUGUGGUUGGUGUUGAAAAAGAAGUGAAAAGCAAGUUGUGCUCGAUGAUGCAGAGGAAAAGCAAGUGAAGGACAAAGCUGUUAGUCUUUGGCUGGGUAGACUCAAGUACGCAUCCUACGACAUUGAAGAUGUGUUGGAUGAGUGGAUCACAGCAAGACGCAAAUUGCAAAUUGAGGGUGGCGUUGAUGAAAAUGCUCUUGUUGUUCCUCAUAAGAAAAAGAAGGUAUGUCUCUACUUUCCCGGCUCUUGUUUUGGAUUCAAACAAGAAGAAUUUGGUUUCAAACAAGUCUUUCUCCGUCAUGACAUUGCCGACAAGAUCAAAGAAAUCAAUGAAGAGCUACAUGAUAUUGCCGCUCAAAAAGACAUGUUUGAUCUUGUUAAGAGUGGCAAUAAAAGUAGUGAAAGACCAAGGCGUGUACAGAGUACCUCCUUGAUUGAUGAAGAAGAGAUUUGUGGCAGAGUUGGUGAGAGGAAUGAACUCUUAAGCAAGCUGUUGUGUGAGAGUAGCGAGCAACAAAAAGGCCUUCAUAUCAUCUCAAUCGUUGGUAUGGGAGGCAUAGGGAAAACAACUCUUGCACAACUAGCUUGUAAUCAUGACGAGGUGAAGAGAAAGUUCGACAAAAUUCUGUGGGUGUGUGUAUCAGAAACUUUUGAGGAGUUUAGGGUUGCCAAAGCGAUCGUUGAAGUUUUGGAUGGUCGUGAAUCUCAUUUAGCUGAAUUCCAUUCUCUUCUUAUAAGUAUUGAUAAAUCUAUUGCGGGAAAGAGAUUUCUUCUUGUCUUAGAUGACGUAUGGGACGGAGAUUACAUUAAGUGGGAACCGUUCUACCGUUCCCUAAAGAAUGGUCUCCAAGGAAGUAAAAUUUUGGUUACUACACGUAAGGAGUCAAUUGCGUUUAUGAUGGGAUCCAUUGAUAUUAUCUCUAUCAAGGGAUUGGCCGAAGAAGAAUGUUGGUCGUUGUUUAAGCGGUUAGCAUUUUUCGGUCGAUCCAUUGAGGAAUGUGGAAGAUUGGAACAAAUUGGACAAAGAAUUGCAGGAAAGUGUAAAGGCUUACCUCUUGCAGCAAAGGUAAUAGGGAGUCUCAUGCGUUCUAAAAAAACUGAAGAAGAGUGGCAAAGAAUCUUAAAUAGUGAGCUAUGGAAAAUAGAAGAGAUCGAGAAAGGUGUUCUAACUCCUUUGUGGUUGAGUUAUAACGAUUUGUCAUCUCGAGUAAAAAGAUGUUUUUUAUAUUGUGCUGUCUUUCCAAAAGACUACAAUAUAAAAAAAGACAAACUAAUUACAUUAUGGAUGGCUCAAGGUUAUCUUAAUGCAGAACAAAAUGAAGAGAUGAAGACAAUAGGUGAAGAGUAUUUUGGCAUCUUAGCUUCUCGCUCUUUCUUUCAGGAGUUUACGAAAAGUUAUGAUAAUCGUAUUAUAUGGUGCAAGAUGCAUGAUAUGGUGCAUGAUUUUGCCCGAUUUGUAAGUCAAAAUGAAUGUUUUUCGAUGGAAAUUAACGGCAGUGAGGAACCAAACGCCACAAACUCUCCUCAUGGGAAGCUUCGUCAUUUAAUGUUAAUCAUUGGUGAAGGGGCUUCAUUUCCUGUCUCCACUUGUAGAGUCAAAAGAAUGCGAAGCCUCUUAAUUGAUAGUAGCAGAUUUGAUUAUCAGUCGUUAAAUGGUGAGAUCCUAGAAGAAUUAUUGAGGGAAUUGACAAGUUUAAGGGCAUUCGAUUUUUGCAGAUCGGACCACACACGAUUGGGUUUCACUCUAGAGAUUCCAAGAAAUAUAAAAAAGCUGAUACAUUUAAGAUACCUUAAUUUGUCUGGUCAGAAAAUAGAGAAGCUACCGGAGGCAUUGUGCGAGCUAUAUAAUCUAGAGAAGUUAGAUAUUUGUGGUUGUUGGUGUCUUAAAGAAUUACCUGAAGGGAUUGGGAAGUUAAUAAACAUGAAGCAUUUACUAAAUAGAAAUACCGAUUCUGUAAGGUACAUGCCAGUAGGGAUUGCGAGAUUAAAGAGUCUUCAGACAUUGGAAGAGGUCAGUGUGAGUGGAAGAGGAUGUCUUGAUGGUAGGAAAGCAUGUAGGCUCGAAUCUCUUAAAAACUUGGAACACCUUCAAAUAUGCGGUAUACGUGGACUGGGUGAUGUAUCAGACGUGGGCGAGGCUAAGCGAUUAGAACUUGACAAAAAUAAAUACCUCUUCAGUUUGACCCUUUGGUUUGAUAAGAAGGAGGAAGAAGGAGAAAGGAGGAAGAACGAGGACGAUCAACUUCUUCUUGAAGCCCUGCAACCACCUCUGGAUUUAAAGAAAUUAACGAUAUGGUCAUACAGAGGCAACACUGUUUUCCCCAGCUGGAUGAUGUCAUUAACCAAUUUAAGGAGUUUAGGUCUCUGUUACUGCAAAAAUUGUGAGCAGCUGCCUCCUUUGGGAAAAUUGCCAUCCCUUGAAACGCUCCACAUAUUGGGCAUGAAUAGUGUGAAAAGAGCGGGUAAUGAAUUUUGGGGUAUAGAAAGUAAUCACCAUGACUCAUCUUCAUCUUCAUUUUCAUCAGUUAUUAUUGCCUACCCCAAAUUAAUAUCACUUUCAAUUCAUUGUCUGACGGAAUUGGAGGAGUGGGAUUAUGGGAUUACUAGAACGGGAAACACGUUCAUCAACAUCAUGCCACGUCUUUCUUCCUUGCGAAUUACUAUGUGCCCCAAACUAAAGGCACUGCCCGACCACAUUCAUCAAACGACAACACUGAAGGACUUGACCGUUGGGUGGAACUCUGAUCUUCUGCAAGAACGUUACAGCGAGGGUAUAGGAGAAGACUGGCCUAAGAUAUCUCACAUUCCCAACGUCAGGAUUUGGCAAGACGUAAUUUCUUCUCCUACUCUGAUUUGCUUUGUUGUUGUUUUUAAUCUAAUUAAGACGCAUAAAUAGCAUUUUGAUUUUGAGUUGACAAUUUUCUGGACCAGUGAUCAAGGGUGAGAAUGGCGCUAGGAUAUUGAAUAAGGCACUGAACUUAGGCUGAUGUCAAAAGAGGUAAAUUAUUGACAUGUGUAGCUAAUUUGACCGUUUCCUGAUUCAUAAGUCUACAUUAAUUUUGAUUUUGAGUUGAGUGAUUACAUUUUAAGGUUUGCUUACUUAACAGGGCCAGGACAUGAAAUGAGAAGCUUAUUAGUGGCAGUUGGCAGUGAAUGGAGGACCUUGACUAAAUUCUCAAGCGGUUGCACUGCAGUUACGCUCAUCCUAAGCCUCCUGUAAUUUCUUCUCCUGCAUUUUUGUAAUUUGCUAUCUAAUUAAGGAGCGUAAACUAUUUUGAAUCGACUUCUAUAUCAGGAAUAUAUGCAACAUUUUCUAAAAGUUUGAUAUGAGUGUAAUGAUGGUAAUUUCUCUUUUUUGUCUGUCAUCGAAAUGUAAGAUAACAUUCAUUAAGACUCUUGAGAGUCGUUUUUGGCAAUUGCAGGACAAGUGAUGAAGAGUGAGAAUGGUGCUAGAUUGGGGAUUAAAGCAAAAGGAGGUAAAUUAUUGGCAGAGAAUUGUGAGAGCUUGAGUGUACUGGGAUUUGCAAUUACAAUCAUCCUCUGCUUCAGGUGAUUUCUUCUCCUGCUCUGUCGUUGUUUGUAUCUCAAUCAAAUUCUAUAACUGGAAUAUGCAAAAGUUUCGAAUUUUUUAUUUCUAUCUGCUUGCAUUGAUAACAUCACGGCAUAUGCACUAGUUAAAGAACAAACAGAAACAGAGCUCCGGAAAAAGUUUCUUCUGCCAUCACAUUUGAAAAUUCAUGUAAAAUGUAGACAGUAAUCAGCAAAAAGGUGAUUCACAAUUUCAUUUUUUUUAUGAAAUUGAUUGUUAGGUUGGAGUUGCUAAAAGGCCAUUGGGCUAACCUAUGUCGUUACUUACCUAGAUCAAGACUCAAAACAAGCAUUGAAUUUUAAAAGGCAUGCAAUAAUUUUUGUGGCCAUAUGUCAAGUCAGGUAAGUUUGAAUAUAAUUAUUGUUGAAGGGGUUUUAUUUUCGGUGUCCAAAUAGAGAUACUGAUUCUUUAAGGUAAUGCCAGUAGGAAUUGCAAGAUUAACAAGUCUUCGGACAUUGCGAGAGUUCCAUUGAGUGGUGGAUGAGGUGUUGAUGGUAGCAAAGCAUGUGGUAUGCGUAGACUGGAAAACAUGUAAGAUGUGGGCGAGGCUAAGAGAUUAGAGAUUGACCAAAUGAAAUACCUCUUUAGUUUGAGGCUUAAAUUUGAUGGUGAAGAAGAAGGAAGGAGGAAGAAUGAGGAUGAUCAACAUCAGCUUGUUCUUGAAACCUUGCAACCACCUCUGACUUUGAAGGAAUUAGAGAUAUGGUCAUACAGAGGCAACACUGUUUCUGCAAGUAGUCCUCUCUUUUCUUUUUAUUAUAUUUUAUUUAGUUAUUAUUUAUUAUUUAUUUUUUGGUUUACUCUGCUUCUUCUUUUUACGUUUCUCAAAUUUUGAAUUUCAUUACUUUUGAACAUACGACAGUCUGUUAUGUGGCGACCCUGGUUUUUAAUUAAGGUUGUAAAAUAUUAUUGUAAAAGAUGAUUUAUUCAAUUUGAGUAAUUCGUUUGCUUUGAUAAUGAUAGCAAUUUUUUAUUUUGACAAUUUGCAAGGUGAGAAUGGUGCUGAUUGGUGAUUCAGGAUAUGGUUCAAACACCAUUGAAUAAAGCUAUGGACAUGGUGGCUCAACUUAGCUAGAUUGGUAUCAAAAUUGGUAAGUUGGCUUGUCAAUGUACCGAUGCUUUUGUUUUCUCUCAACCCUAAUUACCUUAACUUCAUUUAGUUUGGCUUUGGAGUUGAGUAAUAACUUAUUGUUCAAAUGUUAUUUCCUUAUUGUUCUAAUUCAUCAAAUGUUAUUUCCUUAUUGUUCCAUUGAUAUAUUUGUUGCAUAUCAAGCAGAAACAGAACCCAAAGAAAAUGAAACCAUUUCCAGGCAGCAGUUGGCAGUGAAUUCAUGCAAAUGUUGAUGCCAUUCAUAGAUGUUGAAGACAAUGUUGAGCCAAAGGCGAUAAAUCAUUAAUGCAUAAUUCCCAAAACCUCCAUCCUUCUCUCAUUGUAAUUUGAUUUGAAAUGAAUAAUUGCUAGGUAAUUGAAGCCAAUGUUGUUAAAGACCGUGUUGAGCUACCCAAGCUAAGAAGUUACUUGCCAAAAAAUGCAGGGGAUCAAAAGAAGCAUUGCAUUUGAAAAGGCAUGAGAUUCUGGUGGCUACAUGUCAACUCAUAUAUGUUUGAAUAAGUUUGAUCGUUCAAGAUUGUUAGCUUCUGUUUAAAUUUGUGCUACUGCGGUGCUACAAUGCUGCUACUGGGAAAUUUGAAUCCCAUAUUAGACUUUCCUCACAUCAGAAGCUGUGGAUCUUCGGACAUCAGGUUUUUUCACAGUUCUGAAACACUCAGGAUUAAACUCUAUUAAAGUGUUGUAGUUAUCUUGUUGUCAGAAUUCCCAUAUUAUUAUCUUUUUCAUGUAAAAUUAUCUUGUUGUCUUCGCCCAUGAAUCUAAGCUAAAAUUUGAACCAAUUGUUUGCCAUUAUAAAUUUCAUUGUUAAAUGUUAAUUAUGAUGUUGGCGUUGAGUUUCUUUUAAAGUCAUAGAAGCCUGACGAUUGAGUUCCAUGGGAUUCUGAGAAGCAGUAAUAUUUGAACAAGUGAAGGUUCUUCUCUUUUAAUUAUGUUCUGCACUUUUACAGUUUGGCUUUGGAGUUGAGUAAUAACCUUUCGAGGUCGCGGCUAUAAAAAGGCGAUGCUCAAUUUGCCACAGAUUACAUGUAUUGCCAUCAUUGACAAUUUUCUGGAUAAGUGAUGAAGGGUGAGAGUGGUGCUAGACUUCAGCCCUCCAGAAUAUUGAAUAAAGCUGUCAAAAGAGGUAAAUUAUUGGCAUGCCUGUUAGUGAAUUGGAUAAAGCUGGAGCAGAGCAUGAUGUUGCUGUAUAGCUGGAGCAGAGCAUGUUGUUGCUGUGUAGCUGGUUGUAGCAGAUCAACUCACUGAGCUGACCUGUCAAAGCUGGAGCAGAGCAGAGCAGAGCGGAUAAAGCUGGAGCAGAGCAGAGCGGAUAAAGCUGGAGCAGAGCAGAGCAUGAUGUUGCUGUAUAGCUGGAGCAGAGCAUGCUGUUGCUGUGUAGCUGGAGCAGAGCAUGCUGUUGCUGUGUAGCUGGUUGUAGCAGAUCAACUCACUGAGCUGACCUGUCAAAGUUAGUUAGCUGGUUGAGCUGAUGUGUAAAGUUAGUUAUGCAGCAAAUGGUUAUGUGAUGUAACAAACUCGUGUGUGUAGUGAAGAUUGUAGCUUAGUAUAAAUGUCAAUCAGUAUUCAUUAAGUUGAAAUAUCUGAGGAUAAUAAAAAGGUUCUUUAGAGUUCUCUUUCAUUUUCUUUUACUUUCUUGCUUGCCAAACAAUAUAGAACUAAGUUUCUUUCAUGGUAUCAGAGCCAUAAAUGGCAAAUACAGUUCAAAACAACAACUCUUUUAGUUUUGUUACGCCUGUAAAGCUAGAUCAAAACAACUAUAUUUUGUGGCGCACACAAAUUCUAGCUUCGAUCAAAGGAAAUGGUUUGGAAGGUUUUAUCAAUGGUGAUCGAGAAUGUCCUGAGCAGUUUCUUUCUUCUGGCAACAACAAUGGAGCUGAAAUCUUAACUGAAUCUGGAUCCAGAUCUGUUACUGAAUCUGGAUCCAGAUCUGUUACUGAAUCUGGAUCCAGAUCUGUUAAUCCAGAGUUCGUAGCUUGGAUGAAGGCUGAUCAACUUCUGCUGAGUUGGAUGAUGUCAUCGAUACAACAAAAUCUGCUUGCUACUAUGAUUGACUCAACAACCUCAAAACAGCUUUGGGAGACUCUUGCUAGUAUGUUUAUCUCUCAAUCACAGGCUAGAAUUCAAACACUUAGAAUGCAGAUUCAAACUAUUAAGAAAGGUGCAAUGCAUAUGUCUGAUUACUUUGUAAAAGUAAAACGUAUAGCUGAUACUUUAGCUCUAGCUGGAAAACCUGUUGAGUUAAAUGAUCUUGUGAUGCAUGUAUUAACUGGUCUUGAUUCAUCAGAUUAUGAAUCUUUAGUCACUGCUGUGUUAGCUCGAGGUGAAAAGAUAACAUUAGAUGAACUAUAUUCUUUGCUGUUAAAUCAUGAAAAUAGAGUUGAGCAAAAGAAAGGAAAAAUUGCUGGUGAUGUGAUGCAUAACAUGACAGCAAAUAUUGUUCAGAAGAACUCAUAUGCUAGAAAGAAUAAUGGAAAUUUUCAGAAACAGUAUGGAAAUAACUCUGGAGGUGGUAAUAAUUCUGGAUAUGGAUAUGGUCAGUUUAAUAAUAAUAGUAAUUUCUCUGAAGUUGUUUGCCAAAUUUGCUUCAUACCUGGUCAUGCAGCCUAUAAAUGCAGAAAUAGGUACAACUCAUCUUUUGUUCCACAUAGGAACCAUGGUAGAGGUAAUAUGAAUGGUGGCGGAGGUUUUAAUCAAGGGCAAUAUGGUCGAGGAAGAGCCUUUAAUGGUAAUAGUGGAAGAGGUUUUGGAGGUUUUGGUUCAAAUGCUGGUUUUGGACAAAAUGUUGGUUUUGGUAAUGCCCCCAGGGGUUUUGGCUAUCAAGGAAAUAUAGUAUAUCCAGAGAGCAACCCAUCUGCUUAUUUCUCAUUCAACCCUGGAUCAUCUAAUUUUGUUUCUGGUCUAGGACAUAAUAAUCUGGAACAGUCAAGUGCUUCCUCCUCCUCUGCUAUGUCUUCUUCACUUCCACCUGAACACAUUGAAGAUCCUUCCUGGUAUAUUGAUAGUGGAGCAACAAAUCAUAUUACCAACGAUCUAGGUAAGCUUCUGGAUUCAAAAGUUUACACUGGUACUGAAAGGUUAUUUGUUGGAGAUGGAAAUGCAUUAGCUAUUACACAUGUAGGGUCAGUUGUGCUAAAUACUUCAGCUUCUCAAUCCUUAUUUCUUAACCAUGUUCUUCAUGUCCCUUUUAUUACUAAGAAUUUGCUUAGCAUCUCAAAAUUGUUGGCUGACAAUCCAGUUACUGUUGAAUUUCUUGGUGAUUUGUGUUUUAUAAAGGCCAAGAACACAGGGAAAAUUUUACUUGAAGGUGUUGCUAAAGGUGGGCUUGUAUAGAGUCUCUUCUCAUGCUGCUGUUCAUUCAGUCUUUCUCAGUUCAGUUGGUCAAAACAAAAUUCAGUCUCUUUUUGCUUGUUCUCCUGUUUUUAAUUCUGCUCAGCUCUCUACUGUUAGCUCUUAUGAGUUGAAUAAAACGUCAUGUCUGUCAGUUGUUGCAAAGGGUUCUAUUGAUGUAAAUCUUCUUCAUAGAAGAUUAGGACACCCAGCAUCUUAUACUCUCAAAACCAUUCUCAAAGCUUGUAACAACUCUACUGCUUUUAAUAAAGUUGACAGUUUGAAAUUUUGUUCAGCAUGCCAAUAUGGUAAAAAUCACAUGCUGCAUUUUGAUUCAGUAGAAACAAAAACUUCAGCACCUUUACAACUGAUAUAUGCAGAUCUUUGGGACCCUUCUCAUGUUUGUUCUACCCAAGGAUAUAAUUACUACUUGUCAAUCCUAGAUGAUUACAGUAGGUUUACCUGGAUUUUUCCCUUAUCAGCAAAAUCUGAUGCUCUUGAAGUUUUUACCAAUUUCAAAAUAUUCAUUGAGAAGCAUCUUCAACUUUCCAUCAAAACUGUACAAACUGACUGGGGAGGGGAGUUCAGAACAUUUUCAUCGUUACUCACUACUUCUGGCAUCCAUUUUCGACAUCCUUGCCCCCACAUUCAUCAUCAAAAUGGAAAAAUUGAGAGGAAACAUAGACACAUAGUUGAUGUAGGACUGACUUUAUUAGCUCAAGCACAUUUACCACUCAAAUUUUGGUGGAAUACAUUCCAUACAGCUGUCUACUUGAUAAACAGACUUCCAACUCCAGUUCUAAACAGCAUUUCUCCUUUUCAAAAGUUGUUUAAUUCCCAACCAGAUUAUUCAACACUUAAAAUUUUCGGCUGUGCUUGUUAUCCAACACUCAGACCAUACAAUAGACAUAAGUUUGAUUUCAGAACAGCUAGAUGUAUAUUCAUUGGCUACAGUUCACGACACAAGGGAUAUCAGUGUCUUCACUCUUCUGGGAGGGUCUAUAUUUCAAAUCAUGUAACCUUUGAUGAAAGUUCUUUUCCUUAUGAGUCAGGAACAGAUUUUUCUUCAGUUUCUUCAAACUGUCAGUCAUCAACUCAUUCUGAGUCUUCUUUUAAUUCUUCUACUCCUUUUGUUACUCAGUUACAAGCACCUUUAGCAGCAUCAUCAGAAUAUCAUCUUAAUGAUUCUCAGUCACAUGCUUCUAUUUCCUUCCCAAAUUCUACUCCAGUUUACUUUUCUGAUAAUUUCAAUUCCACUUCUUCUUCUCCUUCUUCACCAUCCCAUCAUUCACCUCCACAUACCUUGUCACAACCUGCAUCAUCUGGUCAUCCAAUGAUAACCAGGUCAAAAGCAGGUAUCUUCAAGCCCAAGAUCUACUUGUCAGCUUUACUAGCUCAGAAAUCAGAACCAACCUCUGUUUCCAAAGCACUUUCUGAUCCUAUGUGGUAUAAAGCUAUGCAAGAAGAGUAUCUAGCUCUUAAAACCAAUCACACCUGGGAUUUAGUCUUACCUGCUACUCCAGUGAAGAUAGUUGGCAACAAGUGGGUAUUUCGAGUAAAGUAUAACUCAGAUGGUUCAGUUUCAAGGUAUAAAGCCAGGCUUGUGGCUAAAGGGUUUCAUCAGACACAUGGGAUUGACUACACAGAAACCUUCAGUCCAGUGGUUAAGUCCUCCACUGUUAGAGUUAUUCUUAGCUUAGCAGUAUUGAGUCACUGGGUUGUAAGGCAGGUGGAUGUUAACAAUGCCUUUCUAAAUGGCAUUUUAAUUGAAGAUGUGUACAUGGCUCAACCUCAAGGUUUUGUUGAUUCAACUAAACCUAAUCAUAUCUGCAAGCUAAAUAAGGCUUUGUAUGGCUUAAAACAGGCUCCUAGAGCCUGGUUUGAUAGGUUUAAGGAUGCAAUGAUCUCCAAGUGGCAUUUUUAGCAUUCCAGGUCUGAUAACUCUCUCUUUUAUGCCUGGAACAGUGGUCAUCUAACUGUUGUUUUGGUCUAUGUUGAUGAUAUUAUCAUCACUGGUUCCAGUCCAUCCAUAAUUCAACAAGUUAUCCAGAAUAUGCAUCAAGCUUUUGCUUUAAAAGACCUGGGGGAACUUCACUAUUUUCUGGGGAUUGAAGUCAGCAAAUCUUCACAAGGGGUUUCCUUGACACAAGCAAAGUACAUUGCUGAUAUUCUGGAUAAACAUGGCAUGACAGACUGCAGUCCUGUGCCAACUCCAAUGUCUACAGGCUUUUAUCUCACCAAAGACUCAGGAGAGCCACUUGAUAAUGUUUCUCAAUAUCGAAGUGUUAUAGGAGCUCUUCAAUAUGUUACUCUUACCAGACCUGACAUUGCCUUCUCUGUAAACAAGUUAAGUCAGUUCCUUUCCAGUCCUAGAACUCAACAUUGGGAAGCAUGUAAAAGGUUAUUGAGGUACUUAAAAGGCAUUAUCCAUCUGGGGCUGCAUUUCUACAAUCAAGGAGCUCUGCAAUUACAUUGUUUUUCAGAUUCUGAUUGGGCUUGUGAUCAUGAUGAUAGGAAGUCAGUGGCUGGCUUUGCUGUUUAUCUAGGUCCUAAUCUUGUUUCCUGGUCGUCAAAGAAACAAGCUGUUGUUUCCAGAUCCAGCACAGAAGCUGAGUAUAGAUCUCUUGCUCAUGCUGCUUCAGAAGUUACCUGGAUUAAAUCCUUACUUGGUGAACUUAGUAUCACAUUAAGCUCCACUCCUAUGAUGUGGUGUGAUAAUCAAGGAGCAAUUGCUUUAGCUUAUAAUCCAGUUUAUCAUGCUAAGACUAAGCAUGUUGAAUUGGAUAUACAUUUUAUCCGAGAUAAGGUCACUGCUAAAGAGGUUGCAGUAUGCUAUGUGCCUAGUCCAGAUCAAACAGCAGAUGUGUUGACUAAGGCUCUUACUUUCAAACAAUUCAGUUACUUCAGAAGCAAGCUGAAUGUUCAUCCUAAACAUUUCAGCUUGAGGGGGGAUGUUAGUGAAUUGGAUAAAGCUGGAGCAGAGCAUGAUGUUGCUGUAUAGCUGGAGCAGAGCAUGUUGUUGCUGUGUAGCUGGUUGUAGCCAAAGCUGGAGCAGAGCAGAGCAGAGCGGAUAAAGCUGGAGCAGAGCAGAGCGGAUAAAGCUGGAGCAGAGCAGAGCAUGAUGUUGCUGUAUAGCUGGAGCAGAGCAUGCUGUUGCUGUGUAGCUGGUUGUAGCAGAUCAACUCACUGAGCUGACCUGUCAAAGUUAGUUAGCUGGUUGAGCUGAUGUGUAAAGUUAGUUAUGCAGCAAAUGGUUAUGUGAUGUAACAAACUCGUGUGUGUAGUGAAGAUUGUAGCUUAGUAUAAAUGUCAAUCAGUAUUCAUUAAGUUGAAAUAUCUGAGGAUAAUAAAAAGGUUCUUUAGAGUUCUCUUUCAUUUUCUUUUACUUUCUUGCUUGCCAAACAAUAUAGAACUAAGUUUCUUUCAAUGCCUAGCUAAUUUGACCACUACCUGAUUCAUAAGCCUACAUCAAUUUUGAUUUUGAGUUAAGUGAUUAAUUUUCAAGGUUUGCUUACUUAACCGGCGACUAAUUUCUUGUAACUAAAUGUAUCAUAUGAUGCAGGAAGCAGGGCAAGAUAUGAAAUGAGAAGCUUAUUAGUGGAAGGAUUGCCAGAAACAGAACCCAAAGAAAAUGAAAACAUUUCAAGGCAGCAGUUGGCAGCUGGCAAUGAAUGGAGGCCCUUGAAAAAAUUCCCAAGCCGUUGCACUGCAAUUACGAUCAUCCUCGGCCUCAGGUAAUUUCUUCUCCUGCAUUUUUGUUAUUUGCUAUCAAGUGACAUUCGUAAGUAUGAUUGCAUUAAGCUGCUGCUGGGAAAUUUGAGGUUUUGAUGGCUGCCCAUGCUAUUGUCAGAAGCUGCAGUUCUUUUCAUCAGCCUGAACCUGGACCUGUCGCCAUGGAUAACUCAGGUUUUUUUUUUUUUUAAUCAACUACGGCAUCUUUUCCACUGUUUUGAAACUCUUAAGAUUAAACUUUAGUAAUGUUGUUUUAGUUAUCCAUGUAAUCAGGCUGAGGAUACUUAGCAGCCUAUUUAGGCAAAUGUCAGAAUUUAGUUUGUUCGCUGGGAAUUGGUGUGGACUGGCAAAGGAUGAUGAGAUAGUUUUUUGAGUGAGUAAAUUUUGGGAGCUUGAGUGUAUUGGGAUUUGCAAUUACAAUCAUCGUCUGCCUCAGGUGAUUUCUUCUCCUGCUCUGUCAUUGUUUGUUCUCUAAUUCAAAAGCAUAAAAUAUUUCAAUCAAAUUGUAUGCCAGGAAUAUGCAAAAGUUUCUAAUAUUUUAUUUCCAUCUGUUUGCCUUGAUAACUUUGCUGCAUAUGUACUAGUUAAAGAACAAAUCGAAACAGAGCUCAGUUAAAAGUUUCUUCUGCCGUCAUAUUUGAAAAAUGAAACCAUUUCCAGGAAGCAAUGGGCAGCAAAUUCAUAUAAAGCAUAGACAAUGAUGAGCAAAAAGGUGAUUCACAAUUUCACUUUUUUUAAUGAAAUUAAUUGUUUGGUUGGAGCGGAUAUUGUUAGAAGGCCAUUGAGCUAACCUAUGUCACUACUUGCCUAGAUUACAGGGGGUCAAAUAAGGCAUCCAAUAAUUCUUGUGGCCAUAUAUCAAUUCAUGUAAGUUCGAAUGUAAUUAUUGGUGAAGGGGUUUCACUUCCCGUCUCUAAAUAAAAAUACUGAUUCUUUAAGGUACAUGCCACUAGGGAUUGCGAGAUUAACGAGUCUUUGGACAUUGGAAGAGCUCCUUGUAGUGGAGGAGGAGGUGUUGAUGGUAGCAAAGCAUGUGGGCAGUGGGCUUGAAUCUCUUAAAAACUUGGAACUCCUCCAAGCGUAAGUAUACGUAUACUGGGAAAUGUGUUAGAUGUGGAUGAGGCUAAGAGAUUAGAGCUUGACAAAAUGAAAUAACUCUUUCAUUGAGACUUAAAUUUGAUGGGGAAGAAGAAAAAGAAGAGGGAAGGAGGAAGAAUGAGGAUAAUCAACUUGUUCUUGAAGCCUUGCAACCACCUCUGAAUUUGAAGGAAUUAGAGAUUUGGUCAUACGGAGGCAACAUUGUUUCCCCCCGGAUGAUGCAAAAAUUGAAGGAAUUUACCAAUCUAAGGAGUUUGACACUCUUUAAAACUGCAAAAAUUGAGAAAAGUUGCCUCCUUUGGGAAAAUUGUGAUCCUUUGAAAAUCUCAGCAUAUUGUACAUGGAGAGUGUGAAAACAGUGGGUAAUGAAUUUCUGGGAAUAGAAAGUGAUCUUCAUGACUCAUCUUCAUCUUCAUCAGUGAUUAUUGCCUUCCCCAAAUUGAAAUCACUUUCAGUUGAGGGAUUGAUGGAAUUGGAGGAGUGGGAUUAUGGGAUUAAAAGAACAGGAAACACCUCCACCAACAUUAUGCCACGUCUUUCUUCCUUGGAAAUUAGUGUGGGGUUAUGGGAUCGCACAACGACGUUGAAGGUAUUGCAGAUUGUGGCAUGUGGUACUCUAAGAAGACGUUACAGACAGGGGAGAGCAGAAGACUGGCCUAAGAUCUCUCACAUUCCAGACAUCAUGAUUGUGUGAAAAGAUGCCCGUGACAAAAUUCUCUAGGCGGCUACAUGGAGUACAAUCAUAAAAUGCUAAUGUGGCCACCCUGGUUCUUAAUUAAGGUUGUGAAAUAUUAUUGUAAAAGAUGAUUAAUUCAAUUUGAGUUAUUCGUUUGCUUUGAUAAUGAUAGUAAUUUUAUAUUUUGACAAUUUGCAGGGUGAGAAUGGUGCUGAUUGGUGAUACAGGAUAUGGUUCAAACACCAUUGAAUAAAGCUACGGACAUGGUGGCUCAACUUAGCUAGAUUGCUGUCAAAAUUGGUAAGUUGGCUUGUCAAUGUAUUGAUGCUUUUGUUUUCUCUCAACCCUAAUUACCUUAACUUCAUUUAGUUUGGCUUUGGAGUUGAGUAAAUUCUGGCCUCUUCCGAAAAAAAAAGCUUAAUUUGCUACUGAUCACGUGUUACCAAUUAUUUAAGGUAAUUCUCGCUUACUUGCUUCUGCACUAUAGAGUACGUGUUCUGGCUGGUUUAUCUAAUUCAUCAAAUGUUAUUUCCUUAUUGUUCCAUUGAUAUAUUUGUUAGAAAGUGAAACCAUUUCCAGGCAGCAGUUGGCAGUGAAUUCAUGCAAAUGUUGGUGCCAUUCAUAGAUAUUGAAGACAAUGAUGAGCCAAAGGUGAUAAAUCAUUAAUGCAUAGUUACCAAAACCUCCAUCCUUCUCUCAUUGUAAUUUGAUUUUAAAUGAAUAAUUGCUAGGUAAUUGAAGCCAAUAUUGUUAGAAACGGUGUUGAGCUACCCAAGCUAAGAAGUUAGCUGCCAAAAAAUGCAGGGGAUUAAAAGAAGCAUUGCAUUUGAAAAGGAAUGAGAUUCUGGUUGCUACAUGUCAAUUCGUAGAAGUUUCAAUAAAUUUAAUGGUUCAAGAUUGUUAGUUUCUGUUUAAAUUUGUGCUACUGCAGUGCUACAACGCUGCUACUGGGAAAUUUGAAUCCCAUAUUAGACUUUCCUCACAUCAGAAGCUGUGGAUCUUGAGACAUCAGGUUUUUUCACAGUUCUGAAACUCUCAGGAUUAAACUCUAUUAAAGUUGUUGUAGUUGUCUACGUUCUCAGGUCAAGGAUUCUAAGCUGCCGAUUAAGCAUUGCGCAUUUUCAUUUGUCCGAUUCAAGAGGAACGUCACAGAAAGGGGUAAAGAAAAGAGUAGCCUAAGAUAUUAAAGACAAUGUUGAGCCAAAGGAAACAUAAAUCCCAACCAUUGCAUGUGAACAUGAUCACAAUAAGGUCAAGAACCUACCAAACCAUUUUUUUGAGAAUUUUCAAUUGAAAGUGAAACCUUUUGAUAUUUACCUAAUAAAGUUAGUUAAACGAGAGAAAUAAAGGGGGAAAGAAAAGUUGACUCUAAGUCAAUACAGAAUAAUUAGUUCAAUACAGAAUAAUUGCUGUAAAAUAUUAAAUAGUUUUAUUUUUCUUUUAUCGUUUAACUUGGACCAAAAAAGGAAAUGAGUUUAACACGACCCUCAUUCUGCUUCUUGCUUUGGUUUCAAACAAGUCUUUCUCCUUUAUGACAUUUAUUGUAAUUUCAUUUGGAGACAUAUGUCUGUCGUUCAAAUAUAUUUCAUACGCAAGCUGUUAAUAAUUCUGCUUGCAGAAAGCCUACAAAGCAGCUGUGUGAUGUAAUAGAAGACCAUAGAUAGUCUCGUCAAUUUUUCAACAUUAGAUAUUCAGGUCAUCAGCUUCUCAUGAAUUCUUUCCUGAGUUUCUUUGAAUUAUUUGUGAUGUAAUAACUUGUGCAUUUGAGAAACUGUUCUCUUGAAUUCUUUCUUGAGUUUCUUUGAAUUAUUUGUGAAUAAGUUGUUAAUCGGCUGCUUCUCUUCAGGAUAAGGAAAGUGUUGCAAACUGGUGAAGCAGCUGAUAGAUAAAAGCAAUGGGUACAUCUUUGCUGGCAUGGAUCGAUGCCAGUGCGGCUGAAUUCAGCAAGACUGCCGUUCGUGAUGUUGUUGAUUGGGAUUACAUUAAGGAUGAUGACAACAUUGAUUAAAAUGGGACGUGAAGAUAUAUGGUGUGCAAAUUAACCCAACCCAACCAAACCCGUACAUUUUAUCAACCCAACCCAACCUGUAAAAAAUCACACGGGUUAGGUUAGUUUCACGGAUUGGGAGGUUGGUGCCCACCCCUAAAUAUAACCUCCAUUUCAGCACAAUGCAUGUUAAUUGUUCCCCAAGGACUUCUCCUGAUUCCCAUUCCCAACCUCCAUGCUCUUGAGAGGAAUUUAGCACCCAUCAAUUUUUAUUUUUGAAAACUCGUAAUGGUCUGAUAAAAUUAAACAACAUCAAUAAUGUUACCAGUCUUUAAAUAGUAAUUAAUUUAUUUAAUUUGCCACCUAAAAGAAUCCUGCUGGAAAUAGAGGUUAAAAAUUUUAUUAGAUCUGCUUACCUUUGUUCAUUCAGCAAAAACACUUACAAUUCACAGCUAGAGAAUCUAUCCAUUGACAAUUGUGGAUUAAAAUUAUAACACCUGAAUUCCAACAUAUCCUUAUGAAGUUAUGAAUUUGUUCAUACUUCAAAUGAUUUUUUUUUCCCAAGCUAAUAAAGCUACCACUUUGAUCAAACGACGACGUUGAAGGAAUUGCGUAUUUUCAAUGUCCUUUUCCAGACAGACGUUCGAGAGAGAGAAAGGAGAAGACUGGCCUAAUUAAGAUAUCUCACAAAGAUUAUUAUUGAGUUAAAAUGUUAUUGUAAAAGAUGUAUAAUACAAUAAUAGUAAUUCUUUUGCAUUGUUAUAAUGAGGCUGGUGGGUUUCCUCAGAGGAUGGAUCUUGCUCGCUAGUAUGCAUUUGGGAAGCUGCUAAUUAUUGGCCAUAAAAAGUCAGGGGGUUGUGGCUCUUCCGUCGCCCAGAAAUUCCUCAACUCAUAUCUCAAACUUCAGAUGAACUUGGGCAUUAUGUAAAUAUGUAUUUUGAGAAUUAAACUAGUGCCUUAGAAAAAAUUUGAGCCAUUGUAAUCAUUUUAUUUUGCUAAGGGAAAAUUUUACUUUGUGUUUCGCUUUGACUUUUUUUUUUUUGCCUUGUGAUAAUAAGAUUCAUACGAAAGUGAUUACACGCCUAUCAUGCAUCUAUUUUCAUUUGCUUGUCAUGAGAGAUCAACAUGCUCGAAAUAAUUACUUAGGUUGGAAAUAUUUGAAUCCACUAAAAUACUAUACAAACCCAUUUUAAAAUUAAAAAAAUGAUUAUCAUAAUACUUGUGAAGAUAACACGAUAUCAUACAUAAAAUAAAAUAUUUCGCAAAAAAGAUACGAUACAAAUCUUGAGUAAACAGGUACAAAAAAUAUUUUUUUUUGGUUAAACCACGAGGUACAAAAAAUAUUUUAGUGGGUUAAGUAGCACUAAUGCCCCCUUAUCAAAAAAUAUAGAAAAAUAACUAGUUUGAUUGGGUAUACCGUUUAUAUAUAUGUACAUAUUCUUGAUAAUGUGUAAUGUAUAUUAUAGACAAAGAUUUUGAAAGCAAUAUUUUUUGGUAUUAUUAUAUAAUAUUUUUUAAAAAGUUGAGAGAAUAGGCAAAGUCCAAAUCAACUUUCUAAUCCCUACCUCCUUUAUGAUUUAAACUUUAGCGUUUAGUGUCGCGAGCCACUCAAAUUUUCUAAUCAAAGAGACUAAAUUGCACGAAAUUGUGCUAGCUUAUUUGAUUCUAGAAAUUUCCAGUACACUGUAACACACUCUCAGGCUUGUACAUACCUCGAAAUUCUCUAGAAUUAAUUUACUAGAGUAGUGUUGCAUGUAGCUUGUACAUAGGUUUUUCUGGAACACUUCAGGUAUUACUAAGCAUGAGAGCUUUGAGAACUCUCUAGCCAUAAAACAUUCUAGGGUAUGUCUACCCUAAAAAUUGGGCAUGAUGCUUGCCACUUGAGCAUACAACAAGUAAGAACAAAUCAAGCAUACUUGUAAGCUCUCAAACUCUCUUAUACACACUUUUAUGAAUAAUAUACUUUCUCUUUGGCUAUAUUGCUCUCUCUUCUCUCUAGUUUUUUCGCAAGCAUCAUACCUUAGUUAGUCGAAAAGUUCAAGGCUUACUUUAUAGCUAUCUCACAAAAGUUGUUUAAGUACCACAUGGAUUUGCUGUGUAAAAUACUCAUCACAUGACAUUAGCUAAAUAGAUUUGUUUGAAAGCCACUUACCCAAACUAUUAAACGAAUAUUAACUUUUGUCUUAAUUUUCUAUCACCUAUGAUAAAAUUUAUAAUUAAAAAUUGAAAAAAUUAAUAACUAUUAGAUAGAGCAUUCUUUACUGUUAAAAGAAAUCUAUAUAGAUAGAUAGAUGGUAAUAUAAAAACUUACUUAUUGUAGUAUAAUGUUUUUAGUUUUUUGAAACAUAGAUUCUUACUUUUUUAAGAUAAAAUUCAAAGAAAACAAGUUAAAUGUUGUGGAAAAUCUUCCAGCCAUACAAGAAAUUGUGAUAGCUAAAUGCAAACCUAACUAAAGUAUUAGUUGUUUUAUUACAAUCUCCAAAAAGAUGAGCAAUUCCAAAAUAUUUUUUUGUAACAAUAAACACUAUAGGUCAGCAAUUAUCCAAGUCAAAAGCAAGCUACUCUAUUAAAAAAAAAAAAAACUUGUAGUGAAUCUGAAGAUAAACCAAUUUUACUAGCAAGUUGGAUACCAAAGAGUAGGGCUUCAGCCUCAAUUACUCAAUGUACCAACAACACAGUCUCGGUGAGUUAAAAUCAACUUCUACCACUCUUUUACUUGCUGAUAGAUCGAUUAAGGUACCAAAAGGAAUAAUCGAAGAUGUAUUAGUUCGAGUUGAUAAAUUCAUAUAUCCUGUGGAUUUUAUUGUUUUGGAAACUGAACCAAUUGCUAAUGAAUGCAAACAAAUUCCUGUUACAUUGGGUCGUCCAUUUUUAGCUACUGCUAAUGCAUUGAUUAAUUGCUGGAAUGGAGUAAUGAGUUUAUCUUUCGGCAACAUGACAUUGGAACUCAAUGUGUUCAACAUAUGUAAACAACCUCACCACCAGGAAGAUGAUGAUAAUGAGAAUGAGGAGAUUGAUUUCAUCGAGCCAAUCAUUGAUGAACACAUUCAGAAUAAGAAUUUUACAAACUCAGUGGAAAUUUAUUCUGCUCGUUCUUUUGAAUCGAGUAAGAAAUUAGAUUACGAUACUGAUAACAUAUACCCUACACUUGAUUCUAUGCAGGUACUUGCUGACGGUGACCAAUCAAACUUUAAAAAUACAGAACAAUCUAAAGAACCAAACGAAGAGGAAGUACCAGAGCUCGAAUUAAAGCCCUUACCGGAAGAAUUGAAGUAUGCCUAUCUUGGAGAAUAACAAACUUAUCCGGUGGUAAUUUCUUCCCAACUCACGCAUGAUCAAGAAGGUAAGUUGUUGUCUGUACUAAAAAGGCAUAAAACUGCAUUUGGUUGGACCUUAAAAGACAUAAAAAGUAUUAAUCCUUUAAUCUGCACACACCGAAUACACUUAAAGGAAAAUACCAGAACAACCCGUUAACAUCGACAUUAUCAGUGUAAACAUUAAAUACCAAAAUCAACCCCAAAAACUAUAACUAAACUAUCAUGACUAAAAUAAAGUUUUUUUUUUUUAGAUAUUCGUUGUAGUAUCUCUUUAGAUGACAAACAAGAGAUAAAAUACAUAAAUAUUUGCUGUGUAAAUAAAAAUAAAUAAUUUUUUUGAACUGAAAAAUAUUCUCAAAAACUAAAUAGUUCAAACUUUUUUUAACAUUAUCGGUUCUGGACCUGAACCGAACCGUGAACCGUAAACUGCCCACCCUUACGUAGUUGUUUCCGUUAACCGAUGUUGUAUUGCUGGUAUAAAAUUGUUCAAAUGUUCAAAUCACAGUCUCCCGCUCUCAGCUCAGUCAGAGUUUCAGGUCCAGAGACUUCCCGCUGACUGAGAGCUUUUUUGUAGCAGUUCUACAAAUAAUGGAGUAGAGCUGAUUUUAUGAUUAAUUUAUUUCCUUUUUCAAUUUCUUAUGAUUGCGAUUUAAUCUGGAAAGUUAAACGUGAAUUGUUUAGUGCGGAUUAAAUGUUCGACGAAUUUCCCGCAAGAGUAUUAAGUUAAAGAGAAAAAAGAAAACAAUUGAGCGUGAGCGUGAGCGUGAGCGAGAAUGGUGUUUGGGCAAGUGGUGAUUGGUCCGCCCGGCUCGGGAAAGACCACUUACUGCAAUGGCAUAACUCAGUUUCUCAGCCUUGUUGGCAGGUAACUUCGUUUCUUGAUUUCAAGCAGCUUUAUCUUUGAUGACCAAAAAAAUUGAUUUGGGCUUUGCCCAUUAAAUGAAUGUAAGAGCGGUAGGGAAUAACUGAGUUAUAGGAUUAGCUUUAAGUGAACAUUGAUGGUAACAUGCGCGUGAAGGUUGUAUGUGUUCAGUGGCAAGCUGUAUGCCAAUUUGGUCUAUAUGGUUGCUUAGGUAGUAACUUAUUAAUUUUUACGCAGGAAGGUUGCAGUCAUCAAUUUAGAUCCUGCUAAUGAUAGUUUGCCGCAUACUUUGUCAUUGAACUUUCUUACAAAUGCUGUGGUUUGUUGUAGUAUAAUUAGUUCAAUUGGAAACUUCCUUGAUGUUAAUAUAGAAAUGAGUGUGCUGUGAAUAUUGAGGACCUCAUUAGACUAAGUGAUGUGAUGAUGGAGUAUUCACUUGGUCCCAAUGGAGGUUAGUCAGCCUAUUGUUGUUUACUCUUUCUUGCUUUAUCACGCAAUGAUAUUCCUUUGCUUUACAACAAAUUUCGUGAAAUUAACUUCAAUCAAGUGGCAAUGUUCAUAUGCUGUUGAGAUUUUAUGGACAAUGAUUGGUAGACUUUAUAUGCCGUCUUCUUUCUUUUUGCAGUGAUAUGCUUGUAUUCAAUGAGCAUGUACUUAUUCUAUGGUUUCUAAAGUAGGUGUUUUUAUGAUAAACUAGGUCUUGUGUAUUGUAUGGACUAUCUAGAGAAGAAUAUUGACUGGCUGCAGUCGAAAUUAGAACCACUUUUGAAAGGUAAGAAGAGGCCAUUUUCCUUCAUUCUAAUGCCAAUAAUGCUGUCAUGAGACUCAUAAAAAUGUUAAAACGUUAAUGUUUUUGGUAUUUUGCAGAUCAUUAUCUUCUGUUUGAUUUUCCUGGCCAAGUUGAAUUAUUUUUUCUUCAUUCCAAUGCCAAGACUGUUAUAAUGAGACUCAUAAAGAAGUUAAAUCUCAGGGUAUUGUUACAUCUUACAUCUAUGAAGGGACUCAAAGAGUUGAGAUGAAUUCAUCUUUGUUAUUUUGAUGCCAGAAUUGUGCAAUUCUCAGUUGGUUCCUUGCACAUGCAGUUGACUGCAGUGCAUCUAGUUGAUGUGCAUCUUUGCAGUGACCCCGGGAAGUAUGUUAGUGCUUUGCUUCUCUCAUUGUCUACGAUGCUACAUCUGGAACUUCCCCAUGUCAAUGUCUUGUCUAAUCGAUCUGAUUGAGAAUCAUGGAAAGCUAGGUGUGGUUUUAAGUGUAUCUCUCCUACUUGUUUGUUUAGUUUGAAAUAUCAGAUAUUGUCACAAGCUCCUAUUUGCUACAUUUCCUCACCAAUCAAUUACUUUGGGUAUGUUGCAGCUUUUAAUCUCGAGUACUAUACAGAUGUGCAAGAUUUGUCAUAUUUACAGCAUGCUCUCGGUCAGGACCCUCAUUCUGCUAAGUACAGGUUUGAAUUCUAGCUGAAUCAAUGAUGCAAAUUAUGUUCAUUGCUAUUUCUGCUGUUGUUUCUAUCAUUUUCAAUUGUUACCUCCCCUUGCCAUCUACUGCCACACUGCAAUGCCUACACAAAUGUUAUGAAAUUUGUCAAUGGCAAUGCCAUCCUGUUUGUCCAGAGACAGCUCUUAGAUGCAAGUGAACAAUUUUUGGCUUUGGCCGUAGUACAGCCUUAGAUUUCAACUUGCCAUAUCUUGUCUCGGAAGUCAAAAGAAAGCGUAUAUGUUAGCCAAAUUUUAUUUGAAUUUAUUAAGUAACAAUGAAUGGGUCAGAAAAACAGUUCCUCUUUUGUUUUGAUCAGACUCAAUGAAUAAGUGUUUAAAAUGUGCCUGUCCUAAAAAUAUAGAUGUGUGGUUUCACAAAAUUUUCUUGAUCUUAAGAAAGAGUUAUCUUGAAAAGAAGAUAACAUGGAGAAUUCAGCAACUAUACAGUCAUAUUGAUGUCUGUCAACUUGGGUCAGAUGGUGUCGUUUGGAUGGAGAUGUUAGGUCCCAGAUGGUAUGCUUGUUAUCAAAUUCCAGUCUAAUUCAUUCAUGCUUUGAUGACAUAUGCGGUGCAGCUUCUUAUCUAAGACCUGUAUAUGUUCAGUCAUCAUUCAGUUCUGUAUUUGGCUGUCAUUCUUUCAAUGAAUUCAAACCACUUUCUGAAUACUUGCAAGGGAAAUUAUCAUUCGUAUACCCUAUAUUUACUCUGUUAUCAAAAAUACUACAACACUUUGAGGGUGUAUCAAUCGUCCACCAUAAGUUGACAAAAUGUAUCAACCGACCACCAAACCGUUAAUUGUCGUUUGAAAGUUAACGGAAUUACAGUGAAUUGACGAUUUUACCCUUGAAAAUUAUCACUUGUAUACCCAUAAAAUUCUCUUUUUAGCACUUGUAUACCCUUAAAUUAUCACUUGUAUCAUAUGAAAAGACCAAAUUACCCUUCUGAUGUUAUCAUAUUUAAACGGCAACUAACGGUUUGGUGGUCGGCUGAUACAUUUUGUCAACUUAGGGUGGACGAUUGAUACACCCUCAAAGUGUUGUAGUAUUUUUGAUAAUUGAGUAAACUAAGGGUAUACAAGUGAUAAUUUCCCUACUUGCAAAUUCAUCCAGUGUUGUCAUUGAGAUGCCAAUAUGUAAAGGAGCAAUAGUUGCCCUUGAUAGUAUGCUUAUUGAUUGCCUCUUGCCUCACUCAGCCUAAGGAAUCUGGUUGUAUGGUGUUCUUGUAAUUUCAUUUGGAGAUAAGUAAUAUCUGUUGUUCAAAUGUAUUUUAUAUACAACCAGUUCAUAAUUCUGCUUGCAGAAAGCUUACAAAGGAGCUGUGUGAUGUAAUAGAAGACUACAGUCUGGUCAAUUUUUCAACUUUAGAUAUUCAGGUCAUCAGUUUCUCUUGAAUUCUUUCUUGAGUUUCUUUGAAUUAUUUGUGAAUAAGAUCUUAGUUGGCUGCUCCUCUUCAGGAUAAGGAAAGUGUGGCAAAACUCGUGAAGCUGAUAGAUGAAAGCAAUGGGUACAUCUAUGCUGGCAUGGAUGCCAGGGCAGUUGAAUUCAGCAAGAUUGCCGUUCGCGAUGUUGAUUGGGAUUAUUUCGGAUAUCCUUCUUUUCACCUAUUUUCAAUCUUGUUAUUCUCAUAUUCAUAAAACAUUUUGGUUAUUUAAUUAUGGUUCAUCAUAUGCAUCUGCAUCUUCUAACUUGUUCGUUUGAGAAACUAAUUUUGCCGUUAGGUAGGCUUCAAGCUUGAUUCAUGCUUUUUUCAAAAAUGUACCAAAAUCAUGGAAACUUCUUUUUCCCAGAUAUUGUAUCCACACUUUUCCCAUAUAAUUGGGUCAGACAAGUUUUGCUUAACAAAGAUAUCUACAGUAGCCGAAGUGCAGGAGAAGUACAUUAAGGAUGAUGACGAUGUUAACUAAAAUGGGACGUGAAGAUAUGUGGUGUGCAAACCGUAAGCCUGCCUCUUAUUUUUGUGCAUGUUUACUUGCUUGUGAUUCACGUUUGUUAAUCUAUUUUGCUCUCUUGCAGGAGUUAUAAAGUUUUCAAUCAAUCAAACAUUUAACUCAAGUCCUUAGCUCUUCACGGCUUGAAUGGGUCAGAUAGGACAAGCGCCGAAGAGGUGGUUUUAAUCAAACCCCUCCUAAUUAUGAUGUAUGGUCCAAAUCUCGGACUUUCUGUACAAUAUCGAGCGAUUCGGACCUUUCAAGUCGAAUAUUGAUUUUUCUCCAGUAUUGUUUGUAAUUACAAGAAACGAAGUAAUGAAAUUUAUCACUGCGUUCAUAGUUAUGCUUAAGCUCAAAGAUUACCGUCAAGAUCAUUUUGGGCCCUCAAAGAAACAUGAUGUUGACACAUGUAAAAUUAUGAAGCUUGUGAUUAAAAUACUUUUGACAUAUAUAUGUUAAGUACUAUUAAUAAUUAAACAUAUGAAUAAAUAUGGUCAAUGAGGAGAGGAUAAAAUAAAAUGGUUUCAUUUUUUGAAUUACUCAACCGCUUCAAACUUCUAAGAAGUAGAUAUACAAUGAGUGGAAUACUGAAUUGAGUGCGAGCUGCGGAUAACUUAUAAAAUUGGGAUGCAAGCUUCAAGGAAAGUGUAUUGCUAUUCAAAUGUAGAUUUCAAAUUAGGAAGAUAUGCCAGCAAAUUGUAUAAAAAUGUAUAAAUUGAUCAGUAACAUUAAUUCCAAAUGAUGAAAUGAGUUAUCUUGAUCAAAAGGUCAAGAACCUACCUUACUUCUCUUAGAGAUAACUUGCAUCAACCGUUGUGGUAUUCAUACUUGUCUUCAGCUAGUAAAAGUGAAAGUUUCACAAUUGAAAUAAAGCUAAGGGAAGAUGCUAUGCUGCAUUUAUUAUUAUUAUUAUUGAUGUGGUCGAGAAGUAAAGCCAUGCAUAUGAUGAAGUAUAAAUAAGAAUGCAAUAGCCCGGAAUUCAUUUUCACAAACACUUCAAUAUCCUUUUGAUCACUUUUGCAAACAUCAAUUUGUCUCCUCUUGUAUUCACCAUGGUUGAUGCCGUCAUUUCCCCUCUCGUGGAGCAGCUGACUUCCUUCGCUGCUAAAGAGAUAAUACAACAGGUGAUCGAAGUUAAACCCCCCAUAUUAUAAAUACUUCUAAUGAUUUUAAUUGGUUUUGUUUUUAUCGAAAACAUUAACUUUGCUUUAUUUUACUUAUUUAGGCAUUUUAAAUUUUGAAAUUUGAAUUGAAUUUAAUUAAAAUGUGAUGUAGUUAGUAACCACUUUUUUUUAUUUCAUUUAAAUUCUCAAUAACUACCUAUAUUUUGGUAACUUACUGUAACCCCCGUAUCUAAGAAAUGAUCAAAACCCACAAUUUUAACUCCACAUAAAUAUUCCAUGUUGAGCUAAGUUCGAUGUUGAGGUAAGUUUUUGCAUAACAUUCAAGUUUGUCAAAUAGUCAUUAAUUAAAUGUUUAGUAAAAACUUAUCUCUGAAAAAUUUCAUAAUUUUCUUACAUUCUUUGAGUUUGGUAAGUGACUUCAUAUAAUUUCCUUUCAAUUUAAAUUUUAAUUUGGUUUCUGAUAUAGUCUCUUUACUGAAUUUAUAUCUUUUAUGAUUCUUGGAUUUGGGGCUCCAACUUUUUAGGAUUUGAUAGUCACAUUUUAUGGCAUGCUUAGAUUGAUUUUCAUGAUUUUUAGUACUCGUUAAGUGACUGAGAAUUUGACAAAAGUUUGAAAGGAAAUCCGUUUCACGAUUCUUAUGUGGAAGGUUCAUAAAAUCAUUAAAUUUGGAUAGGAUUCAUUAGCAAUAUGUACAAGACUCUCCAUGAAGUUUCGUAAUUUUUCAUUCGGUCUGGGGUGGUACAGGUAAAGCUUGUGGUUGGUGUUGAAAAAGAAGUGAAAAGCCUUACCAGCCACCUUCAAGCCAUUCAAGCUGUUAGCGAUGAUGCAGAGGAAAAGCAAGUGAAGGACAAAGCUAUUAGACUUUGGCUGGGUAGGCUCAAGUACGCAUCCUACGACAUUGAAGAUGUGUUGGAUGAAUGGAUCACGGCAAGAGGCAAAUUGCAAAUUAAGGGUGGCGCUGAUAAGAAAAAGAAGGUUUGUUUCUGCUUUCCCGCCUCUUGUUUUGGAUUCAAACAAGUCUUUCUACGUCAUGACAUUGCCAACAAGAUCAAAGAAGUCAGUGAAGAGCUACAUGAUAUUGCCACCCAAAAAGACAUGUUUAAAUUUGAGAGUAGCAGUAAAAGUAGUGAAAGACCAAGGCGUGUGCAGAGUACCUCCUUGAUUGAUGAGGAAGAGAUUUGUGGUAGAGUUGGUGAGAGGAAUGCACUCUUAAGCAUGCUGUUGUGUGAGAGCAGUGAGCAACAAAAAGGCCUUCAUAUCAUCUCAAUUGUUGGUAUGGGAGGCAUCGGGAAAACAACUCUUGCACAACUAGCAUGUAAUCAUGUUGAGGUAAAGAGAGAGUUUGACAAAAUUUUAUGGGUGUGUGUAUCAGAAACUUUUGACGAGUUUAGGAUUGCCAAAGCGAUGCUUGAAGCUUUGACUGGUUCAACUUCUAAUUUAGAUGCAUUGCAAUCUCUUCUUAUAAGUAUUGAUGAAUCUAUUGCGGGAAAGAGAUUUCUUCUUGUCUUAGAUGACGUGUGGGACGGAGAUUACAUUAAAUGGGAACCAUUCUACCGUUGCCUAAAGAAAGGUCUCCAUGGAAGUAAAAUUUUAAUUACGACACGUAAGGAGUCAAUUGUGAGCAUGAUGAGAUCCACAGAUAUUAUCUCUAUCAAGGAAUUGGCUGAAGAAGAAUGUUGGGCAUUGUUUAAGCGGUUAGCAUUUUUCGGUCGUUCCACUGAGGAGUGUGAAAAAUUGGAACAAACUGGUCAAAGAAUUGCAAGAAAGUGUAAAGGUUUACCUCUUGCUGCAAAGACAAUGGGAAGUCUCAUGAGCUCUAAAAAAAUUGAAGAAGAGUGGAAAAGAAUUUUAAAUAGUGAUUUAUGGAAGGUAGAAGAGAUCGAGAAAGGUGUUCUAACCCCUUUGUGGUUGAGUUAUAACGAUUUGCCAUCUAGAGUAAAAAGAUGUUUCUCGUAUUGUGCUGUCUUUCCAAAAGACUACAAUAUAGAAAAAGACAAACUAAUUACUUUGUGGAUGGCUCAAGGUUAUCUUAGUGCAGAAGCAGCAGAACAAGAUGAGGAGUUGGAGACUAUAGGUGAAGAGUAUUUUGGCAUCUUAGCUUCUCGCUCUUUCUUUCAAGAGUUUGAGAAACGUUAUGAUAAUCGUAUUAUAGCGUGCAAGAUGCAUGAUAUGGUACAUGAUUUUGCCCAAUUUGUUAGUCAAAAUGAAUGUUUUUCGUUGGAAGUUAAUGGUAGUGAGGAACUAAACGUCACAAACUCUACAAACUCUCUUGAUGAGAAGGUCCGUCAUUUAAUGUUAAUCUUUAGUAAAGGGGCUUCAUUACCGGUUUCCACUCUUAGAGUUAAAAGAAUGCGUACCCUCUUAAUUAACGAUAGUAGAUCUGAUCAUUCAUUAUUAAAUGGUGAGAUCCUAGAAGAAUUAUUUAGGGAGUUGACAAGUUUAAGGGCAUUAGAUUUUGGCAAAUCGUAUAACUCAAGUUGGUAUUCGACUCUGGAGAUUCCGAGAAACAUAGAAAAGCUGGUACAUUUAAGAUACCUUAAUUUGUUUUAUCAGGGAAUAAAGAAACUACCGGAGACAUUAUGCGAGUUGUAUAAUCUAGAAAAGUUAGAUAUUAGUUUAUGUUUUAAUCUUAAAGAAUUACCUGAAGGGAUUGGGAAGUUAAUAAACAUGAAGCAUUUACGAAAUAGAGGUACUAGUUCUUUAAGGUACAUGCCAGUAGGGAUUGGGAGAUUAACGGGUCUCAGGACCUUGGAUGAGUUCCACGUGAGUGGAGGAGGAGGUGUUGAUUGUAGGAAAGCAUGUAGGCUUGAAUCUCUCAAAAACUUGGAAAACCUUCGAGUGUGUGGUAUAUGUAGACUGGGUGAUGUAUCAGAAGUGGGCGAGGCUAAGCGAUUAGAACUUGACAAAAAGAAAUACCUCUCUUGUUUGAGACUUCGGUUUGAUAAGAAGAAAGAAGAAGGAGAAAGGAGGAAGAACGAGUACGAUCAACUUCUUCUUGAAGCCCUACAACCACCUCUCAAUUUAAAGGAAUUAGAGAUAGAGUACUACCGAGGCAACACUGUUUUCCCCAGCUGGAUGACGUCAUUAACCAACUUAAAGAGUUUAGAUCUCUCUUCCUGUGAAAAUUGCGAGCAGCUGCCUCCUUUGGGAAAAUUGCCAUCCCUUGAAAAUCUCCACAUAUAUCGCAUGGAGAGUGUGAAAAGAGUGGGUGAUGAAUUUUUGGGGAUAGAAAGUGAUCAUCAUGGCUCAUCUUCAUCGGUUAUUAUUGCCUUCCCCAAAUUGAAAUCACUCACAAUUUCUUUGAUGCUGGAAUUGGAGGAGUGGGAUUAUGGGAUUACAAGAACGGGAAACACCGUCAUCAUCAUCAUGCCACGUCUUUCUUCCUUGACAAUUGGGAAUAGUCCCAAAUUAAAGGCACUGCCCAACCACAUUCAUCAAACGACAACAUUGAAGACAUUGCGCAUUUGGAGGUGUGACCUUCUGGAAGAACGUUACCGCAAGGGGGAAGGAGAAGACUGGCCUAAGAUAUCACACAUUCCCAAUCUCCAUUUUGGGCUUUGACAAGUAAUUUCUUCUCUUACUCUGAUUUGCUUUGUUGUUGUUUUUAAUCUAAUUAAGAAGCGUAAAUAGCAUUUUGAAUCAAACUCUAUAUCAGAAAUCUGCAAUACUUACUUUCUAAUAUUCUGAUUUUCAUAUCCUAUGAAUAUACGAUUUUUAAUUUGUGGGAUGGGUAACGUUACUGUAAAAGAUUAUUAAUGCAAUAUGAGUAAUUCUUUUGCAGGACAAGUGGCCUACAUUUAGUUUGGCUUUGGAGUUGAAUAAUAACCUUUCGAGGUCCCGACAACCAAAAAACGAAACUUAAUUUGCCACAGAUUGCACGUAUUGCCAUUAUUGACAAUUUUCUGCACAAGCUUAGGUUGAUGUCAAAAGAGGUAAAUUAUUGGCAUGCCUGACUAUUUUGACCAUUACAUGAUUCAUAAGUUUACAUUAAUUUUGAUUUUGAGUUGAGUGAUUAAUUUUCUAGGUUUGCUUACUUUAACUGGGUGACCAAUUUCUUGUAACCAAAUGUAUGAUGUGAUGCAGGAAGCAGGGCAGGACAUGAAAAGAGAAGCUUAUUAGAGGAAGGAUUGCCAGUAACAGAAUCCAAAGAAAAAGAAACCAUUUCGAGGCAGCAGUUGGCAGUUGGCAGUGAAUGGAGCCCCUUGAAAAAACCCCCAAGCGGUUGCACUGCAAUUACGAUCAUCCUCGGCCUCAGGUAAUUUCUUCUCCUGCAUUUUUGUUAUUUGCUAUCAAGUGACUAUUUUAAGUAUGAUUGCAUUAAGCUGCUGCUGGGAAAUUUGAGGUUUUGAUGACUGCCCAUGCUAUUGUAAGAAGCUGCGGUUCUUUUCAUCAGCCUGAACCUGGACCUGCCGCUAUGGAUAACUCAGUUUUUCUUUUUUUUAAUCAACUGCCAUCUUUUCCACUGUUUAGAAACUCUUUAAGAUUAAACUUUAGUAAAGUUGUUUUAGUUAUUCAUGUAAUCAGGCUGAGGAUACUUAGCUGCCUAUUUAGGCAAAUGUCAGAAUUUAGUUUGUUCGCUGGGUACUGGUGGGGACUGGCAAAGGAUGAUGAGAUAGUUUUUUGAGUGAGUAAAUUUUGGGAGCUUGAGUGUAUUGGGAUUUGCAAUUACAAUCAUCGUCUGCCUCAGGUGAUUCUUUUUCCUGCUCUGUCAUUGUUUGUUCUCUAAUUCAAAAGCAUAAAAUAUUUCAAUCAAUUUUUAUGCCAGGAAUAUGCAAAAGUUUCUAAUAUUUUAUUUCCAUCUGUUACAAGAUCAAACUGAAGCAGAACUCAAACAAAAGUAUGCUACUUCUUGCGGAAAUCUUGCCUUUGUUCAGAUUAUGAAACCAUUUCCAUGCAGCAAAUUCAUCCAAAAGUUUGAAUAAGUUUCACGGUUGGACACUGUUGGCUUCUUUUUCUUCUGGGGUGCAUUUAGGUGCUAUCAAGUGACAGCUGUAAGUAUGAUUGCACUAAGCUGCUGCUGGGAAAUUUGAGGUUUUGAUGGCUGCCCAUGUUAUUUUCAAUAAACUAUUGAUGUAAGAAGCUGUGGUUCUUUUCAUCAGCUUGAACCUGAAACUGUCGCUAUGGAUAACUCAGGUUUUUGUUAUCAACUAUAUCAUCUUUUUCACUAUUUUGAAACUCUUAAGAUUAAACUUUAGUAAAGUUGUUUCAGCUAUUCAAAUGAAAAACUCAUUGAUUUGAGAAUUCCUUCAUUAUUGUUUCUAAUUACAAUGCUAACGAUCCAGAUAAAAUAAUAUUUAAUCGGCGAAGGUGUCCCUUGGAAGUACAUCCUUCUUUUUCUUUUAUUAUAUCAAUUCUUGCAAUGAGCUUAGUGAAGCUGUUGUGCUAAUCAUGCCACUGCAUAAUUUGGCCCCUAAUGUGGGUACUCUGUUACAUUGUUCUGCAAAUUCUCCAGAAGUUAAAAUCAAUAAAUUUUCUAUUAGCUCUAGUGCUUUGACCUAAAUGCUAUUCUAUAUUCUGAUUACAAUGUUUUAACCUUUAAAUUAACUACCCCUAGAUGUUGGAUUUUCUAGAACUUCAAAAUGAUUAAUGGAGAAAGAUCCCAUUAUCGUUAUUGCUAUAAGAAAUUGAUUUAUGCAUCCAAAGAUACAUUAUAUAUUUCUGUGUCUCUAUUUAUAGAUGACAUUUAAGCAUCCAUAAACCGUCAGACAGAGGAAGGGGGUUCAGUGCAAAGAUUCUGUUGACCUAGGGUUGACUGCAUAUGUCACUUGUUCGCAAUCUAUUAUUUAUUUUAUAUUUUGAAGAAUUUAAUGGGUAAUCCUAAUUGUUUGUUUUGGCAGGUAUGUGUUGUUAUCUCCUUCUAUCUAACAGUCGUACCUAAAUAGCAUAGUUUCAUCUGUGUUACCAUGUGAUGUACAUAAUUUCACAUUUGCCUCAGAUUAAGCUUAAUUUCCCACAGAAUAGAGCUGUCGCGACUGGACUUAGGUUGAUGUCCAAAGAGGUAAAUUAUUGGUAUGCCUAGAUAAUUUGGCCAUUUCCUAAUUCAUAAGUCUACAUUAAUUUUGAUUUUGAGUUGACUGAUUUCUUUUCAAGGUCUGCUUCCUUAACGGAGUGACCAAUGUUUUUCAACUAAAUUUAUCAUAUGAUGCAGGAAGCAGGGCAGGAUAUGCAAU
rnacentral:lncRNA from 1 species